CCUUGGGAGGUUUACCAAUUGGGGUUGGUGGCUUGUGUUCUGGGAGUGGUUUCUCUCCCUUGGGAGGUUUAGUGGGUGACUUGUGUUCUGGAGGUGGCUUCUCCACCGAAGGCUUGUGCUCCGGUGGUGGCUUUUUGGUUGGAGGGGGCUUGGGGUAAUCAGCAAGAGAUGGGGUGGUGAGAACCACCAGUCCAAGGAACAACACUAGCAAGUAUGUGGGAGACAUUUUUGAGUUUGGGCUGAUCAGAUGAUGCAAAACUAAAGCAUUACGUGACCUUUUAUAGCAAGUAGCUCCCAAUACCUACUUGACACGUGUUACUGUGACCCAUAAAUAUUAUGGGGUCUAUUUGUGCCCUACCGGGUUGAAAACUUGGACAAUUGGGCAAGGACCCGCCUGACUAUGGAGGACUACUGAGGUGUGAUCACAGCUUUAGGAUUUUUCUUCCUCUGCAGCCGUCUUGCCGUUGGCAUGAUUUUCUUAAUCUCAAAUAAAGGCAUAGUUAUAGAGUUGUUUAAUCUCUAAAUGGGAUUUUAUAUAUCUUCAGAUAGCCAUUAAUACAUUUGAUGAAGAAAGAAAGACAAGUGCAUACAACAUGUAUACGACUAGCUUUCAUGGAGUUCAUUUAUGAUCAGUUUUCCUGUACAUGUAAACCAAGAUCAUAUAUGUUUUUGUUCCACAACAAUUUUGGAAUCUUGUUUAUCCGUUUUUAUCAUUAUAAUGUCACAUAGGCUGCCAACUUGGGCGCUAAAUUAAAGAUCCAGUUGGGCAAGUUCGUUUCAGAAUUUCAAUGGUGGAUUCAGGAAUUGUUUUAUAAGAUAUGCAAAAUAGUAGAGGGAUGAAUAGUGUUUCAUUAAGAAAAGAGCCCUGUAAAAAUAUUGUUUAAAGGUGCCAUAGAAACUAUAAUCAAUAAAUAACUUUUUUUCCCCAUGGGUGGUGUUUCUUGUGGGGAUCAGUGACUGGUUUGAGUCAACGCCGUGUCUCUUUAGUCCAGAAAUCAACUAUUUUAUGCAUUGAAUACAUCAACAAAGAAAAUAUGAAAGCCAAAUGACACCUCCCCCGCAAAAACUAAACCCUGGUUGCUAACUUUCUAUGUUUCAGUUCCAUUCACACAAGAAUAUUAGUUCAAGUUUGAGAAAAAUGGCGACUUACCUAGUGAUAACUCGGUCUUGGUUUGCGAUUUGACUUUAACGUCAUGGGUUGAAGCCUCCUACAAUCAUCGUGUAUGCUAGUUCAAAGCUCGUGGAAGAAGUUAUACAGGGAGGGAGAAACCUCCACAGCAAGCUCCAAAAGAGAAUUAUCACAUUGAAAGCUCCAGUUGAACACUGGGUGAAAGCCAUAACAAGAUUGGUUUUCUAUCGCUCUUUUAAGUAAUGGAAGAUUAUUAUCUCUGCUUGUCACUACAACCGUGCAUGCUGCUAGAUCUUUCUAGACACUUCAAACAGUGAAACCAAGUAUGAUUCUUUUUCUCUUGAGUGGGUCCACUUGCAUGCCAAUGAACGAGUUGAAAAGUUGGACAAUUGGCCACAGCGCGCACUUACCUUCUGGAACCGAAGGUCAGUGAAGUGGGGUUCCUUUUGGCCCCUUGUGUUUCUGUUCCAACCUACUCCAGGAACCGAAGUUCAGUGAAGUGGGGCUACUUUUGGCCUCUUGUGUUUCUGUUCCAACCAAACAAAAAUGGGAGGGAAAAAUAGCAUUAUGCUUGUGCUAAAGAUCAACGCAUGAUAGCUGAAUAAGGGAGAAAAAGGCAUUGCUAUCUCAAUUUCAUAAACUUGAUAAGUAGUGACAUUAAUAGUCUUCCUCAUAGAUGGAUACAUGGUUUUAUUUUAUUUAUUUAUUUUUAUUUUUUUGUUUUAUGUCAAUGCUAAUGAAUGAAGUGCAUUAGCUUGUUUUGUGACUAGAACUACAAAUGUCCAAAUUGGAGCUUCUCCAAUAUAUUUCUCAGUGAGUUAUUGAUUAGAACUCUUGGAUUGAGUUCCAAGAUUUGAAUCAGACCCCUCUAGCAGCUUCAGGGGUACGUAGCAACCUAUAGCAUAUUAAUGAAGACUUAGGAUUUAGACUUAGGAAUACAAAUUAAUAUGUACCUCAUGCUCUGACUAGCUUCCCUGCGUAUGCACAAAAUGGAGAUGACUCCCAAAAAAAUAGCAGAAUCGCCUUAGUAUGUUUUUGUGGUUAAGAUGAUUCUCCACUUUAUAUAUCCACAUUGGUUCAUUAUGCAAAUUAAUCAACUAAGCUAUUUUUAUUUUUUCUUAAAUGUGAAAUAGGAGCUCCAAAUUAACCUAACCAUUGGCCUGAUUGAAUUGAUUUCACUUGCAUAAUGUUAUAGUAGAAGUCCGUAAUUUGAAUUUUAUUUUUGCAAAAGGUAACGUAAAUGAAGCAUUGUAAUUAAAUUUAUUUGUAAUUACAAACUAAUUUUAUUUUAUUAAGAAUUAAUUUAAUUACUCAUUUAAAAUAAAAAUCAGUUAUACUUUUACCAAGAUGAUAAUAUUCAUAUUUUUCUAGUUAACAUAUAUAAAAUAGUACACUUUUUCAUAUAAAAAAAUAAUUUAUGAUUUAUUAUAAUGUUACUAUUCACAUUUUACUAAAUUGAUGGUACAUGAUAGUGAGAGAAGGGGGUGUCACACUCAGCUAAAGUUCUUUUCAAAAUAUUGCAUGGUGUUUAAUUUUAUGUGUCGGCGCGCGUGUGAAUGGAACCUGCAAAAGUCCAAAUUGGCGUUUCUCCAUUUUCCACAUAGGAUGGUGACGUUAAUAGACAAAGAUACAAUAUCUGUAGACAUUGCUUAAAAAUCGAUGUGAAGUAUUAGAAAUUACAGGGCACUGUACUGGGGGAGCGGCUGCCCCGCCAAAGGAGGAAGAAUGUAGCAAUUUCUUCUGUUAGCCAGGCCUUAGGAUUUAUGCAUGGGAUGCCUAAUAACAAACAGAGAAAAUAUACUUUUGGGGAAGGUAUCCAACAACAGACACCAUCAUUCAGAUGGUGGGAAGGUAUCCAACAGAUGCCAUCAUUCAGAUGGUAACAUAUAUAUACAUUUAUUAGUGAGUUUUUUUAAUACCUAUAAAAAAAAAUAUACACUUUGAUAUUGUGGCUGAAUCCAUUACAUACUCAACUAACCUUGCUCAUUAGGGAUUUGACUUAACAAGGGCAACGUUGCAGUACAAGCUCAAAACUUUAUGCAGGUGACAUUACAUUUGGUAAAGAAGAGGAAAAUAACGAAAGCCAUCCAUAAAAGCAAAAUUCCACAUGGGAUGAAAUUCACAAGCUUCAUUUACGAUAGAGUCGCAUCCAGGCAAUUAAUUCCACAUUAGACCGCCUGUUGACAUGUGUACCAAUCUUUUUUCAAAAAAUAUUUAUAAAUAAUUGAUACUCACAAAAAUAAUUUAAUAUUUAUAAAGGAUAAAAAAAUAUUUUCAAAUCUAUAACAAUUUAUAAAAUAUUAAUAAAAAAUUAUCUCUUAAACUUAGUAUAGUUUUAUCAGAUUAAACUUUUAUUUUGAACAAAUAAUUUUAAUCUAAGUUUUAAAUUCUAAAAUUAUUUCCUUAAAAUAAAAUUUUAAAAUUCAACACUUCAAUUGAAAUUGUCUUUUUAAAAAAUAUCUUCUUAUUUUAAUCCUUAUAAACUAUAGUUGAUUGAAAAUACUAUUGAAGUUCUCUCUUAAAAAAAAGUCUUAUUUUAAUCUUCAUAAAUUGCCCUUGAUUUGAAAAUAAAUUUUCAGUUAUCAUAUUUUAAAUAAUAUCUAUAUUUAAAAUACUCUAUUUAAAAAAAAAUGAACUAAUUUUAAUUAUAUUAUAUUUUAUUUUUUUAUAUAUUUUUAAUGAUAAACCAAACAUAGAAAAUCAUUUUUCUAAAUAUUUUAAAAUUUCUAAGCAACCAAACAUAAUCUUCAAAAUAAAAGGAAAAUAAGGAGGGACAUUUGAGAAAUGGCGAUUAAAAAAAAGUGUACAAAAGCUCAAUUAAUUUUCUUCUAGUCUUUUAUAUAAAAAAGUAAAGGAAUUGAAAAGUAUUGAUAUGUAAAUUAAUAUUUGGAUUUUAAUAGUAUUUUAUUUGUCUUUCUCUAUCUCAUGUAAAAGAGAAUUUAAGAUAUUUCCUAAAGCAAAGCAUUAGUUAUCUGCAAUCAGUGGUGAUCAUGCCCCAUGUCAAUUUCGGACCCAUAUCUUAAAACUGUAUAAUUUGCAUUCAAACAUUACUGAUUUCUCAGAUGUUUCAUACUCCACAGAAGAGCAUUGUUUGUGAAAGCAUGCAUUUAUGUUGGAUUUUGGAUGAUGUGGGAACUGGGGCAAGGAUCAUAUGGAAGAGUGGUCGAUUUUGUUCUGUACUUUAACAUUUGAAAUAGGAGAAGCUCGGGCAUUUGUGGGGCUUAAUUGAUUUUGAAGCCUGAAAUUGCGUUUCUGUCAUUUUGUAAAAAAUAUGGCAGAUUCCAUGCUCUCAUAUGUUUGGUCUGUGGCCAUGUAUAGAUGCCCCUUAGUGACCAGUUUGUAACUGUCAAUCAUAGUGUUUUGACUCUGGCUCAACAACAUCAGCCAUUGACGGAUUUUCAUACUUGCAAAUCAAAUAGUCUUCUUCCUCCCUUAGGAAUUUCGGUUUAAAUGUUAUUAAGCAUACAUUUGGCUGACAAUUAUUAACCACUUCAUGAUAUGGUUUCUUACCCUUAAUCAAUGGUUUCUAAGUGAAUAUAUGCAGAAGGAAAUCUGAACUGUAGACAGCAGUAUUGAUAACUCUCAAUAUUCUUUAUAUAAGAGAAUAAACAACGUCAUAGUGAUCGUCGCCUACAAGAAAGGUACAUUUCCCAACAAGAUGUAGUUGUGACUGGUACAUGGACGCAAUUAACUCGUACAAAAGAAUAAGACCAGUGCACGGCAGCUCUUAUUUUACAUGCUAAUUAUGCUAACCAAAGUCACUCAGUUGGGAUGGGAGGGAGAUGGAGGUUUGUGCGGUGGCUUGUGGGGCGGAGUUGGUGGCUUCUUUUCAGGAGCUUGUGGCUUUUUCGGAGCUGAAGGAGGCUCAAUCUUAUGAGGCGGCUUGUACGAGUCUUCUUUACUCUCGACAGGAGGGUGGCCAGGGUUGUGACCAUAAUGUGGUGGCUUCUCUCCCUUAGGUGGCUUGCCAACUGGGGUUGGUGGCUUGUGUUCAGGAAGUGGUUUCUCUCCCUUGGGAGGUUUACCAAUUGGGGUUGGUGGCUUGUGUUCUGGGAGUGGUUUCUCUCCCUUGGGAGGUUUAGUGGGUGACUUGUGUUCUGGAGGUGGCUUCUCCACCGGAGGCUUGUGCUCCGGUGGUGGCUUCUCCACCGGAGGCUUGUGCUCCGGUGGUGGCUUCUUGAUUGGAGGGGGCUUGGGGUAAUCAGCAAGAGAUGGGAUGGUGAGAACCACCACUCCAAGGAACAACACUAGCAAGUAUGUGGGAGACAUUUCUGAGUUUGAGCUGAUCAGAUGAUGCAAAACUAGAAGAAUUACGGGACCUUUUAUAGCAAGUAUCUCCCAAUACCCACAUGACACGUGUUACUAUGACCAUAAAUAUUAUAGGGUCCAUUUGUGCCCUACCGGGUUGAAAACUUGGACGCUUGGCCGAGGACACACCUGACUAUGGAGGACUAUUGACGUGUGAUCACAGCUUUUGGAUUUUUCUUCCUGUGCAGCUGUCUAGCGGUUGGCAUUAUUUUCUUAAUCUUAAAUAAAGGCAUAGUUAUAGAGUUGUUUAAUCUCUAAAUGGGAUUUUAUAUAUCUUCAGAUAGCCAUUAAUAUAUUUGAUGAAGAAAGACAAGUGCAUACAACAUGUAUACGGCUUGCUUCAAUCGAGUACAUUUAUGAUCAGUUUUCCUGUGCAAGUAAACCAGUUUUUUGUUCCACAACUAUUUUGGAAUCUUGUUUAUCAGUUUCUAUCAUUAUAAUGUCACAUAGGCUGCAAACUUGGGCACCCAAAGAUCUAGGUGGGCAAAUUUGUUUCAGACUUUCAAUGGUGGAUUCAGUAAUUGUUAAAAGGUGUUUCUUCAUUAAGGAAAGAGUCCGGUAAAAAUAUUGUUAAAAGGUGUCAUAGAAACUAUAAUAAAUAAAUAACUUCUUUUCCCCAUGGGUGGUGUUUCUUCUGGGGAUCAGUGACUGGUUAGGGUCACCCAAAAUGAGUCCAGAUUAAAAUUGGUUCGAGUCAAAGCAGUCUCUUUUGUCCAGAAAUCAACUAUUUUGCGCAUUGAAUGAAUCGAUAAAGAAAAAAUGAAAGCCAAAUCACACCUCCCCUGCAAAACCUAAACCCCGGUUGCUAACUUUCUAUGUUUCAGUCCUAUUCAUAUAGGAAUAUUGGUUCAAGUUUGAGAAAAAUGGCAACUUACCUAGGGUUUACUUGGUUUUGGUUUGCGACUAUUUACGCAACCAACCAUGAGUUUGACUUUAACGUCAUGGGUUGAAGCCUCCUACAAUCAUGUAUGAUAGUUCAAAGCUCGUGGAAGAAAUUAUACAGGAAGGAAGAAACCUCCAAAGCUAGCUCCAAAAGAGAAUUAUCACAUCGAUAGCUCCAGAGAUUCCCAAGGGAACUGAAUCAAAGACAAGUUCCUCACUUUUUCUUCUUUUGAGGCCAAAUAUGAACCAAGGAUCACACGACCUCAUUCAACUUCAUAAGUUUGAUUUCAUGCAGUUGAACACUGGGUGAAGGCCAUGACAAGAAUUGAUUAAAAAAUUCUACCACUCUUUUAAGUAAUGGAAGAUUAUUAUCUCUGAUUGGCACCACAACAGCACAUGCUGCUAGAUCUUUCUAGACACUCCAUGCAAUGAAAGCACAAUGGAUCUUGUAAUGAUAGAAACUAAGCCAUGCUACAGUACUAGAUGAGGGGGUAAAACUAGUAGACAUCUUUCUAGACACUCCAUGCAAUGAAAGCACAAUGGAUCUUGUAAUGAUAGAAACUAAGCCAUGCUACAGUACUAGAUGAGGUGGUAAAACUAGUAGACAUGGCUGGCAGUUGAUUACUACUCAAAAAGUACUCUUUUAUAGCUUGAAACUAACUGUUUUAAACACUUUUGAGUAGUAGUUAAUACCUUUUAACUUAAUUGGCACAUUAAGGAACCUAGCAAGGGUUACUAAUCAACAUUUGGCAAGUUUUGAUGUUUUUGGUAGCUAUUUGAUCAUUGAAACAAGCCAAGAAUGAGGGGGAAUUUUGUGAAGUCCAUGGCAAUGCAAGUUAAAGCUCAAAUACAUGAAGAAUCCAAGCUUUGGAGCACUUCAUAGCCCUUUGCCAAGCCAAUCAAAGAUGCAAGGAAGAAAACCAAAGGAAGAAAUCCAACAAUCAGCAUUUUGGCAUGGCUAUGUGAAAUUUCGCACACCAUGCGAAACCACAAGAGGCAGCCAAAGAAUUUCGCAUGGUAUGCGAAAUCUUCUUGUGCACUGACUCUGUUAGAUUUUUAUCUUCAGAUAUUUUGUGUAAUUUCCUAGUUUCUCCUUGUAACCAACUUAGAUAUUUUCUUUUAUAUCUUUUUUUAUAUUUUUUAGGUAACAUCAUAUAUAAGAGGAGAGACAUAAGGAGGAUAUGGAUGUUUUUCAUAGAACACUUGUAAAUUUUUGGUAGUAAGAAAUAUACAAAGCUUUUUGCUCUGCCUUACCUUCUCAAGGGAUGAGUGGCUAGGUUUUCUUGGAGUGAGGGAAGCUAGGUGAAGGACCUGAAUGCAAAGGUGGGAGUUUUCCUUACUUUAAAUGAAAGUAGUUGUUAAACAUUAAUGGUUUUUAUUUUAAGGUUUAGCUUUAAAUCCCUGAAAAACACCUUGAAUGGCCAAUACUUGGUAAGCUUUUUAGAUUCUAUGGAUGCUUAUUGCUAGAUCCAUGGAUGUCUAUUAGUUAUCAUUUACGAGCCAUUGGAAGGUGAUUCAAGGUGAGGGUCUUUAGUGUUUGAAGCCAUUAAUGGGAAGCAAUUACCAUUUUUUCAUGAAUCCUUUGGAUCAAAUCUUAAUUGCUAAAUAUAAAACCGGUUUCGAGAGAUAACCACCAUCCUUUAUGUUAUUAUCCCCAACGCGAGGAGAAGAUCCGAAAUCUUCCUUUUUAUCUAAGGAACCCGAUCCUAGUGACCUAAAGCUCCAAGAUACCUUUUCUUUGUAGUUAACUUCAUUUAUUGUUUUUGCUUAACUUAAAAUCAAUCUUUGCAACCACAAUUCCAUUUUCUUUAAAAGCUAAUUUUUAUAAGGAAAAACACCAUUUUAUUUCCUUCACUAAGUCAACUGUACGAUGAAAACCCAUCCCUGUGGACGAUCCUAGAGCCACUAUACUAUGUUAGCUAUGCUACCCUAGUGUGAGGUGAUUUAGGUUUUAUAAAUUUUUUUGAUAACACCCAUCUGAGCCAGAAUCAAAUGGCACGACUGAACCAGGGACGAAUCAAAUGACGCCGCUACCAAGGAUGGUGCCAAAGUACAUUGACAUGACUUUUGGUGAACACUUGUGAUCUUCACCACAAGUUUGGUGAUUUUUCUUUUACUAAUUUUUUUUAUUUUAGCUUAUCUUUUAUUUAGUUUUUAGUUAACCUUAAAUUUUUCCUAGAAUUGUAUUUCUUUUGUUUUCUUUGUUUUUGUUUCAGUGAUCUUUAGUUGUGCAUGCCCUAUUGGAUAAGAGAUAUUGAGGGAAUACUUGUGAAGAUUGAAACUCCUCGAGAAACUGAGUUAGAAGUGUGCUUGAACAUCAUGGAUGUUCCACCUGAAGACCAGAAUAGCCAACAUGGUUAAGAGGAUAAUUUCAACACAUACCGAUCCAUGAGGAACCGCAUACAUCCACCUUGUAUGAGUGCACCGUCAGGCAUAAUGCCUCCCACUGAGCAGCUAGUAAUCUGACCUCACAUUGUGCCACUCCUACCUACUUUCCAUGGGAUGGAGAGUGAGAAUCCCUACUCGCAUAUUAAGGAAUUCGAGGAGGUUUGUAAUACAUUCCAAGAAGGAGGAGCUUCAAUUGACUUGAUGAGGCUCAAGCUAUUUCCUUUCACUUUGAAGGAUAAGGCCAAGAUUUGGCUUAAUUCUUUAAGGCCAAGAAGUAUCCAAACUUGGAUUGAUUUGUAAGCCGAGUUUCUUAAGAAGUUCUUCCCUACCCAUAGGACCAAUGGUUUGAAAAGGCAAAAUUUGAACUUCUCAGUUAAAGAGAAUGAGAAAUUCUAUGAGUGUUGGGAGAGCUACAUGGAAGCUAUUAACGUUUGUCCUCACCAUGGCUUUGACACAUGGCUCUUAGUGAGCUAUUUUUACAAUGGUAUGUCUUCUUCAAUGAAGCAACUCCUAGAAACUAUGUGUGGAGGAGACUUCAUGAGUAAGAAUCCGGAGGAAGCCAUGGACUUUUUGAGUUAUGUGGCUGAAGUUUCAAGAGGAUGGGAUGAACCAAAUGCUAGAGAGGUGGGAAGAAUGAAGUCUCAACCUAAUGCUAAGGGUGAGAUGUAUGUUUUGAAUGAAGACAUUGACAUGAAAGCAAAGGUUGCAGCUAUGGCAAGGAGAUUGGAAGAGCUAGAAAUGAAGAACAUACAAAAAGUGCAAGCCAUUUCUGAGACAUCAAUGAAAGCUAUGCCUUGUUCCAUUUGUCAAUCUUAUAAGCACCUAGUGGAGGAGUGUCCUACAAUUCCAGCAGUGAGAGAGAUGUUUGGUGAUCAAGCAAAUGUUAUUGAUCAAUUCAAGCCUAAUAACAAUGCUUCAUAUGGCAACACCUACAAUUCAAAUUGGAGGAACCAUUCAAAUUUCUCUUGGAAACGAAAGCCACCUCAAUACACACAACCUACUCAAGCACCUUAGCAAUCCUCGAAUCUUGAACAAGCUAUUGUGAACCUUAGCAAGGUUGUGGGAGACUUUGUGGGAGAUCAGAAGUCCAUCAAUGCUCAACUGAAUCGGAGAAUUGACAGUGUGGAGAGUACAUUGAACAAAAGGAUGGAUGAGAUGUAAAAUGAUCUGUCUCAAAAGAUAGACAAUGUCCAAUACGUAAUCUCAAGGCUUACCAACCUCAACACAGUGUAAGAGAAAGGAAAGUUUCCUUCUCAACCUCAUCAAAAUCCUAAGGGUAUCCAUGAAGUAGAGGCUCAAGAGGGAGAAUCUUCAAAGGUGAGGGAAGUCAAAGUAGUUAUCACCUUGAAGAGUGGUAAAGAGGUUGAUCAACCCACAUCCAAGCCAAAGCAUAAUGAAGAGAGUGUAGCAGAAAAAGAAAAGAGAGGAAAAUAAAGGAAUUAGAAUAGAGAAAAAUACAAAGAAAGAUGACCAUGAGUCUAGUGUGGAUGAAGAGCCCGAGAGGAUGGUGAUCAAGGAAGAUAUGAUGAAGAAACACAUGCCUCCACCUUUCCCCUAAGCUUUGCAUGACAAAAAAAGAACCAAUAAUACAUCAGAAAAUUUUGAAGUAUUGAGGCAAGUGAAGGUCAAUAUCCCUUUGCUAGACAUGAUCAAACAAGUGUCGACAUAUGAAAAAUUCUUGAAGGACUUGUGCACUGUAAAGAGAGGGUUGAAUGUGAACAAGAAAGCUUUAUUGACCGAGCAAGUGAGUUCCAUCAUACAGUGCAAGUCCUAGUGAAGUACAAAGAUCCGGGUUGCCGUACCAUCUCAGUGAGUAUUGGAAGGACUUGUGUGGAGAAAGCUUUGUUGGACUUGGGAGCAAGUGUGAAUUUGCUAUCCUACUCUGUCUAUAAGCAGUUGGGAUUUGGAGAGUUGAAGCCAAUAUCCAUCACUCUAUCUCUAGCGGAUAGAUCAAUGAAGAUUCCAAGAGGGAUGAUCGAAGAUGUCCUGGUUCAAGUUAACAAAUUCUACUAUCCAGUAGAUUUUGUUGUUCUUGAUAUGGAUCCGGUUGUCAAAUGAACUAAUUAUGUUCCUAUCAUACUUGGAAGACCCUUCCUAGCUACAUCAAAUGCAAUCAUCAAUUGUAGGAAUGGAGUCAUGCAACUCACAUUUGUCAACAUGACAUUAGAGCUCAACAUCUUCCAUUUGUACAAGAAGCAUAUCCAUCAGGAGGAAAAAGAAGGUCUAGAGGAAGUGUGAAUGAUUGACACUUUAGUGGAAGAGCAUUGUGAUCGAGAAUGCAAAAAGAUUUAGUUGAGAAUUUUGGGGAUCUUGAUGAAAGGUUACUUGAACCCUCAGAUUUGCUUGCUACCCUACUCCAUUGGAAGAGAAGAGAAGAAAUUCUACCCUUAUUCAAUGAGGAGGAGACGCAAAGAGCUGCAAAGGAGAAACCCCCAAAACUUAUUCUUAAGCCACUACCCACAGAGUUGAAGUAUGUAUACUUGGAAGAAGACAAGAAGUGCCCUAUUGUUAUAUCUUCAACUCUUACCAUUCAUCAGGAGGAUUGUCUACUUGAAGUCCUUAGAAGAUGUAAGAAGACAAUAAGGUGGCUAAUUUCUUAUUUGAAAGGGAUCAGCCCUUUAGUCUGCACCCAUCAUAUUUACAUGGAGGAUGAAGCUAAGCUAAUUCAUCAACCUCAGAGAAGGUUGAACCCUCACAUGCAAGAGGUGGUUCGAGCUGAAGUUCUGAAGCUACUUCAGACCAGUAUUAUUUACCCCAUAUCAAAUAGCCCAUGGGUGAGUCCUACUCAAGUUGCGCCAAAGAAGUCUGGGAUCAUGGUGGUGCAAAAUGAUAAGGGAGAAGAUGUCUCUACACGCCUCACUACAGGUUGGAGGGUGUGUAUCAAUUACAGGAGGUUGAAUGCAGUGAUAAGAAAGGACCAUUUCUCAUUGCCCUUUAUUGAUCAGGUGCUUGAGAGGGUCUCUGGGCUUUUUUUUUUAUUGUUUCUUGGAUGGCUACUCCGGGUACUUUCAGAUAGAAAUUGAUGUUGAAAACCAAGAUAAGACCAUUUUCACAUGCCCAUUUGGAACCUAUGCAUAAAGGAGAAUGCCUUUCGGCUUAUGCAAUGCACCCGCAACUUUCCAAAGAUGCAUGUUAAGCAUUUUCAGUGAUAUGGUGGAGCGUAUUAUGGAAGUCUUUAUGGAUGAUAUCACCAUUUAUGGAAGUGCAUUUGAUGAAUGCUUGGUCAACUUAGAAGCUGUUCUGAACCGAUACAUUGAGAAAGACUUAGUGCUUAACUGGGAGAAGUGCCAUUUCAUGGUACACCAAGGGAUUGUCCUUGGGCACAUUAUCUCCAAGCAAGGCAUUGAAGUUGACAAAGCAAAGGUUGAACUCAUUGUUAAGUUGCCAUCCUCAACAAAUGUCAAAGGAGUAAGGCAAUUCUUUGGCCAUGUCGGGUUCUAUAGGAGGUUUAUCAAGGAUUUCUCUAAGCUUGCAAGGCCUCUUUGUGAAAUAUUGGUGAAUGAUGUUAAAUUCAUAUGGGAUGAUGGAUUUGAAAGGAGUUUUGAAGAAUUGAAGCUAUUUUUGACAACCGUACCAAUAGUGAGGGCUCCCAACUGGCAACUGCCCUUUGAAGUAAUGUGUGAUGUCAAUGAUUUUGCUAUAGGAUUUUUUCUUGGGCAAAGAGAAAAUGGAAAACCUUAUGUGAUCUACUAUGCGAGGAAGGCAUUGAAUGAGGCACAAAGAAACUACACAACCACCGAGAAAGAAUUGUUAGCUGUAGUUUUUGCCUUGGAUAAGUUUCGCGCUUACUUGGUGGGGUCCUUCAUCAUGGUUUUUACUGAUCACUUUGCUUUGAAGUAUCUGUUGACUAAGCAAGAUGCUAAAGCAAGGCUGAUUAGAUGGAUUCUCUUACUUCAAGAGUUCAAUCUCCAUAUCAAAGAUAAGAAAGGAGUGGAGAAUGUGGUAGCAGACCACAUUUCAAGGCUAGCUAUCGCACAUAAUUCCCAUGCUUUGCCCAUUAAUGACGAUUUUCUAGAGGGGUCUCUCAUGUUGGUGGAAGUUGUCCCUUGGUACGCUCACAUUGCUAACUACCUGGUCACGGGAAAAGUUCCAAGUGAGUGGAAAGCACAAGAUAAGAAGCACUUCUUUGCAAAAAUUCAUGCCUACUAUUGGGAAGAGCCAUUUCUAUUCAAGUAUUGUAUGGAUCAGAUAAUAAGGAAGUGCGUUCCUGAAGAAGAGCAACAGGGGAUCCUUAGUCAUUACCAUGAAAAUGCAUGUGGAGGCCACUUUGCUUAUCAAAAGACAGCCAUGAGGGUGUUGCAAUCGGGUUUCUGUUGGCCAUCACUUUUCAAAGAUGCCCACACCAUGUGCAAGAGUUGUGAUCGAUGCCAGAGGCUUGGGAAGUUGACACGCAGGAACAUGAUGCCUUUGAACCCCACUUUAAUAGUUGAUAUUUUUUAUGUUUGGGGCACUAACUUCAUGGGACCUUUCCCUAUGUCUUUUGGCUACUCUUACAUCUUGGUAGGAGUAGAUUAUGUUUCUAAGUGGGUUGAGGCAGUCCCAUGCAAACACAAUGACCAUAGAGUGGUUCUCAAGUUUCUUAAAGAGAAUAUCUUCUCAAGAUUUGGGGUGCCCAAAGCCAUAAUUAGUGAUGGGGGUACUCAUUUUUGCAACAAGCCUUUUGAAACUCUCCUAGCCAAGUAUGGGGUGAAGCAUAAGGUAGCUACACCUUACCACCCUCAAACUCAUGGACAAGUUGAGUUAGCAAACAGGGAGAUUAAAAACAUAUUGAUGAAGGUGGUGAACACAAACAGAAAAGAUUGGUCAGUCAAGCUUCUUAAUUCACUAUGGGCAUAUAGAACAACUUACAAGACCAUUCUCGGGAUGUCUCCUUAUCGCCUAGUUUAUGGCAAAGCAUGCCAUCUCCCUGUGGAAUUGGAAUACAAAGCUUGGUGGGCAAUCAAGAAGCUCAACAUGGAUUUGAGCAGAGCUGGGUUGAAGAGGUUCUUAGACCUUAAUGAGAUGGAGAAAUUGAGAAAUGAUGCCUACAUCAAUUCAAAAAUUGCAAAAGAAAAAUUGAAGAGGUGGCAUGAUCAGUUGAUUUCCCGCAAGGAUUUUCAAAAUGGACAAAGAGUCUUACUUUAUGACUCUAAACUCCACAUCUUUCCGGGCAAGCUGAAAUCAAGGUGGAUAGGUCAUUUUACCAUUCACCAAGUGCAUUCAAAUGGAGUAGUGGAACUACUCAACUCCAACAAUAUCGAGAACUUCAAAGUGAAUGGCCACCGUCUCAAGCCCUUUGUGGAGUCUUUUUCUCACAACAAGGAGAAAUUCAUCCUCCUUGAUCCACAUCAAGCUUAACAAGACCAAUUUUCUUGAUGGACUUAGUCUUUCUAAAGACUAUCGAGUCCAUAACUUUUUGUUUUAUUUUUUAUUUGAGAUUUUUUCGGUAUUGUUACUUGUUUUGUUUUUUAUUUUUCGUUUUAAUUUUAUUUGGUUUGAUUUAACUUAGGUUUUUGAUGAUCAAUUACAGGGGGGAUUUCAAAUAGAGGAAAAACCAAGAUAAUUCGCACACCCUACGAAAAUUUCGCAAGGCAUGCGAAAUUUAUGGCUUAUUUUGCAUGGGGUGAAAAUUUUCGUACAUCUUACGAACCAAUUUCGAACACUUUGCGAAAAUAAACCAACCCUGCGAAAUCAUUUCGAUUACUCUACGAAAUUUUCGUAGAGCAUGCGAAAAAUUUAGCACACCAAACACCAUUUCGCAUACUAUGCAAAAACCUAAGGGGUCUGCGAAACCAUUUCGCACCUCCAAAUCCAUUUCGCACAUUGUGCGAAAACCAAGAGGCGCUGUGCGAAAAUGAAAAGUCGCCCUGUCAUCCCUUUUUAAACCCCUCGAGCCCUAAAAUCUCCAUUUCGCAAGCACCCCUGUCCUUGCGAAUCCCUCAUUUUCCUCUACUACCUUGCAACCUCGUCCCUUUCCAUUUGAUAUUGUGCCCCGCGCACAUCUCAUUUCAGAGACUCGCACUCCGCGCCCCCUCAAAGCAUGGACUCGAGACCCACCUUCCAUUUCCGACGUGGCACGGACCCAAGGAGCCCUUUCUGCCCCUUCACUAAGACACACACCAAGGCAGAAAGCCUCCUUUGCUCAAGUGCCUAGUGAUUCUCCAUCUUAGGCCUCAGAGGCCUCGGAGGCCCCGUGGAUUCCACCUUCCGAGGGUAGAGCAGCCAUUGGUCCUUCCUCUUCUACUCCUUAGCGUAGAUACGAGACGAGGAGACCACCUACUACACAAGGGGCGACUACUUCGAGCCUUGAGAAUUCAGUACGAUGCCUUCCUGCCAAGAGGGUCAAGACUUCAGGUCCAAGUGAGUCAUCCAGAGCUUCAUAGCCUAAGCCUCCUGUAGAUUCCAAGGUUCCUACUGACAUAUCACCGGAGUCUAUUAUCAGAAGCCCGAUGCUCAUAGCACCGCCCAUUGAGGGCAACUCAGAUUAUAGAGCGAGAUCUUUCCACUUGGAGCUAUAUUUUGAUCAGGAGGCCAUACGACAGCAGCCUGAGCUCCGAGACUCUUAUGGCUUACUGCAGAGGUACCAUCUUGAGGAACUUAUGACUCCUCGUGAGUUUUUUUAUCCCAGAGUAGCACUAAACUUUUACCAGUCCAUGACUACUCGUGGCGUCCCGAGUCCUACCACGAUUCACUUCACCAUUGAUAGACGUCAUGGUAUCCUCAAGGCCAGACAUAUUACAGAGGCUCUACAAAUUCCUUUCGAGCUAGAGGAUCCAUCUGUUUUUCGCUAAUGGUCCCCAGUAUCUCAGAGGGACAUGGUCCGUAUUUUAUCUAGGGGAACAUCUACAGAUUCGAUCUUUCUACGGAAGGAGCUUCGACCUGGGAUGCUCCUCUUAGAUGUGGUGCUAUGCUCCAACCUCUUUCCCUUACAACAUUCGGUACAUAGGUGAUGAGCUAUUUUGGACGCUUUAUUCCGUAUAUCAGAGGGCUUCUACUUUGGCCCGCACCACUUGAUCAUGGUCUCCCUCAUCCACUUUGAGGAGAAGGUUCAUAGGAAGAAGCUUCAGAGGGUGGACACCAUUCCAUUACUAUUCCUGAGGUUACUUUGCCAGGUCUUGGAGUACAUGGGCUUUCCUACUGAGCCUCGGCUCGAGCUUUGCCGCCUUUGUCGAGAGUGAUCCACUCUCGACAAAUGGAAUUAGUUGGCGGGCUAUUCUGCACCUCCAGGAGCCCCUCCCAUGGUAGCACCUCCAAUGUCCCCACAGGCAAAGUAGGGCGAGCUCCCGGCAAAGACUGUACCACCAAUGCCCACACUUGAGGCUAUUUCUGCUGCUCUGCCUAUGACUCCUACUGUUCCACCAGUUGGUCCUUUUACAUCCGAGCCUUCCAUCACCAUCUCGGCUUCGGAGUUUCGCGCCCUUGUGCAUACCUUUCAGACACUCACCACCACACAUACUCCUCUCUUCUAGCAAAUGGUUGAGAUGUGUGCCCAUCAGGACCGGAAGACUACUAUACUCUGCCAAAUUCAGCAGCACCUAAGACUUUUGCCUCAACCUCAACCUAACCAUCCCAUAUCAUCAGAGCCUCUAGCUCCAACUGAGGAUACUAUUCCACCUGAGAACACUACCACAGUAGAGGUCCGGUUUCCACCACCUUAAGAGGCCACCACAGCUACAUCAGAGGAUGUGUCAUCUCCACUUGAGGCUCCCACUACUUGAUCAUAGGACAUAUCUUUAUCUUAUUGUAUUUACAUAUUAUAUUACUAGAGAUUUGUCCUUGUUUUGAUACUUUAUAUUCUGGGAUUGGAUGUAUUGCCUGAUGAUAUCUCAAUUGUACUUUCUCAUAUUAAUAUAUAGACAUCAAUUUUUUUUAGUAUACUUAGCAUUUUUCUAUUUCCUCUACUCAUUACUCUUUUGUUUUUUUUUACUCAUGUGGUUUCUCUUAUACAACUCAGACUCCAUUUCACUCAGGAGGUACCACUUCCUCCCUUUAUUUUCAAUUGCUCUUGAAAUAUUGAGUGCAAUGUUGAUCUUGGUUGGGGGGAGAGUUGAGGAAGGAAGUUUUGUUAAUAAUGCUAGGUUAAUUUGUUAAUUUAGUUACUUUCUGCUUAAUUUUAAAAGUUUUCACUCUACUUUCCAUGGUUAUUAAGGAAAAAUUCUCAAAAUGAAAUGGGAGAAAUCGAAUUCUUGCAUUUUUACUUGAAUCUUAGAAUUUGUAUCAUGCUUAUUAAAGUUGAUGAAUUAUUGAAACUCCUAUUGAAUUCAACCUUAUUUUUUCCACUUUAAUCUUACCACACACGGUGCACAUUAGGUUCCAGUUAUAAGAUAAAAAACUAUCUCACCCCCUAAACUUAGAAAAAUUUACACUUGGUACCUUUGACAUCGUUUUAAUAGUGUUGGGACACCUUAUAAAAGGCCAAUGAGCCUUUAAAAAAAAAAAAAAAAAAAAAAAGAGAAAGAACAAAGUAUUGCACUUGCCUUGAAACCUGAGCAAGAUCCGAGGGGUAUACAGUGAAAGUCUUUAAAACCUGGUGCCCUAAGCCUUGAUUGGUUGGGAGUCACCGACCUCAAUGCUCGUUAUAAGGGUGAAUAGGUGGAGUUUAACAUAUUGUAGGUGCUUGGGUAUUGAAUUUCAAUCUCAAAAGUCCGGGAAAAAAUCUAAGGAGUUAGUGGUCAAAAGAUCCUUAAAGCUUGAUGCCCUAAACCUUGAUUGGUUGAGAGUCAUUGAUGGAUCCCCGCUACAUGGACAUUUUAGAAAACAAUACCUUUAGCAUUGCACGCCUACAAUGAAAAAAAAAUGUGAAAUAAAAGAGGUGCGUUCUUAGCCUAUUGGAGGUUGGUCAGUUUGCUAAAGUUUGAGAAAUCUAGGUUGGGGGGAGAGAAUAGUCCGACAUACUAUAAUAAAAAACUAAUAACCUUAACACUUAGAUUUUUGUGGAAGAGUAAGGAUUGGACCUUUAGGGGUGGAAAUUCUUUUGAUGCUUAAAUUUGCAUAAUGCCUACUCUUUAUAAAUUAUGAUUAGGCAAGAGAUUUGAUGACUCUUGUUCAAAGUUGGGUUUUUCCUCUUUGAUGUUCCAUGAGAGAGUAUAAUCCUCAUCAUGCCACUUGAAAUCUUUUUGGAGUGAUUAACAUGAUUUUGUAAAUUAUUUUACUGUCUAUUUUUCUUUAUCUCUCUUUUAUUGCUAAUGGACUAGCAAUAUGUCAGUUGGGGGGAGUGAUUACUACUCAAAAAGUACUCUUUUAUAGCUUGAAACUAACUGUUUUAAACACUUUUGAGUAGGUGUUAAUACAUUUUAACUCAAUUGGCACAUUAAGGAACCUAACAAGGGUUACUAAUAAGUUUUUGGCAAGUUUUGGUGUUUUUGGUAGCUAUUUGAUCAUUGAAACAAGCCAAGAAUGAGGGAGAAUUUUGUGAAGUCCAUAGCAAUGCAAGUUAAAGCUCAAAUACAUGAAGAAUCCAAGCUUUGAAGCACUUCAUAGCCCUUUGCGAAGCCAAUCAGAGAUGCAAGGAAGAAAACCAGAGGAAAAAAUCCAACAACCAGCAUUUUCGCAUGGCUGUGCGAAAUUUUGCACACCAUGCGAAACCACAAGAAGUAGCCAAAGAAUUUUGCACACCAUGCGAAAUUUCGCAUGGUAUACGAAAUCUUCCUAUGCACCAACUCCGUUAUAUUUUUAUCUUCAGAUAUUUUGUGUAAUUUCCUAGUUUCUCCUUGUAACCAACCUAGAUAUUUUCUUUUAUAUCUUUUUUUUAUAUUUUUUAGGUAACAUCAUAUAUAGGGGGAGAGACAUAAGGAGGAUAUGGAUGUUUUUCAUAAAACACUUUUAAUUUUCUGGUAGUAAGAAAUAUACAAAGUUUUUUGCUCUGCCUUACCUUCUCAUUUUGUUUUCACCUAUCUUUCUAGCCAAACAACCUCUGAGAAUGAUUUCUCAGGGGAUGAGUAGUUAGGUUUUACGUUUCUUGGAGUGAGAGAAGCUAGGUGAAAGACCCAAAUGCUAAGGUGGGAGUUGUCCUUGCUUUAAAUGAAAGUAGUUGUUAAAUAUUAAUGGUUUUUAUUUUAAGGUUUAGCUUUAAAUCCCUUAAAAACACCUUGAAUGGCCAAUACUUGGUAAGCUUUUCGGAUUCUAUGGAUGCUUAUUGCUAGAUCCAUGGAUGUCAUUAGUUAUCAUUUAUGAGCCAUUGGAAGGUGGUUCAAGAUGAGAGUCUUUAGUGUUUGAAGCCAUUAAUGGGAAACAAUUACCAUUUUUUCAUGAAUCCUUUGGAUAAAAUCUUAAUUGCUAAAUAUAAAACUGGUUCGGGAGAUAACCAUCCUUUAUGUUAUUAUGCCCAAUGCAAGGAGAAGAUUUCGAAUCUUCUCAUUUGUCUAAGGAACCCGAUCCUAGUGACCUAAAGCUCCUAGAGACCUUUUCUUUGUAGUUAACUUCAUUUAUUGUUUUUGCUUAACUUAAAAUCAAUCUUUGCAACCACAAUUCCAUUUUCUUUAAAAGCUAAUUUUUAUAAGGAAAAGCACCAUUUUAUUUCCUUCACUAAGUCAACUGUAUGAUGAAAACCCAUCCCUGUGGACGAUCUUAGAGCCACUAUACUAUGUUAUCUAUGCUAUCCUAGUGUGAGGUGAUUUAGGUUUUAUAAAUUUUGUUGAUAACACCCGUCUGAGCCAGAAUCAAAUGGAACCACUGAACCAGGGACAAAUCAACAGCCUAUAUGGGAGGGACACAAGUUUAAUUGAUUUGCAUUUCAGCGUUAUAGAUAAGUAUGUUUUGGAAGAUUUGUUCUGGAAAUACUGCACCAAGUACGAUUCUUUUUCUCUUGAGUGAGUCCAUUUGCAUGCCAAUUAACGAGUUGAAAAGUAGGAGCACCUACCUCGUGCUCAUGGAACCGAAUGUCAGUGAAGUGGGGCUCCUUUUAGCCUCUUGUGUUUCUGUUCCAACCAAGGCGGCGUAGGGAAAAACAACAAUAUGUCUGUGCUAAAUAUCAACGCAUGAUAGAUGUUUUUUUUUUUUUUUUUGGUAUGUCAAGGCUAACGAAUGAAAUGCAUUAGCUUGUUUUGUGACUAUAACUGCAAAUGUCCAAAUUGGAGUAUCUCCAUUUCUCACUUCGGAUGGUUAACUUUAUAAACAAGAUAUAGGAAACAUGUGAACAUCUUGAGGAACAAUUCAAAUUAUUCAUUAGAAGUCCUGGGUUAAGUUCCAAGAUUUAAAUCAGACCCUUCUAGCAGCUUCAAGGGUACUUAGCAACCUAUAACAUAUUAAUGAAGAUUUAGGAUUUAGACUCCGGAAUACAAAUAAAUAUGUAUCUCAUGCUUUGACUAGCUUCCCUACAUAUGCAUAAAAUGGAGAUGACCCAAAAAAAAUAGCAGAAUCUAGCUUCCCUACAUAUGCACAAAAUGGAGAUGACCCAAAAAAUAGCAUAAUCGCCUUAGUUUCUGUGGUUAAGGUGAUUCUCCGCUUAAUAUCCACAUUGACUCAUUAUGCAAAAUCAACUGAGCUAAUUUUAUUUAUUUAUUUAAUGUCAAAUAGGAACUCCUAAUUAACUGAUUACUGUCGAAAAGUGCUAUUUUGUAGACCUAAUUAUAAGGGUUUUAAGCACCUUUGAGUAGUAAUCAUAUUCAUUUAACCUAAUUAAUUCAUUAAGCUCCUUAGUAAUUAGUUCUAACCAUUUUUAGUGGCAAGUUUACAUGUUUUUCAUCAGCUUAUGAACCAAUUCAAGCAUGCCAAUUGAUGGAGGAGCUACUUGGGCGAGUUAAGCAAGGAUUUUGGACGUUUACAGGCUUGAAUUUCAAGUGGAAACACGAGCACAAGCAAUGGGAACACCAUUUCGCAAGGGGAGGCAAUUCACCUUGCCAAAUGACCAAUUUCGCAAGGGGAUUUUCCUCAUGGUGCAAAAUUUGGUCAUUUCGCACCAUGAAGAAACCACCUUGCAAAAUUUCGCAAGGUGGAUUUAGGCACCUUGCGAAAUGCCAAAUUUCACAAGGUGGCUUUUCACCUUGCGAAAUUUGGACCUUUCAUCUUCCCCCCUUGCGAAAUGCCUUUGAAAUCCCCUGUUUUGAGACGCUGUUGAUGAUAUUCCACUGCCGGUUCUCCAAGAUAUUUUGCUUGACUUUUAGCUUUAUAAAUACCUAUUUUACCCUUGUAAUCAACCAAUGAAAAGGUUGCUUUUGUAAUAGCUCUUGUAAUUUAGCUUUUUAUUGUCUUUAAAUAGAGGUGAAGAGCCUCAGACACGAUCAUCUUGUAACCUGUAACUUUAUAAGUUAUAAGAGCACUUUUGUUCAUACGCUUCUUUUCUCUUUUCUUUCUCAUUUUCUUAGUAGCCAAACAUCCUUGGAGGAUGAAAUCCCCAAGGAUGAGAGGCUAAAACCUUUUAGUUUCUUGAAGUAAUGGAUGCCAUGUGAAGCUCCCGUGUCAGGAUGGAGAUUUCCAAGCCAUAAAUGUAAGUAGCUGAGCGUCAUAAAUGUUUUCAUUCAAAGUAAAGCUUUUAAUCCCUCUGACUUGCUUUGAAUGGCCAAUACUUGAUAACCUUUUGGUCUCAAUGGAUUCUUAUUGUUAGAUCCACUGACGUUCAUUAGUUAUCUCCUACGAGCCAUUGUAUUGCAAGUCGAGGAGAUGACCUAUACCAAUAAAAGAGCAUUUAUGAGGUUCAACUACCCUUUUUGUAAGUUUUCAAGGACUAAAACUCAGUUGUUAAACUCAUACCGGUUCGAGAAGUAAGCAUCACCUUAGUUGCUUCCCCAACUCGAGGUGAAAAGUCCCAAAAUCUCCAUUUUUACACAGUGAGUUAAGCAUGGCUAUCCAAAGCUUUAAGAAACUUCUUUUUCCAUCUUUUAACCUAUUUUCAUGUUAGUUUAGUUUACAACACCUUCAUCUUUUUAUGUUUUCAUCUUAACCUAAUUUUUAUUAAGAAAAGUUCACUCCAUCCUCCGAACUUCACCAGUUAAAGUAAAAACCCUUCCCAGUGUUCGAUCCUAGAGCCACUAUGCUAUAGUAGCUUUGCUACUUUAGUGUAAGGACCUUAGGUAUAAAUUUUGUUGAUACCCUUACAUGCCAAGCUACCAAGAGUCGGGUUAUCAUUAACCUAACCAUUGGCCUGUGUAAAUUGAUUUCACAUGCACAAUGUUGUAGUAGAAGUCCAUAUUUUGAAUUUUAUUUUUGUAAAGGUAAGGAAAAUGAAGCAUUGUGUAAUUAUAAAAAUAACUUCAUUGGAAUUCACAAGGUUCACCCAAAAUGGAGCUACAUCUGUAUUCUAUCCUACAGUAGACUAUAUAGAUUGUACAAUAGUAAAUUGCAAAUACAAUUAAUAAGUCUUGUGCUUCCUUACUAAUAAUCCUUUGACAUGAACAUUGCAGCACUAAGGUCCUCUUGGGAAGACACCUUGCACCCAUGAGAGCACUAAGAGGAAGCAAGGCAGAGUCAUGGGUGCAAUGUCAUGACUUGUUGUUGCACCAAGAGAGGCUUGGUGAUGCCAUGGUGUUGCAGUAGCAAGAAUGUUGCCUUGGCAGGGACACGAUCUAGGGAUAGAUGCCAAGAAAGGCUUAGCACUCACAUGAGUUGCACAAAGAUGAAUGUAAUAGAGCAUCAGAGAGACGUCUUGGCAAGUAAAUGAAUGGAUCCAAGAGACAACAACAUGAGGAGUUUCAAAUGGAUAAGGAAUGACUCAAAGACAUUUGAAAGCUACAAGUUGGAUUCUAAUUACGAUUGCAAUUUGAGUUUGAGUAGGAGUUUAGAUUUUGAUUGUAAUUGUAGUAUGAGUUGGACUAGGAUUGCUUAUCCUUAGUCAAUAUAGGAGCGGUUCGUGUCACCCUAUGAAAAGAGUUUGAGUAGGGACUAGGAUUGCUUACUCCUAGUCAAAUAUGGAGUAGGUGGUGCCACACCUAUAAAAAAAAGGGACAACAUGAGAGAGAGAGAGAGAGAGAAAGAGAGAGUGAAUUCACUAAAGAUAUUGUGGGAGUUUUGCUUUGUUACGUCUUGUAUUAUUACUUAGAAUAGGAAUAAAAUACAAGUUGGGGCUAGAGCCCCAUAAUUAAUCUCGUGUGCCUUUGUGGUUAUUCUUUAUUUGUCAUCUCGUGUGGAUUGGAUUAGGUUGACUUAGAGGGCUUCUAAGCACCACCUUUGUGGGUUAUUAUUUAUUUUCCAUCUCUUGUGGAUUAGAUUAGGUUGACUUAGAGGGCUUCUGAGCACCACCUUUGUGGGUUAUUAUUUAUUUUCCAUCUAUUGUGGAUUAGAUUAGGUUGACUUAGAGGGCUUUUAAGCACCACAUUUGUGGGUUAUUCUUUAUUUUCCAUAUCGUGUGGGUUGGAUUAGGUUGACAAGGAGAAAAAUUAUGUGGGAAAUUUGUGUUGGGACACUUACCAUAACCAAGUAAAAUCUACCAAGUCCUUUGUAAUAUCUUCAACAAAUAUUUUAGACUAGUUCUUUCAGUUAGUGUAAAGGAGGAAGAAGUGGUAUUGAUUCUAGAAAUAGGGUGUGUGUAUUUGAACUACAAUCCUUAUGAUCCUUAGGUCUCUAAACCUUCGUGAUGGGCUCCCUGACAUUUCAUAGGUUGUGCUACACAUGCGUUUGAAAUUUAGAGUGCGUUUGACAGUGAUUCCGGGAAGUGUUUUUGGCCUUUCUUACACUUGAAAAUUUUUAUUUUUCAAGUAUUAGAAAUGCUACAAACACUUUUGAAAAUUACUGUCAAACACACUCUUAGGAGCGCACAUAUAUAGUAGAAAACUAGAAAUUGUGGUUUUUUUAGGAUUUACUGUAAUGUCAUUAGGAGGGUAGUAAGUUGAAAUUGAGUAUGAACAAAUAUUUCUUUCUUUGGGAUGUUCUUCUAGUAGGUGCUGAUGAAACUGUUCUUUCUACUGCCAAUGUCACAUAUCAGCCAGAAAUUGAAAAUUUCAGUCAAGGUGUCCUCUGUUUUAGUGGUGAGGAAAGCUAGAAAUUUUAAGGUGAAGUUUUGUUAAAAACCUUAAGUAGCUGGGAUAUCAGGCCUGUUUUGCUUGAAAAAAAAAGUUGCAAGAUAACUCAUAUGCCAAACAGGUUCUGAUAUUGUGAAUCUAUCGGCAGACAUCAGUAAUCUCAUCUUCUGAGAUGGAUGUUGGGGGUGCAUGUGGUGGUGGAGGGGCAAGGUUUCAUUUGGUUUAUUUUGUUGAUGGAUAUUGUCUAGCCACCUGCGCCAAGUUUGAGGGGUGGUGGGUUGUGAUGACCCUACAAUUACUAUUAAUUUCUUCAUCUUUUACCGAUUAAAGUGUCCGAACAGUCGAAGUUACCCUUAUGCAUGUCAACUUGAUCACUUACCUCUUCAAUGGAGUUUAUGCUGGUUCAUUUAGGAACUGAUUUUUAUUGUUAUGUAUUAUAUGCUGAUGUUUAGGUCUCUCCAUCAUCACUAUAUACAAAAAUUCUAGGUUGAUACUAUAGGUUGAGAUUUAUUUUUUAAAUAAAAAAUAAUAAAAAUAAAAAUUAUGGUGAUGUUUAGUUGUUUUAUGGAAAAUUUUAACAAGUAAAAGUUAUUUUUGGGCAAGUUUUCAAACAAAAAGAAAAGUAAAAGUUGUUUUGACAAAAACAUAUAGAAAAAAAAAUCAUAGAAAAUAAAUAAUUUCCCCAUAUUCUAACUUUUUUGAAUUUUUCUCAAUGGGCAAAGGAAUAUCAAAUCAAGUUUGAGUAGGAUUUCUUAAUUUUUAAAAUAACUUACAAUUAAAAAAUUUUGGUGUUUUCAUUUUUGGACAAUUUUUUAUUAAGCAAAUGGACUCUGAGUCAUGCAAGAGAUAUGGUUCAUUAACCGGUCGAACAAUUUUUUUAAAUUAAUUUAAAAGUCAAAUACAUAAUCAAUUUCACAAAAUUUAUAAACAAAAAUAGGUUUAGAGAAGAUCUACACAUAAUUUUACUUUUCUAAUUUUAUUUUAUUUUAUUUUUUGUUGGAAAAUAGUCUUCAAAUCAUGUAAGAUUUAAUAGGUUAAAUUUGUUAACAAUAAAUUUUAAAUUAUAAAAUAUAAUCUGGAACUCAAAAAUCAAUUCAAGUAAUGCUAAAAAAAAAUCAAAUUUGGUAUAGAAUGACUUUGUAAAUUUUUUUACAAAACAAAUGAAUUUUAAAUCAAGUGAGAUUUAAUGCAUUAGAUUUUUAUCAAAUAUAGUAAUUUUAAAAAUAAAUUUGGAACUCAACAAUAGACACAAUAAAUACCAAAAAAUAAUGAACCAAAAUUGGUUUGGAAUAACUCCACAACCUUUUUUUUUUUUUUUUGGUGCACACGAAUUUUCUUACUAGGUAUAUUGCUUUCAAAUUGAGAAAGAUUUACCAUUUAGAUUUUUUUUUAAUGAGUUUAAUGGUAUUUUAAAAUAAUUCAAAAUUUAAAAAAUUGACUAAUUAAUAUUAUAAAUUGAUAAACCAAGACUAUUUCAAAAUGCAUUGGGGGCUAAGGGGGUUGAAAAUAGGGACAAUGGGAUGGGUUUGGGACAUGACACUCAUAUCUCAUUUCCAUUCCAAUUACACAGUUAUCUCCCAUCCUUAUCCCAAACUUGUGUUGGAGCAAGUUGAUUUGUUCCCAUCUUUGUUGACGAAAUGACUAAUAACCUCAUCCCCUCCUUAUCUUAGAUGUACAUUUUGUCAAAUUUGAUCAGGUAUGAUUGAUCCAAGCCCUAACCCUAAUUGGUAAUGAGUGAAUACUACACCUAAUUGCAUUCUUCUUUCAUUGCAAAAUAAUGAGAUUAUAAUAAUCUAGCAAAUAAGAAAAAAUAGUAUGGAAGUUCAAAUUAACACCAUAACUAUCAAUAAUUUUAAGCUUAUAGAUGACUUAAAUGAUUAAAAACUAAUGCAAAAUCCUAAAAAAAAUAAAAAUCAUAUAAAGAAUUCACAAGAGAACAGAAUGAACAAAAACCAAAUAUGAACAUGGGUCAACAUUAGUUAUGGAUUUGGAUUCCUUUCAAGGCCAAUCUUUGAACCAAGACUUCAUCAAAUCAACUACUUCAAAGGCUUUUGUGUUCUUCUUGGGUUGUGCUCUCAAACAAAGACUUCGAGGUGAUGUUCUAGAUGAUUGAAUUACACAUAUUUAGGGUGGAGAGAUUGGAGAAGCUUGAAGAUGCCAACGAUGGGUACAAUUGAGUGGUCAAUAAGAACAAUGUAGCCUAUGACUAGUUUGAUGUCAUGGUACAAGAGUUUUAGGCAUUGAGGUUAAAGCAAGAGCAACAUGGAAUUGAUUUCGGAGUCUUUCAGUUAGUGUAAAGGAGGAAGAAGUGGUGUUGAUUCUAGAAAUAGGGUUUUAAGUGGUGCGUGAUUACUACUCAAAAAGUGCUAUUUGAUAGCCUUUAAUUAAUCCUUUUUAACACUUUUGAGUAGUAGUUUAGGCCUUUUAACUCAAUUGGCAUGUUAAGGAUCCUUUAAAGCAAUUUUGAUCACUUUGUGCAAGUUUUGGUGUUUUUGUUAGUAUUUUGAUCACCAAAGCAAGUCAAGAAUGAGGAGAACUAUGAGGAAUCAUGGGCAAAGCUUAGAAUUCAAUUGCCAAGAGUGAAUCCGGAUUGCAAGGAGAAAAAGCAAAGAGAAUCUGUCAUGAAGCCUAUUCUUGAUGACAGUCGUAGCAGCCACUUUUGGAGCACUUUCUGAAGUCCAAAUGAUGCAAGCUAUAUACCAUUUCAAAGAUCAGGAAGUCAACAAUCCAAUGCUUCAAACGGUGCGCGAUUCGGAGUUGAAACGAAGAAGUUGCAGCCAUUACAAGCCAGUCACUCUAAAGUGUUGCGGAAUCAGCCUUUUGUUGCGAGAAUUUCGCAGCACUUUUGUACAGUAAGGUGUUUCUCCUUCUGACGAUGCACGAACCAUGCCGCGAGAGGGAAGCUAGGAACUUCAAGAUGGAAGCCAACUUUGCAGCCUGGUGAAGAUAGCUUGGUCUUGCGAAAUAAUUUCGCAGCCCUCUUGGGUGUCUGCGAAAUUUCGCAGGCACCACUUUUUUCCUGCGAAAUGGCUCCGGAAGCCUCCCGAAGCUUGCUACCGACAUUGGGAGAUAUUUUCCAUUAGAUUUUUGUUGUCUAAAUUCCAAAAUACUCCUUGUAAACCACCAAUUACAUGAUUCCUUAGUUUUUAAGUUAGUAAAAAGACCAAAUAUCUAUGUAAUAAUUAGUUUUAUAUUAGUUUGCUAUAAAUACCUCUCGGGAGCAUGUUCUCAGAGAGGAGUUCCUUCUGUAACCAUUUUGGUAAGCAAGUAAAGUCUUUUCUUUCUACUGCCUUACCUUCUCACUUUGUAUUUUCAUUUUAUUUCUAAGUUAUGAAUUCUCUGAGGAGCUUUCCCCAGAGAAUGAGUAACUAAACCUCCAAUUCCUUGGAGCUAAGGUUGCCGGGGAAGGUUCCAAGUGCAAGAAUGCAAAGCUCUGUGGUUUUAGCUAGUAAUGAAGAGGAAGUGAAAUCCUUUAGUGAUUUCAAUGUUUUUAGUUAACUUAAAACACCUUGGAGUCACCUGGGCCAACACUUGGUAAGGCAAGUGAUUUCCAACCGUGGAAAUGCACUAGUUUACCCCUUGCGAGCCUCUGGUAGGUGACUUCAAGGUAGGAUUUUCUGGAAUUACCAACACUUGGUAAGCUUUUGGACUCCUAGGAGACAUCCAUUAGUUAUCUCUUGCGAGUUUGUGAAGGGGAAUCCAAGGUUAAAGAUCACCUUGAAUGGUAAGUGCUCGUGAGAGGCAUGAACCAUUGCAAGUUGUAUCAGUGAGAGAAUUAAAGUGAAAUCUAAUUGAAGGAGUCUCUGUACAUCACCGGUUAGAGAAUUGACUAUAAGUUGAAUCUCUAAUGCGAGGAAAUGAACCAUCUGACCGGAGCUAUGUCUUUUGCAUGAGGAACCACCCCAGUGAACCUAAAUCUCCAAGGAAUGCUUUUCUUCCUAAAUUAUUCCAAACUUCUGUUAAGUUAGUUAGUUUAAGUCUAAACCUUUACCAAUCAAACUUUGUGUUUUAUUUCUUAAGCUAACCGUGAAAUGAAACAAAACCAAUUCACUUGGAAUUGGUAUCCUUGAUUGCUUGCAAAUCAUUCCCAGUGAACGAUCCUUAGAGCCACUAUACUAUAGUAGCUUUGUAUUUGCUACCCUAGUGUAUGGUGUUAUAGGUAUAAAUUUUGUUGAUCACUUCCUCAAUCAAGGAACACCAGCUGAACACAAAUCAGCUGAGACACCAAUUGGGCAUGAGUCAAAUGGCGCCGUUGCCGGGGAAUGAGUGUCAAGAUCAUUGUGAUACCAUUUUUGAGCACUUGUGAUUUUCAUCACAAGUUGGUAAAGUUUCUUUCACUUUACUAAUUUUCAUUCUCUCUUUGUUUAUUUACAAUCUAAGUUUAUCUUUUUAAAAUUUAGUCUAGUUUAAUUUUGCUAUUGUAGCCUUGUUUCUCUUGUUGUCCUCUGUUCUUGUUGUCCUCUGUUUUCAUUUUAGUUGCAGCUGAAUACUAGUUGUGUAUGCCAAAGUGGAUACGAGACAUUGGAGGUAGGCUUAUUAAGUGUGAUACACCUCAGAGAGGAGAAUUGGAAGUAAUCUUGAAUAUCAUGGAGGCUGCACCUGAAGAUCAGCAUAGUCACCAAGGUCGUCAAGACAAUCUCAAUGAAUUCAGAUCAAUGAGGGACCGUAUGCAUCCACCUCGUAUGAGUGCACCAUCAUGUAUAGUGCCCCCUACAGAGCAACUAGUGAUCAGACCAUAUCUUGUUCCACUUCUACCAACUUUCCAUGGGAUGGAAAGUGAGAAUCCGUAUGCACACAUCAAGGAAUUUGAAGAUGUUUGUAAUACAUUCCAAGAGGGAGGAGCUUCAAUUGAUUUGAUGAGGCUUAAGUUAUUUCCUUUUAAUUUAAAGGAUAAGGCCAAAAUUUGGCUUAAUUCUUUAAGGCCAAGGAGUAUCCGCUCUUGGACUGAUUUACAAGCUGAAUUCCUCAAGAAAUUUUUUCCUACUCAUAGAACAAAUGGCUUGAAAAGGCAAAUUUCAAACUUCUCAGCUAAAGAGAAUGAGAAAUUCUAUGAGUGUUGGGAAAGAUACAUGGAAGCUAUAAAUGCUUGUCCUCACCAUGGCUUUGAUACUUGGCUACUGGUGAGUUAUUUUUAUGAUGGUAUGUCCUCCUCAAUGAAGCAACUCCUCGAGAAAAUGUGUGGAGAAGAUUUCAUGAGCAAAAAUCCAGAGGAAGCUAUGGAUUUCUUGAGCUAUGUAGCUGAUGUUUCAAGGGGAUGGGAUGAACCAACUAAAGGAGAAGUGGGAAAGAUGAAGUCUCAGUUGAAUGCUUACAAUGCAAAGGCUGGGAUGUAUACUUUAAAAGAGGAUGAUGACAUGAAAGCAAAGUUGGCAGCUAUGACAAGAAGAUUGGAGGAGCUGGAGCUGAAAAGAAUGCAUGAAGUGCAAGCUGUUGCUGAAGCACCAGUGCAAGUGAAGUUGUGUCCCAAUUGUCAAUCGUUUGAACAUUUGGUAGAGGAAUGCCCUGCAAUUUCAGCUGAAAGGGAAAUGUAUAGAGAUCAAGCAAAUGUUGUUGGACAAUUCAGGCCCAAUAACAAUGCUCCUUAUGGAAAUACCUACAAUUCAAGUUGGAGGAAUCAUCCAAAUUUUUCAUGGAAGGCCAGAGCAACUCAAUACCAACAGCCGGAUCCACCAUCUCAACAAUCUUCAAGUAUUGAACAAAUAAUAGCUAAUCUCAGCAAGGUAGUGGGAGAUUUUGUGGGAAAGCAAGAAGCCACCAAUGCUCGAGUGGAUCAAAGAAUGGACAGAGUGGAUCAAAGAAUGGACAGAAUGGAGAGUAUGUUGAACAAAAGAAUGGAUGGAAUGCAAAAUGAUAUGAAUCAAAAAUUUGAUAACAUCCAAUAUUCAAUUUCAAGGCUUACAAAUUUGAAUACACUGCAAGAAAAGGGAAGAUUUCCUUCUCAACCUAACCAAAAUCCCAAAGGUGUCCAUGAAGUGGAAAGCCAUGAGGGAGAAUCAUCACAGGUGAAAGAUGUGAAAGCUUUGAUCACUCUAAGGAGUGGUAAGAAAAUUGAGCAGCCAACACCCAAGCCACAUGUUGAGAAAGAAGAAGAGAUGAAGAAAGGGAAGGAAAUGGAAGAUAAAGGCAGUGAGAUCAGUGAAGAAAAGAAGGACUCUGAUGCAACAAUGAAAGUAAUUCCAGAGAAGGAGCUUCUGAAGGAAGAAAUGCUGAAGAAAUCAACUUUUCCACCUUUUCCUCAAGCAUUACAGGGGAAAAAGGGGGUUAGAAAUGCAGCUGAAAUCCUAGAAGUAUUGAGGCAAGUGAAAGUUAAUAUUCCACUGCUGGAUAUGAUCAAACAAGUUCCAACGUAUGCAAAAUUCCUAAAGGACUUGUGUACUAUCAAAAGAGGGUUGACUGUAAACAAGAAAGCCUUCUUGACUGAGCAAGUAAGUGCAAUCUUACAGUGUAAGUCUCCUUUGAAGUACAAAGACCCUGGAAGUCCUACCAUUUCAGUCAUGAUUGGAGGAAAGGUAGUGGAGAAAGCCUUGCUAGACUUGGGAGCAAGUGUGAAUUUGCUUCCAUAUUCUGUCUACAAGCAACUGGGACUUGGAGAGUUGAAGCCAACAGCAAUCACUUUGUCUCUGGCAGAUAGAUCAGUGAAAAUUCCAAGAGGGGUAAUUGAGGAUGUAUUGGUUCAAGUAGAUAAUUUCUACUAUCCUGUAGAUUUUGUUGUUCUUGAUACAGAUCCUACUGUAAAGGAAGCUAAUUUAGUUCCUAUCAUCCUUGGAAGGCCAUUUCUUGCAACUUCAAAUGCAAUCAUCAACUGUAGAAAUGGGCUUAUGCAACUCACUUUUGGUAACAUGACACUGGAUCUAAAUAUUUUCUAUAUGUCUAAAAAGCAAAUCACUCCAGAAGAAGAAGAGGGUCCAGAAGAGCUAUGUAUUAUUGAUACUUUGGUGGAGGAGCACUGCAAUCAACAUAUGCAAGAUAAGUUGAAUGAAAGUUUUGUGGAUAUUGAGGAAGGUUUUUCUGAAUCUCCUAAUGGGCUUGCUACUCUACAAAGUUGGAGAAAGAUAGAAGGAAUUCUACCUUUGUUCAAUGAAGAAGAGGAGGCAGCUGUUGAAAAAGAAAUUCCAAAACUCAAUCUGAAGCCUUUACCUAUGGAGCUGAAAUAUACAUAUCUUGAAGAAAAUAAUCAAUGUCCUGUCGUAAUAUCUUCAUCUCAAACCAAGUCUCAAGUGAAGGAUGCAAGCUUCAAAUGGGAUCCGGGCAAACUGAAUCAGGAAGGGCAAAAAGUUUUGAUGUAUGACACAAGACUCCAUAUCUUUCCUGGGAAGCUCAAGUCAAGGUGGAUUGGUCCAUUUGUUAUUCACCGAGUAUAUUCCAAUGGAGUGGUGGACUUAUUGAAUUCCAAUGGCAAGGACAGCUUUAGAGUCAAUGGAUAUCGUCUUAAGCCGUUCAUGGAGUCAUUCAAAUCAGAAAAGGAGGCAAUCAACCUCCUUGAACCUCAAAAAGCCUAAGUGAAAUGGGUUUGCUGGACGUGGUUUUACCACAGUCCAAAAAUUUUUGUAAAUUUUGUAAAUUUUCAAGUUGUUUCCAUGCUUUUAAUCUUAGUUUUUGAUUUUAAAUCAUGUUUUUAGGUGUGUUUUAAUCGUUUUAUAUGAUCCCAGGCGGAAGAAAUUUCAAGGGGAUUGAAAAGAAAAAAAUCGGGUCGAAAUUGGAGCCGAAACAGAGCAAAAACAGGGGAAAAACAGAGCUCUGCGAAAUUUCGCAGGGUGAAGGAAACUUCUGCGAAAUUGGCAUUUUGCUGCCAAACCAUUCCGCAGCACUGUAGAAGCCUCUGCGAGUGUAUUUCGCAAUUGCGAAAGUGGAUUUGGCACACGAGUGCCACUUCGCAGCACAGUGACAUCAAUUUCGCAGCUGCGAAACUCACUGCGAAGUUGCUGCGAAAAUGGCAAGUUGCUGCGAAAUUGGCGUUUUGUUGCGAAACGUAAUCUGACCCCUGGGCUUCCGUUUUUCCUAUUUAUACCUGUCAAAAGUGCUGCGAAAAAGGUUUCAAAAAUUAGAGCACCAUUCUCGCAGCCCUUUCAUCUUCUUCGCCAAGCCACGCCGUCCGUUUCUCCGGUCGUCUUCUCCGUUUAGCAGCGCCGGCCAAAGAUCGAUAGCCCAAAAAUGGCACGAACGCGAGGGGCAAAGUCUUCAUCCCCUUCGAACCGCAAAAGGAGUCUGCGAAAGGAGCCAAGUUCAGGCUCUGUUCCAGAACCUGCUCCAAAGCCUUCGCCGUCGAGACCACAACCUUCUCCAGUGAAGCCGGCGCCACCAAAGCCGCCGGCAAGGCGAUAUUUAACCAGGUCAGGUGGUCAGCCAUUGAAGAAGAAAGCCAGAGUUGAGAGCUCUGAACCAAUCGAUUUGACUGAGCAAUCCCCUGAGAAAUCACCAAAUCCUUCACCGGUACAAAUUCCAGUGCCAUCACCGGUUCCCUCGCCAAUUCCCUCACCAGAAGCAACUCCAAUUCCAUCGCCGGUACCAUCUCCGGCACCCCAAGAAAAAGCUCAGGAGCCUCAAGCGCCAAUUCCAGAGCCCCAAAUUGCAGCUGAAGCACCUCUGGAAGAAGUGAUCCGAAGGCCAAUGCUGCCUCAGCCCCCAAUCGAAGGAAACCUGGAUUGCCGAACUCGGGCAUUCCAUUCUGAGCUUUGCUUCGAUUUAACAGCAUUCAGAGUGAGGCCAGAGCUUGCCCAAUCCUUCCAACUGCUGAGGAGAUAUCAUAUGGAGCAUCUGCUAGCUCCAAGGGAUUUUUUCUAUCCCCGGGUAGUCACGGAUUUCUACCAAACCAUGACAACCAAAGAAGUAAGAAAUCCAACUCUGAUUCAUUUCAUAAUUGAUGGAAGGCAUGGUAUUUUGGGAGCAAGACAUAUUGCUGAAGCCCUGCAAAUUCCUUUUGAGCCAACUCAAUUCGACAAUUUUAAAGCUUGGACAAAUCCUACUGAGUUAGAGAUGGUUAGCACACUAACCAGAGGAGCUGCAAAUCGAUCGCAUUUGUUGAGGGGGGAGCUACCUCCAGUUAUGUUUUUGAUUGAUGCCUUUUUGAGGCAUAAUAUCUAUCCCCUGCAGCAUUGGACCCAAAGAAGGGGAAUUCUCCUAGAAGCCUUGUACAAAAUGUCUGAAGGAUUCUUCUUUGGGCCUCAUCAUCUGAUCAUGGCAGCCCUUCUAUACUUUGAGGAGAAGGUUCACAAGAAGAAGCUUCAAAGAGCAGAUUGCAUUCCACUCCUCUUCCCAAGGCUGCUAUGCCAAGUUUUGGAGCAUCUCGGAUACCCCUCUGAGCCUCAGCAGGAAAGAAAGAGAAUAUGCCGUGAGCCUUUUACCCUUGAUAAAUGGAAUAAUAUGACGGCCUACAAAAUUGAUCAGCCUGGGCAGCCUCAGCCAGCAGCAAGGAGAGUCUCCCCAAGACAUAUACCUGAAGGUAUAACACUUGCUACUCCUGCCAUCCCUCGAGCUCCACCAGCUGCACCUGCUCCAUCACAGCCAUCCACAUCAGCUGAGCCGAGGAUGGCCAUCCCUAUAUCCGAAUAUCGAGAGCUGUGCCGUGCAUUGGAGACUCUUACAGCUUCUCAGAGCAAUCUUGCUCAGGAGUUGGCAGCCAUUAAAGCAUGCCAGGAGCAGAUGUUAGCCUCUCAGACUCAACAAGCUGCCAUCCUAAGGCAGCUUCAAGUCCAUUUCGAUCUGCCACAAGCUGUAGAGCCCUCUAUUCCUACUCCACCAGAGCCACACUCUCAGCCUUCAGAGUCUCAUCCUCCAGAACCCGAAGCACCAGCUGAUCCACCUACUGAGGAGGCAGAUCCUUCUGCCUAGCACCAUCACCCCCCUCAUCAGACAUUAUAUAUAUAUUUGCUGUUUAUGUUUUUAUGCAUGUUUGUUUUGUUUUAGUUGAAAAGAAAUCCCAGUAUUUUGGUACUAUAUAUGGGAUUCCUUGUGUUACUUGUCUUUAGUAUUGUAAUCACAUGAACUCAAAGUAAUACAAGUUGACUAUUUCUUGUUAAAAGUUAGCAUUAAAGUUUCCUUAUUUCCUUUUCUCACAUAUUCUAUUCUUUUUGAAACAUGUGGUUUUCCCCAAUCAAUAUUCGAAUUUGAUAUCAGCAUGGAGGUACCACUUCCUCCCUUUUAUUACAGUCACUCAAAUCACAUUGAGGACAAUGCUCAGUUCGGUUGGGGGGUAUGAGGAAGGAAGUAUUCUAAACCUUUUUGGUAUUGCAAUUAUAUUGGUUAAUUAGUUGUAGAUUUUACUUUUUACUAGUGUUACUCUAUUCUCCAUGAAUUUUGAGGAAAAAUUUUCAAAUUAAACCAAGAGAAAUUGAACUGUUGUUUUUCACUUGACUUAGAGUAUGGAUUAUGCUUACUAAAGUGGUUCAAUUGUUGAAACUUCUACUGAAAUUGAAUUGAGUUCUUCCACUUUAAGCUAUCCACACACUGUGCACAUUAGUUUCCGAUUAUAAGAUGAAAAGCUAUUUCCCUCUUGACUUAGUAUAUUUUUGGGACUUGGUAUAUUUGACCUCAUUUGAUAAAAAUUGAAACACCCUGCAAAAGGCCAAUGAGCCUUUGAAAUAAAGAAAGUUGUUUGCUUGCCUUGAAACCCGAGCAAGGUCUGAGGGGUAUAUGGUGAAAAUCUUUAAAGCCUGGUGCCCUAAGCCUUAAUUGGUUGGGAGUCACCGACCUCAAUGCUCGUUACAAGGGUGAAUAGGUAGAGUUAGCAUAUGGUAGAUGCUUGGGUAUUAGAAAUUCAUUCUUAAAAGUCCGGGGAAAAAUCCGAGGAGUUAGUGGUUGAAAGAUCCUUAAAACUUGGUGCCCUAAACCUUAAUUGGUUGGGAGUCAUCGAUGGACCCCCAUUACAUGGACAAGUCAGAAAGAGUACCCCAUAAAGCUACCUUAAAAAAAAAAAAAAAAAAAAAAAAAAAAAAAAAGAUGAAAGUGUGUUCUUUUCUUAUUGAUUUUGGUCAGUUUGCUAAAGUGUUGAAAAGAGAUAGGUUGGGGGGUGAGAUUAGUAGCAUAUUAUUCUCGGAACCUAAGGAACCAAUACACAUAGAUUUUUGUGGAAGAUUGAAGUUUAGUUCUUAGAAAAUGAAAUGAUUUUAAAACUUCAGUUUGCAUAAUGCACUCCCUUGAUUGACAGUGUUUAGCAUAGGUGUUAUGACUCUUGUUGAGAUUUGGGUUUGUAUUUCUUUAAUGAUUCAUGUGAGAAAUAGAUCAUCAUGCCACUUGAGAAUUAUUUUCCUUUUAGCAUGAUGUUGUAAAUUUUAGAUUAGUUUGCUAUUUAUUUUUUAUUUUCUCUCCUAUAUUGCUAAGGGACUAGCAAUAUGUCGGUUGGGGGGAGUGAUUACUACUCAAAAAGUGCUAUUUGAUAGCCUUUAAUUAAUCCUUUUUAACACUUUUGAGUAGUAGUUUAGGCCUUUUAACUCAAUUGGCAUGUUAAGGAUCCUUUAAAGCAAUUUUGAUCACUUUGUGCAAGUUUUGGUGUUUUUGUUAGUAUUUUGAUCACCAAAGCAAGUCAAGAAUGAGGAGAACUAUGAGGAAUCAUGGGCAAAGCUUAGAAUUCAAUUGCCAAGAGUGAAUCCGGAUUGCAAGGAGAAAAAGCAAAGAGAAUCUGUCAUGAAGCCUAUUCUUGAUGACAGUCGUAGCAGCCACUUUUGGAGCACUUUCUGAAGUCCAAAUGAUGCAAGCUAUAUACCAUUUCAAAGCUCAGGAAGUCAACAAUCCAAUGCUUCAAACGGUGCGCGAUUCGGAGUUGAAACGAAGAAGUUGCAGCCAUUACAAGCCAGUCACUCUAAAGUGUUGCGGAAUCAGCCUUUUGUUGCGAGAAUUUCGCAGCACUUUUGUACAGUAAGGUGUUUCUCCUUCUGACGAUGCACGAACCAUGCCGCGAGAGGGAAGCUAGGAACUUCAAGAUGGAAGCCAACUUUGCAGCCUGGUGAAGAUAGCUUGGUCUUGCGAAAUAAUUUCGCAGCCCUCUUGGGUGUCUGCGAAAUUUCGCAGGCACCACUUUUUUCCUGCGAAAUGGCUCCGGAAGCCUCCCGAAGCUUGCUACCGACAUUGGGAGAUAUUUUCCAUUAGAUUUUUGUUGUCUAAAUUCCAAAAUACUCCUUGUAAACCACCAAUUACAUGAUUCCUUAGUUUUUAAGUUAGUAAAAAGACCAAAUAUCUAUGUAAUAAUUAGUUUUAUAUUAGUUUGCUAUAAAUACCUCUCGGGAGCAUGUUCUCAGAGAGGAGUUCCUUCUGUAACCAUUUUGGUAAGCAAGUAAAGUCUUUUCUUUCUACUGCCUUACCUUCUCACUUUGUAUUUUCAUUUUAUUUCUAAGUUAUGAAUUCUCUGAGGAGCUUUCCCCAGAGAAUGAGUAACUAAACCUCCAAUUCCUUGGAGCUAAGGUUGCCGGGGAAGGUUCCAAGUGCAAGAAUGCAAAGCUCUGUGGUUUUAGCUAGUAAUGAAGAGGAAGUGAAAUCCUUUAGUGAUUUCAAUGUUUUUAGUUAACUUAAAACACCUUGGAGUCACCUGGGCCAACACUUGGUAAGGCAAGUGAUUUCCAACCGUGGAAAUGCACUAGUUUACCCCUUGCGAGCCUCUGGUAGGUGACUUCAAGGUAGGAUUUUCUGGAAUUACCAACACUUGGUAAGCUUUUGGACUCCUAGGAGACAUCCAUUAGUUAUCUCUUGCGAGUUUGUGAAGGGGAAUCCAAGGUUAAAGAUCACCUUGAAUGGUAAGUGCUCGUGAGAGGCAUGAACCAUUGCAAGUUGUAUCAGUGAGAGAAUUAAAGUGAAAUCUAAUUGAAGGAGUCUCUGUACAUCACCGGUUAGAGAAUUGACUAUAAGUUGAAUCUCUAAUGCGAGGAAAUGAACCAUCUGACCGGAGCUAUGUCUUUUGCAUGAGGAACCACCCCAGUGAACCUAAAUCUCCAAGGAAUGCUUUUCUUCCUAAAUUAUUCCAAACUUCUGUUAAGUUAGUUAGUUUAAGUCUAAACCUUUACCAAUCAAACUUUGUGUUUUAUUCCUUAAGCUAACCGUGAAAUGAAACAAAACCAAUUCACUUGGAAUUGGUAUCCUUGAUUGCUUGCAAAUCAUUCCCAGUGAACGAUCCUUAGAGCCACUAUACUAUAGUAGCUUUGUAUUUGCUACCCUAGUGUAUGGUGUUAUAGGUAUAAAUUUUGUUGAUCACUUCCUCAAUCAAGGAACACCAGCUGAACACAAAUCAGCUGAGACACCAAUUGGGCAUGAGUCAGUGCGUUAGAGGAUCAAGAAGAAGAAAAAGAAGGAACUGUUGGAAUUAGUAUGAGUGUGAAGAGAAAAGUAUAUAAAUAAGGGGAAGUAAAAGCAAAGUUCAAAAAGCUAUAUUUUUUUAUUGUUGGUGUAUGGUUGCAUGAUUAUCCCUAUAAAUAAUAGGAGUUUUUUGGUAUUCUACUAGUAGUUGAAGCAUAAUUUCAUAAAUUAAUAUUUAGAGCGGGGUGGGGUGAGUUGUGACAAAAUUCAUACCCGUCCCAAACCUUGGUUCAGAUUUUUAAAAUAUUCUCAAACUUAUCAUAUACCCAACUUUUAUAUUUCAUACUUGUCCUAAUAGAGGCACGUUAGGCCGGGUUACUUGAGUAACCUACAUAAUUGUCAUCCCUAGUUGAAAUACACUUUUUGGCAGUGGCCACCAACUGAGCUAGAAGCUUGAUUGAUUGACCUACAAGAUUAGUUCUCAUCAUUUUAAAAAAAGUUCUGGCUUUGGUUGUGAGUGCAAUUGAAUCUAAACUGGCAUUUGCUUAAUGCAUCUACUUCAAUCCUAAACUUCUUACUUCUUAAGCCUCAAUUGUUGUUAGGAUUUUGGAAAACCCAUUUCCUUAAAUUGUAAAUUUAAGAUAAAAUAAAAUAAAAGUGAGACAUUUCUUGAUUGAAUAUUGUUAAAGGUCCCUUGGCAUUAAGACUUGGUUGAAGCCUUGGAAGAUUAGUGGAACUCUCAACAUGUGUUUGAAUCUUGAGGAGAGUGGAUGUAAGCCAAAAUUUUGUCAAACCAUUAUACAAAUUGAGUUUGAAUCCUCAUUUCUUGAUUUCUUAUUUAUUUGCUUUUUCUUAUUAUUACUUGAAUUGUCAUUUGCAUUCAUUAAUGUUAAAAUUGGUUAUAAUUAACCAACACUAAUUCUCUUUCCCCUUCCCUUUCUUGGGUGUAAACCUAGGUUGGAUUAACUAGAUAAAUCUAUUAAGAUGGUAAAAGAAUAAUUAUUCUUAACAUACAUAAGAUCAUCUUCAAUCAAAUGACUCAUUGGCUAAUAUGUUGAAUUUGCUUAUUACUUGCAACUCAAAAUUGUGUUCUAGUUGUGUCAAGUCCCCAGUGUAUGGACAUUAAAUUUGUAGUACGUGAUGAGUAAUUAGAUGGUCCAACUCCAAGAAAGUGAUUGAAAAGUAGUUCAAGAAAGGUGCAAAAGGGAAUUGUUUUGGUAUUUUCGUUUUUAUUCUUGAAGGUGGCAGAGCUAAAAUUUGAGAAAUCAAGCAAAACAUACUGAAAUUACAUUGAAAGAAAGAAGAUGGGAGUUAAUGUCUUGCAGUACAUGAUAAGGACUUCAUGCAUGUAGUGUGACCCAUGUCUUGGACUGAUGCCAACUCACGGUUACACUUAUACCCUUGGUUCUCUCUUUACUACCUUGGCUAACCUAGAUCAGGCUAUGAGAUAGGCUCCUCACCACACCAUUACUUGCCCAUUAAUUAGAGACAUUUUCAAGCAAUGAGGUAACAUGGUGACACCAAGAGGGUCUAUUCCUCGCCCGGAACAAGUCUAGACUUGGUCUCAAAAAAAUGGAGAAAAAUGAGGUGUCGUUAUGUAGAAAUACAACAACCAUGCCUUCCUCAUUACUUAGAUUCAGAAUGUGAAGGUGAAAUUGAGAAACAGAAACUCUUGAAACCAAAAUGAAAAUUGAUACUUUUACGAAGAAUUACAACAACAUUAGAGGAAGACUACAUUCUUCCUCUUUAUUCCUACAUUUCUACACUACUUCUACUCCACUCCAUAUUUCUACAUACAUCUUUAAUCAGUCUUCCCUCCUUUAUAUAGAGCCAUCUUCACACAAAUUUCGCAAGGUAGAAAAGAGGAAUGAAACUUGGAGCAAGGUUCGACUACUGGUUGUAGCUUGUCAAGGCUGGAAGUGAACUUUUCUUGGCUUUCUGGGCAUGGGUAGUAACUUGUGGGUUCCUGUUUGGCAUAAAAAUGGCUAGAACAUGUGGCACUAUCUUGUUGGAUGAUGUGUCAAGCAUGUGGCAGCCAUCUAGUGGCGAUUAUGUCAAUUUUGGGAUGGAGAGUUGGCAUCCAAUUGCAAAGAAAUAUGACGUCUACCAACAUGCAAUGUAAACCUAUGUAGAUCAUAUGAAGAUAGAGAGGAAAAAUAUAGAAAUGGAUAUAUACCUAGAACUAGCUUUUUAUUAAAUGAAACGGAGAGACAACAAUGAAGGAAAAUAAAAUUUUUUGGCUUAUAUCAAAGAGUUCACAUUGUGUUACCCUAGGUUUUCUUAAAACUUACUUUUAUGAUAACAAAAAAGAAAAAACCAUUAUUGUUUAAUCCUUUGUUUUAAACGCAUGUAAGGUGUAAUUAAGUUAGUUCAAUGCAUUAAUUUAAGAAACUUGACCUAUCAAAAGUACAAAAUUAGAUGAAAUCCAUUUCAAUGGUUAAAAUGAUCAAAAUCAAACUUUUUCUAAGUAUUUUUUAAAAGCAUCAAUAGUGAAAGACAAUUUUAUAUUUAGUCGGAGUUUGGACAAAACUGAAAAACACACAAAAUCCAAGCGACCAUCUCUAGCUUGGAUGGUCGCUUGAUCCCACCUAGAGAUGUGCAUGAGUAAAAGGAUUUGAAAAUGGAAAUUGACUAUGUAGUCGAUCAAUUAACUUUGCAACAUCAUAUGCAAUCCUAAUUGCUAGUCAUCUAAUCAAUUAGGUAGUCAAUCAACAGGCCAAAAAUAUGUUUAUAAUGACUAUUUUGUACAAAAACCACCUGUAUAGUUAAAUAUAAUGCAUUUCAUUUAUAAAUCUUCUAAUUCUUGAAUAACGAUCCUAUCAUCCUUUGAAAGUUUUUAUUACACUUUUUUUACUUUUGUUCUAAAACUUACACAUCACCCUUAAUUGUACCAUGAGAACCUAGCUAUUUUUUAUUUUUUUUUUUGUAAUUCAUCAAAGUUAGCUUUUGUAUUCAUUGUUGUAUUAUUUUUAGUAUAACUUAGAAAGCUAGUGUUUUCAAGUGAGUAAAAUUAACUUGUAAAUAUUGUAAAGAUUCAUCGACAUGUAUCUUAAACUAAGUGUACAAGUUAAAACAUUUGCUAGUAGAUUUUCUCAAAAUUUAGAAUAGAGCUUGAGACUAUUGAAAUAGGUGGGGUUGCACCAAACCACAUCACAUCGUUGUUUGCACCUUUUUUCACUCUCUUUUACUUAGUUGCUCUAUAUUUGUUGUCUAGUAAUAUCCUAUAGGCUUGAUGGGUUAGGGAGCAUCCCUUUGUGAAAAAAUUUUAUUCAAUCCUUAGUUGUAUCACGCAUAUAUAAAAUGCCUCAUUGUUUUAAUGGUAUUCAGUCGUGGCAUCACAGAUAUGGGCAUCUAAAUUUUAAAAGUUUGAAACUUUUAUCUAAAGAAAAUAUGGUGCUUUGCCUUUUUGUAAAGCAUGUUGAUGAAAUCCAUGAGAAUUGUGUACUUGGGAAGCAACACCGAGAUGACUUUUUUUUUUUUUUUAUAAUAUUGUUUGUCCAAAUUCCCUACAAAUUAGGCCACCAGAUGUUCAUAAUUCUCCCUUCUUGAAUUUGAAAACUCGGACAAUUGGACAAUGCGACACCUAAGUCCGGUUUCUAAAUGCUAAAGUGAAAGGGUAGGUAUGGACCAUUGAAAUGUGAUCACAACUUUUCUCUGUAGCCAUGUUGUCUCUUUUUUCUUUUGCAUGAUUUUCUUACCUUAACAGAAUCAUAGACUUGUUUAGUCUCUAAAUGGGAUUAAUUUCAUCCAGCUUUAAGCUACUAUAUUAUAUCUAGGUGGAGGACUUUUAAGAGUGCAACCGACAUAGAGCACAUGGAAGUGGGUAUAUGGGACAUGAAAUUUCUUCUUAUAAAGAUUGCAUGAUUUUUAUAUUAGAGUUGUUGAGGCGCUAUGUAUUUAGCUUGUUUUGCAGUUAAAUUAAUUGGAUAAGUAGACAUUGGCGUUUCUAAAUCUACUGUGAAGUGCUUCAUGUACGUGUGAAGUAUUAGAAAUUUCUUUCUUGGCAACUUGUUUUUCUUUGCGGUCUACUGAUAGGUUUGACUAAAAUUAUAUUCCCUGUCAUGCUAAUUAAUUUUCACGUGCAUGCUCAAAAGAAAAGUAUGACCUUAGUGCACCAAAAUCACUUUGAUUAAUUUGUGAUAGGUUUUUGUGCAUCAUGACAUUAGCCUUAUUCAUUUAGAUAAUGUUUAGUUUUUAGAAAGUAUUAAGAAAAGGAAAAUAAAUAUUAAGAAAAAUAUUCUUAUAUUUGAUUGUAUUAUGAAAAAUAUCAUAAAAAAAUCAAAUAUAAUUUAAAUUAAUUAAUAAUUUAUACAUUUUCAAAUUAUUUAAUCUUUAUAUUGAAGAUAUAAUAUAAAUGAAAUGAGUUUUAAGUAUUAUAUAAAAGUGAUUUAUUGAUCUUACAUAUAUAUAUUUCUUUUUUUUUUCCUUCUAUUUUUUCUCUUUAUUUUAUUUUCCUUAUGUUUUCCUCAACAUUUUCCGGAACCAAACAUAGCCUUAGGAAAUCCACAAUUACCUUCAACUGAGUAGAUUCUGUUGUUUUAGCAAUGUUAGGCUGCUAACUUGUGUUGGUACGAACCUAUUAAGCCUAAAGAUGUAAUUAGUUAGGAUAUUCUUUUCCCUCUAGUCUUGUAGCUCCACGUGUACAGUUGGUUAGGACCUCAUUGUAUAUAAUGCUUGCCCUGUUAUUGUAGAAGACAACAAAGAUAAAUAAUAUUAACAUUUUUCCUCUCAUCUCUCUCUGUUUCCCUCUGUUUUCAUCUCCUCUCUCAUCUUGGUAUCAGAGCCUCCAUGGCUUCUUUCAAAGAAACCUCCGAAUCACCUUCUGCUAGCAUUGUUAAUGUGCAAAACCCAUUAUCUCAAUCAAACAACCUUCCUUCACCAGUAGCCACACCCUCUUUUUCUUUCUCGUCUAUGAAUCAACCUCUCACAGUGAAGCUGGAUAAUGGGAACUACCUCAUAUGGAAGAAUUAGCUUCUAAAUGUCAUCAUUGCUAACGGACUCGAUGAUUUCAUUGACGGAUCUCGACCCUGCCCUCCUCGAUUUCUCGAUCUGCAACAACAAACCCUCAAUCCAGAGUACUCAGCUUGGCAGAGAUACAAUCGACUUCUGAUGAGUUGGCUGUACGCAUCCUUGUCCAAAGAUAUAAUGGCUCAGAUUGUUGGGUAUUCAACAGCUAUGGAGAUUUGGAAUGCCCUUAAUCAGAUUUACUCUGCCUCUUCUAUGGCGCGGUUUACUGAGCUUCGCACCAAGCUUCAAACGCUCAAGAAAGAUGGACUCUCAGUUGGUGAAUAUAUUCAAAGGCUCAAAUCCAUUUGCAAUAGUCUUGCAGCAAUAGGAGAACCAGUUUCUGAGAAAGACCAUCUUAUCUAUUUGUUCAAUGGAUUAGAUUGUGAGUAUUAUUCUUUUGUUACCUCCAUUCAAAAUCGAUCUGACCAACCAACUAUUGACAAAAUCCAUAGCCUAUUGCUUAGCUAUGACUUCCGGCUUGAACAACAAAACUCUGUUUCUCUCCAUUCUGCCCAAGUCCAUAUGGCUCAUCUGAACAAGAAACCUUAUAAAUCAACUCCUCAACCUACAUUCAAUCAUAUUCACAUUCAACCUAGAUACUCUUCUCCACCUUUUAAGCCAACCACUAGUCAAUAUCAACCCAACAUUUUGGGCAAACCACAACCACAACCAUGACAGCCUCAACCUCAAUGGAAACCACAUUUUUCAAUCUAAAAUCAAAAGCCUCAGCGCCAAAUUUGUGGUAAAUUUGGACACACUGCUCUUAUUUGCUUCCAUCACACAAAUUUGAACUAUUCACCCCAACCUUCUCCUAAAUCUUUCAAUACUGUUCUCACCACAAAUUCCCAGCUCCCUAAUCCUCCAAAAUUUUCUUACCCUACAAUGGCUCAUCCUGCUGCUACGCAUAACACGGUUCCCGAUACAAAUUGGUACAUGGACUCAGGUGCUACACAUCACUUUACUCUGGACAUCAACGUGCUUGACACUGUGACACCAUUUAGUGGUUCAGAACAGGUGACAGUUGGGAAUGGUAAGCAACUCUGUAUCUCACAUCUUGGUACUGCAAAACUACCAUCUUCGUAUUCUCCUCCUGUUCUACAUCAGGUAUAUCACACUCCAAAAAUUUCAAAUAAUCUUAUUAGUGUUAAAAAAUUGUGUUCUGAUAAUAAAGUUUUUGUUGAAUUUUAUGCCACUCAUUUUCUUGUCAAGGAUCAGGUUUCGAAGAGAGUUCUCCUUUAGGGUCAACUUGAUAAUGGCUUAUACAAAGUUCAGUCGUCAUGCUCUCCUUCUGCUGUUUCCUUUCCUCCUCAAGUUUUCAUAGCCAACAUCAAGUAUCCAAAUCUGUGGCACAAGAGACUAGGCCACCCAGCUUUAUCUGUUGUUAAUCAAAUCUUGGAUUCUUGUAACAUUGCUCGAACACAGAAAAUUUGUUUUAAUUUUUUAAAUUCUUGUCAAUUAGCAAAGAGCCACAGGCUUCCUUUUUCUCUGUCUCCAUCCAUUGCAGAAAAACCUUUUGAGUUAAUUCAUACAGACCUAUGGGGUCUUUCGCUCGUUCGCUCUAUUUCUGGUGCUCUUUAUUUUUUACUUUUCAUUGAUGAUCAUACUCGUUUUACUUGGUUUUAUUUGCUCAAAACAAAAGAUGAAGCAUAUCCUACUUUUCUCAAGUUUCAAGCUCUCAUUGAAAAUCAAUUUAAUACCAAGAUUAAGGCUGUCCAAUCUGAUUGGGGAGGUGAGUUUCGAUCUCUCUCCAUACCGUUUUCAAAUAUGGGCAUUGUCUAUUGUUUAUCGUGUCCAUACACCUCACAACAGAAUGGGCGAGUUGAGCGAAAAAAUCGCCAUGCGAUUGUCCUUUCUUGCUUGCUCUAUGCCCUUAUCUUAUUGGCCUUAUGCCUUUCAAACUGCCACUUACCUUAUUAAUCGUCUCUCUACCCCUGUGCUGCAUCAUCAAUCCUCUUACUUCGCACUCUAUCACAAACUCCCAACUUAUACUCAUCUUAAGGUCUUUGGUUCCUCUUGUUUUCCGUAUUUGCACCCUUAUAAUACCCAUAAACUCCAAUACAGGUCACUAGAGUGUGCUUUUCUUGGUUACAGUUCACACCACAAAGGUUAUCUAUGUCUUGACAUUCAUUCUAGCAGGGUGUAUAUUUCUCGCCAUGUGAUUUUUAAUGAAGAUUCUUUUCCAUUCAAGAAUUUGAAAUCUUCUCUCUCUCAGUCUAUUUCUUCUUCCUCUUCUUUAUAAGUUCCUCUGUUCAUUCUCUUGCCUCCCCUUUCCCCAUCUCCUCUUAUUUCUUCAUCUAUACCUCAUUCUUUUCCCUCUUCUUCUUCUACCUCUAGUACUUGUUCCCCUCUCGUUGCUCCUACCUCUCUUCCUUCCUCUUCACACUCUGUGUCUCCAUCUAUUCCACCUCCUUCUCCACCUUCUCCGAGUGUGGACCUGCUUGCACCUUGUGUGAAUACAAAUUUACAUACUUCUUCUCGCACUCACAAUAUUCAUCCUAUGGUGACUAGAUCUAAGGUUUGUAUCUAUAAACCUAAGUUGUUGUUGAGUGUCUCCAUAGGUUCUCUCACUAAGCCUACUUCCUUUCUUCAAGCUAUUAAAGAUCCUUCAUGGAAGCAAUCCAUGGAAUUCGAGUUUGCUACCCUUCAACACAACAAGACCUGGCAUUUGGUUCCUUCACCUUCCUCAGGCGAAGUAAUCGGUUGUAAAUGGGUCUAUAAGCUAAAGCUUCAGCCUGAUGGCUAAAUUGAGAGAUACAGCCUGCUUAGUAGCUAAGGGUAUCAUCAAAUUGAAGUAUGGACUACUUCGAAACAUUCAGCCUGAUNNNNNNNNNNNNNNNNNNNNNNNNNNNNNNNNNNNNNNNNNNNNNNNNNNNNNNNNNNNNNNNNNNNNNNNNNNNNNNNNNNNNNNNNNNNNNNNNNNNNAGCUUCAGCCUGAUGGCUAAAUUGAGAGAUACAAGGCCUGCUUAGUAGCUAAGGGUUAUCAUCAAAUUGAAGGUAUUGACUACUUCGAAACAUUCAGCCUGAUUGUCAAGCUUUCUACUAUCUGUAUUGUGCUCAGUCUUACUUUUUCCCAGAAUUGGUGUAUUAGACAGCUGGAUGUUCAUAAUGCCUUCUUACAUGGUGACUUAGCUAAAGACGUUUUCAUGGAACAACUGCCUGGAUUUGUUGAUCCUCUCUAUCCUACUCAUGUCUGCAAGUUGGAUAAGUCUCUCUACUGUCUUAAAUAGUCACCUCGGGCUUGGUAUACUAAGCUGAGUACUUCUCGCUACACUUGGGAUUUGUUACUUCUAAGAAUGACUCUUCCUUAUUUAUUUGUCAUUCGUCUCAUGGGUUACUUCUUGUUCUUGUCUAUGUGGAUGAUAUAAUCGUCAUUGGGAGCCACUCUCCUCAGGUUACUCACCUUAUCCAACAGUUGCAUCAUUAGCUUUCUUUAAAGGAUCUUGGUCCUUUACAUUAUUUUCUGGGCUUGGAGGUUCAUCACACCCCUACUGGUAUUCACCUCAGCCAAGCAAAGUAUAUCACUGAUCUCCUUACCCGGGCGGCUAUGUUGGAUGCCAAGCCAUGUCCCACUCCUAUGUCCUCCAACACAUAUCUCUCUUUUCAUGAUGGAGUGGCUCUUGAAAAUGGUUCAGAUUAUCGAAGUUUUGUUGGUGCCCUUUAGUAUUGUACCAUGACACGCCCAGAUAUAGCUUUUGCAAUAAAUAAAGUGUGUCAAUUCAUGCACCAUCCCUCUAAUGUUCACUGGCAGGCUAUAAAACGUAUUCUCCGGUACUUAAAGGGCACAUCUCAUUUUGGUCUCUUCCUACAGCCUUCCUAUGACUUCAACAUCACUUGCUAUACAAAUGCCGACUGGGCUUCCUGUCCUGAUGACAAGUGUAGCACCAGUGGCUACUGCCUCUUUCUUGCCUCUAAUCUGGUUUCUUGGUCAUCUUCCAAACAAAAAGUGGUCUCCCGCUCCAGCGCCGAAUCAGAGUACCGAGGGGUAGCAAAUGGGGCUGCUGAAAUUGCUUGGACUGAAUCUCUUCUUUGUGAACUUUCCAUUACUCCCCCUCCCCUCAUUCUCUGUGACAAUAUCAGUGCCACGUACUUAGCUGCCAAUCCUAUUUUGCAUGCCCGCACCAAACAUGUGGAAAUCGACUAUCACUUUGUCACGGAACGUGUUCUUCAAUGCUCUCUUUUUGUCCAGUUUACACCUUCUGAUGAUCAACUUGCUGAUUGCAUGACCAAGCCUCUCUCCACCCAACGUUUCAUCACUCUACGCUCCAAGCUCACUGUUCUCACUAGACCAAUGAGCUUGAGGGGGGAUGUUAAGCCUAAAGAUGUAAUUAGUUAGGAUAUUCUUUUCCCUCUAGUCUUGUAGCUCCACGUGUACAGUUGGUUAGGACCUCAUUGUAUAUAAUGCCUGCCCUGUUAUUGUAGAAGACAACAGAGAUAAAUAAUAUUAACAUUUUUCCUCUCAUCUCUCUCUCUGUUUCCCUCUGUUUUCAUCUCCUCUCUCAUCUGAACCAAAUGAUCCAUGUUAACCUUGGCUUGGUUUGAUUUGGCUCUAUCUUAGAGAGCUCAAGGAUCACGUCAACUCUGGUUUCUACUAUUCAGGUCCAUUCCCAUAUGAACUGGUUCAAAUUUGAGAAAAUGGUAACAGACCUUUAGUGAUGUUGGUUUGGAGCCAGUUGCCAAACCCGCCCUGAGCUUUACCACUAAUGUCAAGGGAGAAAGCCAUUUGAACAAAAACAAUAGCUUCAAGGGACUGAAUCGUGGAUGAAAUCUGAUCCACAUUUCUUCUCAUUUUGGAAACAAAUGAGAACUUAACUAAGAAGAUUCUACGGCCUCAUAGUGCUUUUCCUGAUCUAAGGUUGGUUCGUUUCCCAAACUGUGAGAUGCACGUGCCAGACUUCAGAACUCUCACGCUCAGGAGUGUAUCCACGUGGUGGACAUAAGAUGGUGGCUUAAGAUCUGGUGUCGGUGGCUUUACUUUACUAGGAGAGUAGUGUGUCUUCAUCUCAUUCACUGCCGGAGGGUGGCGUAAGCAGUGACGCUAAGGUGGGGCACAGUCAAUAUCAUUUGCAUUUGACCAUUAUAGUUUUCUCCCGGCUUUAAAGUAACCUUAUCGUGAUAAAGGAUUACUAGCACUAGUUCAGAUGAUAGUCAUGUUAAAUUCGGACCAUGUUUGUGUCACAUUAUCAGCAACCAUGUGUUUAUGGUUCAUGCUUUCUGCAACUAAAAUUGAUAUAUAACCAGGUGAACUUCAAUCUAAAUUCUGAAAGUACUCAUGUGAUAGAUGGUGCCCGUCUGCAGAGUCCAUCAAUUGAAAAAUGGAGUGAGUGUAUCUAUAAGAGGGAAGGCUUGGAAAAUGUUCAGUUUUCUGGGAAUUCAACAAGGAUCUAAAAUAGAUUGUUUUCUUUGCUGAUUUCAAUGGUUGAAAUUUGAGAAGAUUGUGUCCACAUAACACAACUAUUACUGGUCCUUCUGUUGCAAUUUAUCCUCUAAAGCUCUAGCAUGUCUUCCAAUUCCCACUUCCCUGUUACUCCAGGAAAGCUAUUUCUGUCAUUGUGAAGAAGAAAAGAGAAUGUACAUAUCGAUGCUUUUAAGUGACUGGAGCAUUUAUAUCAGGUGGUCUGCAGCCAUAUAUGCCACUUUGUGAAGAUUGGAACAGUCAAUCACUAGGCUAUAUAUUAGUGUGGCCCAGCCACUUUAAUCAAGGACAAGUCUUCAUACUUAAAGUCAAAUUCUGCCUUUAGUCUCAUUAUAAAUUUCUGUUUAAAUAUUAAGCAAACAUUUGUUUAAUGCGAUUAAGACAGUACUAACUCAAUACCUGUUCUAUUUUUGGAUGCAAAUGCUUGAUGGUUUCAUCAUUGGAUGGGAUAAAGGUGCAUUCAUGAUUAGGAAUACUAGUAGUUAUAUUUUAAUUCUCUUUUUUCUCAAUGAGACUUGUUGGCACAAUUUUGCUGUUGAGAAACCUACCUCUCCAUGGAAAAUAAGUUGUGAUUGAUAGUACUGGAUAUAUUCAAGAAAUCUAAAUAUAGAUAGCACAAAAUAUUAUCGACAUAAAUAGCAUUAACAGCGUACGUAUGUCUCAGUGCUCAUCAGCUAUAAGCAUGGGGCAAACACUUACUAUGAGCAACUUACGUCAAAAUUCCAGAAUAGGACAUAGAAGUGACAGAUAUAGAACAUUGCAUAUGAGUCACAAGAAAGGAAAUUACGGGUGCAUAGCAGCUCUUAUUUUACAUACUACUACUCAUACUGAUCAAAGUCACUCAGUUGGGAUGGGUGGGAGUAGGAGGUUUGUGGGGUGGCUUGUGCGGAGGAGUUGGCAGCUUCUUUCCAGGACCUGGUUGCUUCUCUGCUGGAGUUGAAGGAGGCUUAAUCUUCCGAGGUGGCUUGUAUGAGUCUUCAGCAUUCUCAGCUGGAGGGUGACCAGGGUUGUGACCAUAAUGUGGUGGCUUCUCUCCCUUAGGUGGUUUGCCAACUGGGGUUGGUGGCUUGUAUGAGUCUUCAGCAUUCUCAGCAGGAGGGUGACCAGGGUUGUGACCAUAAUGUGGUGGCUUCUCUCCCUUAGGUGGUUUGCCAACUGGGGUUGGUGGCUUGUGUUCUGGGAGUGGCUUCUCCCCCUUGGGAGGUUUUUCCAAUGGGGUUGGUUUGUGUUCAGGAGGUGGCUUCUCCACUGGAGGCUUGUGUUCAGGAGGUGGCUUCUCCACCGGAGGCUUGUGUUCAGGUGGUGGCUUCUCCACCGGAGGCUUAUGCUCUGGUGGUGGCUUCUCGAAUGGGGGAUGCUUAGGAUAAUCAGCAAGUGAGGGGGCGGUGAGAACCACCAGGCCAAGCAACACCACUAGCAAAUAUGUAGGAGACAUCUUUGGGUUUGGGCUCAGAUGGUGCAAAACUAGGAGAAUUGGCUAGCCUUUUAUAGCGGAUCGUACCCAAUAAUGAAAUGACACGUGUCAUUAUGACCCAUGUGUAAUGGGGUCGAUUUGGGUCCUACAGUGUUGAAAACUUCGACAUCCACUUUUGGCCUUUUGCUUUCUCUACAGCCGCCUUGCUUUUUCCCUCUUUCCUUUUGUUUUCCUCCUGCCCCAUUCUAUCAACUAAACACAAUUAUGUAGUUGUUUAAUUCUUAAAUGAGAUAUUAUCCGUCAAUCGUAUUAUAUUUUAUCAAGAGAGAACGGAGUGCAAUGUGGCUGUAAUUUUAUCGUUUAGUUUUAUCUCUUGGACCACUGCAUUUUUGUUAAGAGGUGCAAUAAUACACGUCUUUAUCUGCCAUUCAAUAUUUACAGUAAAGAGAGGGCACAAAACUCUUCACUUCGCACCAUAAUUAUUUUGUUUUCUGGACACCCCGGGGCCCUUUGGUUGGUUUGGGGGUCAGAAAGUGAACAUCAUAGGGGGUUUUUCCCUUAUGUGCAUUUGUAUCUGAUGGCUUUAACUCGCCUUGUUACUACAAAGAAACUGUCACAGAUAGGAACUUAUUCCAGGCUGAGUAUCUCCUCAUAGACCCUAUAAAAGAAGACAAGUCAUAAUGAACAUCUAACCUUUGUUCAAUUUGAUUCAAUGCCCCCAUUGUGUCCAUCUCACAAAUCUGAAUUAUUAUAUCCAUUGAAUACAUAAAUUAAUGAAGAAAAUAUGAAACCCAAGAUACAUCUCUGCACAACCUCAACCCUGGUUGCUAUGUUUCCCUUCUAUUCACAUGAUUUGAUGCUAAUUGCCAAACUUGCAACAAGCCCUGAGUUUGACACCUAGUAUCGAUGGGCGAAUUUAAAGUCUCCUCCAAACAUAUAUUCCACAGCUUGAAGCUCACAGAAGAUGUUACAGGCAGGGAAAAACCUUCAGAGUUCGCUACCAAAGAUAAUUAUUAAGGAGAUAUCACAAAGAGAAUUCCAAGGGGUCUGAAUCAAAGACAAAUUGGUCGUUCGUGGGGGUUCUUACUUUCUUUUGGGUAUAACUCACUGAGGGCACUGUCUUUGUUAUUUGCAUUUCACAUUUAGAGUUCUGUUCUGGAAACAUAUAAAAGGAGCAUCAUUUUGUUCUUGGGUAACCCAUAGUCGUGAGUGGGUCCAUUUGCAUGCUACUUAGUUGAAAAGUUGGACCAUUUGCUCCGACGCCUACCUCCCGGAUUCCAUGCUCGGAUAAAACAAGAAUAAAAAAAAUAUUUAUAAUUUACAAAUGGGGGAAAGAAAAAAAUGUCAACAACAAACCAGGAAAAAAGAGUAGUAAAAUUCAUGUCACAUGCUAGUGAGAGAAGGGGUUGUUACACUCACUCGAAGUUCUUUCCAAAAUAUCGCAUGGUAUUUUAUUUUAUGUGUCAGCGCAGUUGUGAAUGGAACGUGCAAAAGUCCAAAUUGGCGUUUUUCCUUUUCCCGUGUAGGAUGGCGACCUUUAAUAAAUAUUUAAAACAAAAAACGAAAAAAAGGAGGGAAAAGGGAUCAGAAAAGAUAAAACAAUGUGUACAAGAGCUCAAUUAGUUUGCAAAUUACUGUUUGGAUUUUGAUAGUAUUUUAUUUGUCCAUCUAUAUUUGAUGGAAAAGAGAAUUUAAGAUAUUUCUGAAACAAAAGCAUUAGUGUAAAACUAAAUUAAGGUAUAAUUAAGUUAGUUCAAUGCAUUAAUUUAAGAAACUUGAUCUAUCCAAAGUACAAAAUUAGAUGAAAUCCAUUUCAAUGGUUAAAAUGAUCAAAAUCAAACUUUUUCUAAGUAUUUUUUAAAAGCAUCAAUAUUAAAAGACAAUUUUAUAUUUAGUCGGAGUUUGGACAAAACCAAAAAGCACACAAAAUCCAAGCGACCAUCUCUAGCUUGGAUAGUCACUUGAUCCCACCUAGAGAUGUGCAUGAGUAAAAGGAUUUGAAAAUGGAAAUUGACUAAAUAUUUAGUUGAUCAAUUAAAUUUGCAAUGUCAUAUGCAAUCCUAAUAGCUAGUCAUCUAAUCAAUUAGGUAGUCAAUCAAGUGUUUGUAAUGACUAUUUUGUACAAAAAACCACAUGUAUAGUUAAAUAUAAUGCAUUUCAUUUAUAAAUCUUCUAAUUCUUGAAUAACGAUCCUAUCAUCCUUUGAAAAUUUUUAUUACACCUUUUUUACUUUUGUUCUAAAACUUACAUAUCACCCUUAAUUGUACCAUGAGAACCUAGCUAUUUUUUUUUUUUUUGUAAUUCAUCAAAGUUAGCUUUUGUAUUCAUUGUUGUAUUAUUUUUAGUAUAACUUAGAAAGCUAGUGUUUUCAAGUGAGUAAAAUUAACUUGUAAAUAUUGUAAAGAUUCAUUGAUAUGUAUCUUAAACUAAGUGUACAAAUUAAAACAUUUGCUAGUAGAUUUUCUCAAAAUUUAGAAUAGAGCUUGAGGCUAUUGAAAUAGGUGGGGUUACACCAAACCACAUCACAUCGUUGUUUGCACCUUUUUUCACUCUCUUUUACUUAGUUUCUCUAUAUUUGUUGUCUAGUAAUAUCCUAUAGGCUUGAUGGGUUAGGGAGCAUCCCUUUGUGAAAAAAUUUCAUUCAAUUCUUAGUUGUAUUACGCAUAUAUAAAAUGCCUCAUUGUUUUAAUGGUAUUCAGUCGUGGCAUCACAGAUAUGGGCAUCUAAAUUUUAAAAGUUUGAAACUUUUGUAAAGCAUGUUGAUAAAAUCCAUGAGAGUUGUGUACUUGGGAAGCAACAUCGAGGUGACUUUAUUUUUUUUUCCUUUUAUAAUGCCACACCUAAGUCCGGUUUCUAAAUGCUAAAGUGAAAGGGUAGGUAUGGACCAUUGAAAUGUGAUCACAACUUUUGGCCUUUUCCUUUCUCUGCAGCCAUGUUGUCUCUUUUUUCUUUUGCAUGAUUUUCUUACCAAAACAGAAUCAUAGACUUGUUUAGUCUCUAAGCUACUAUAUUAUAUCUCGGUGGACUUUUAAGAGUGCAACCGACAUAGAGCACAUGCAAGUGGGCAUAUGGGACAUGAAAUUUCUUCUUACAAAGAUUGCAUGAUUUUUAUAUUAGAGUUGUUCACGUGCAAUGUAUUUAGCUUGUUUUGCAGUUAAAUUAAUUGGAUAAGUAAACAUUGGCAUUUCUAAAUCGACUGUGAAGUGCUUCAUGUACGUGUAAAGUAUUAGAAAUUUCUUUCUUGGCAACUUGUUUUUUCCUUGCCAUCUACUGGUAGGUUUGACUAAAAUUAUAUUCCCUGUCAUGCUAAUUAAUUUUCAUGUGCAUGCUCAAAAGAAGAGUAUGACCUUAGUGCACCAAAAUCACUUUGAUUAAUUUGUGAUAGGUUUUUUUGCAUCAUUUAGAUAAUGUUUAGUUCUAAGAAAAAUUUAUAUAAAAAUGGUUUAUUUAUCUUACAUAUAUAUAUAUAUAUAUAUAUUUUUUUUUUUUUCAUUUUUUUUUCUUCUAUUUUAUUUAUUUAUUUUAUUUUCCUUAUGUUUUCCUCACAUUUUCCGGAACUAAACAUAGUCUUACGAAAUCAACAAUUGCCUUCAACUGAGUAGAUUCUGUUGUUUUAGCAAUGUUAGGCUGCUAACUUGUGGUGGUACGAACCAAAUGACCCAUGUUAAUCUUGGCUUGGUUUGAUUUGGCUCUAUCUCAGAGAGCUAAAGGAUCACGUCAACUCUGGUUUCUACUAUUCAGGUCCAUUCCCAGAUGAACUGGUUCAAAUUUGAGAAAAUGGUAACAGACCUUUAGUGAUGUUGGUUUGGAGCCAGUUGCCAAACCCGCCCUGAGCUUUACCACUAAUGUCAAGGGAGAAAGCCAUUUGAACAAAAACAAUAGCUUCAAGAGACUGAAUCGUGGAUGAAAUCUGAUCCACAUUUCUUCUCAUUUUGGGAAAAAAUGAGAACUUAACUACAAAGAUUCUACUGCCUCAUUCAUAGUGCUUUUCCUGAUCCAAGGUUGGUUCGUUUCCCAAAUUGUGAGGUGCACGUGCCACUCUCACGCUCAGGAGUGUAUCCACGUGGUGGACAUCAGAUGGUGGCUUAAUAUCUGGUGUCGGUGGCUUUACUUUACUAGGAGAGUAGUGUGUCUUCAUCUCAUUCACUGCCGGAGGGUGGCGUAAGCAGUGACGCUAAGGUGGGGCACAGUCAAUAUCAUUUGCAUUUGACCAUUAUAGUUUUCUCCCGGCUUGAAAGUAACCUUAUCGUGAUAAAGGAUUACUAGCACUAGUUCAGAUGACCGUCAUGUUAAUUCGGACCAUGUUUGUGUCACAUUAUCAGCAACCAUGUGUUUAUGGUUCAUGCUAUCUGCAACUAAACUUGAUAUAUAACCAGGUGAACUUCAAUCAAAAUUCUGGAAGUACUCUUGUGAUAGAUGGUGCCUGUCUGCAGAGUCCAUCAAUUGAAAAAUGGAGUGAGUGUAUCUAUAAGAGGGAAGGCUUGGCAAAUGUUCAGUUUUCUGGGAAUUCAACAAGGAUCUAAAAUAGAUUGUUUUCUUUGCCGACUUCAAUGGUUGAAAUUUGAGAAGAUUGUGUCCACAUAUCACAACUAUUACUGGUCCUUCUGUUGCAAUUUAUCCUGUAAGGCUCUAACAUGUCUUCCAAUUCCCACUUCCCUGUUACUCCAGGAAAGCUAUUUCUGUCAUUGUGAAGAAGAAAAGAGAAUGUACAUAUCGAUGCUUUUAAGUGACUGGAGCAUUCAUAUCAGGUGGUCUGCAGCCAUAUAUGCCACUUUGUGAAGGUUGGAACAGUCAAUCACUAGGCUAUAUAUUGGUGUGGCCCAGCCACUUCAAUCAAGGACAAGUCUUCAUACUUAAAGUCAAAUUCUGCCUUUAGUCUCAUUAUAAAUUGCUGUUUAAAUAUUAAGCAAACUUUUGUUUAAUGCGAUUAAGACAGUACUAACUCAAUACUUGUUCUAUUUUUGGAUGCAAAUGCUUGAUGGUUUCAUCAUUGGAUGGGAUAAAGGUGCAUUCAUGAUUAUGAAUACUUGUAGUUAUAUUUUCAUUCUCUUUUUUCUCAAUGAGACUUGUUGGCACAAUGUUGCUGUUCAGAAACCUACCUCUCCAUGGAAAAUAAGUUGCGAUUGAUAGUACUGGAUAUGUUCAAGAAAGCUAAAUAUAGAUAGCACAAAAUAUUAUCGAUAUAAAUAGCAUUAACAGCGUACGUAUGUCUCAAUGCUCAUCAGCUAUAAGCAUGGGACAAACACUUACUAUGAGCAACUUACGUCAAAAUUCCAGAAUAGGACAUAGAAGUGACAGAUCUAUAUAUAUAGAACACUGCAUAUGAGUCACAAGAAAGGAAAUUACGGGUGCAUAGCAGCUCUUAUUUUACAUACUACUACUCAUACUGAUCAAAGUCACUCAGUUGGGAUGGGUGGGAGUAGGAGGUUUGUGGGGUGGCUUGUGCGGAGGAGUUGGCAGCUUCUUUCCAGGACCUGGUUGCUUCUCUGCUGGAGUUGAAGGAGGCUUAAUCUUCCGAGGUGGCUUGUAUGAGUCUUCAGCAUUCUCAGCUGGAGGGUGACCAGGGUUGUGACCAUAAUGUGGUGGCUUCUCUCCCUUAGGUGGUUUGCCAACUGGGGUUGGUGGCUUGUAUGAGUCUUCAGCAUUCUCAGCAGGAGGGUGACCAGGGUUGUGACCAUAAUGUGGUGGCUUCUCUCCCUUAGGUGGUUUGCCAACUGGGGUUGGUGGCUUGUGUUCUGGGAGUGGCUUCUCCCCCUUGGGAGGUUUUUCCAAUGGGGUUGGUUUGUGUUCAGGAGGUGGCUUCUCCACUGGAGGCUUGUGUUCAGGAGGUGGCUUCUCCACCGGUGGCUUGUGUUCAGGAGGUGGCUUCUCCACCGGAGGCUUAUGCUCUGGUGGUGGCUUCUCCACCGGAGGCUUAUGCUCUGGUGGUGGCUUCUUGAAUGGGGGAUGCUGAGGGUAAUCAGCAAGUGAGGGGGCGGUGAGAACCACCAGGCCAAGCAACACCACUAGCAAAUAUGUAGGAGACAUCUUUGGGUUUGGGCUCAGAUGGUGCAAAACUAGGAGAAUUGGCUAGCCUUUUAUAGCGGAUCGUACUCAAUAAUGAAAUGACACGUGUCAUUAUGACCCAUGUGUAAUGGGGUCGAUUUGGGUCCUACAGUGUUGAAAACUUCGACAUCCAGUUUUGGCCUUUUGCUUUCUCUACAGCCGCCUUGCUUUUUCCCUCUUUCCUUUUGUUUUCCUCCUGCCCCAUUCUAUCAACUAAACACAAUUAUGUAGUUGUUUAAUUCUUAAAUGAGAUAUUAUCGGUCAAUCGUAUUAUAUUUUAUCAAGAGAGAACGGAGUGCAAUGCAGCUGUAAUUUUAUCGUUUACUUUUAUCUCUUGGACCACUGCAUUUUUGUUAAGAGGUGCAAUAAUACACGUCUUUAUCUGCCAUUCAAUGUUUACAGUAAAGAGAGGGCACAAAACUCUUCACUGCUCUGCAUGUGUCCCAAAAAUGCGAUUGGACAAAUUAUGAUUUGCAUGCUAAAAAGAGGCAAAUGAGGUUAAUUCGCACCAUAAUUAUUUGGUUUUCUGGACACCAUAAAAAGAUGUUAUACAGGCAGGGAAAAACCUUCAGAGUUAGCUACCAAAGAUAAUUAUCAAGCAGAUAUCACCAAGAGAAUUCCAUAGAGUCUGAAUCAAAGACAGAUUGCUCGCUCGUGGGGGUUCUUACUUUCUUUUGGGUAUAACUCACUGAGGUCACUGUCUUUUUUAUUUGCAUUUCACAGUUAGAGUUCUGCUCUGGAAGGUUUGUUCUGGAAACAUAUAAAAGGAGCAUCAUUUUGUUCUUGGGUAACCCAUAGUCGUGAGUGGGUCCAUUUGCAUGCUACUUAGUUGAAAAGUUGGACAAUUUGCUCCGACGCCUACCUCCUGGAUUCCAUGCUCGGUAAAACAAGAAUAAAAAAAAAUAUAUAAUUUACAAAUGGGGGAAAGAAAAAAUGUCGGAAAAAAUAGUAAAAUUCAUGUCACAUGCUAGUGAGAGAAGGGGUUGUUACACUCACUCGAAGUUCUUUUCAAAAUAUCGAAUGGUAUUUUACUUUAUGUGUCAGCGCAGUUGUGAAUGGAACGUGCAAAAGUCCAAAUUGGCGUUUUUAUUUUUCCCAUGUAGGAUGGUGACCUUUAAUAAAUAUUUAAAACAAAAGACGAAAAAAAAAAGGAGGGAAAAGGGAUCACAAAAGAUAAAAUAAUGUUUACAAAAGCUCAAUUAGUUUGCAAAUUACUGUUUGGAUUUUGAUAGUAUUUUAUUUGUCGUUCUAUAUUUGAUGUAAAAGAGAAUUUAAGAUAUUUCCGAAGCAAAAGCAUUAGUUUGCUCUGUGAUGUCCCACAUCGAAUAGGGGAGAAAGUUUCUGGCGCUAUAUAUGUAGAGGCUCCUCUUAACCAAGUAGAUGCGUUUUAAAACCAUGAGGGCCCCCUUAGGUCCAAAGCGGACAAUAUCUACAUGAUUGGGUGUAAGUCAUUACAAAUGGUAUCAGAGCCGAUCCCCGACCCCGGUGUGGGGGUUUGUUUGGCCCUGUAAGGGGUGUUUGUCUGUUUGACCCCACAAUCCCAUGGGACACAACGAGGACGUUGUGUCUGCAUGGGGGGGCGUUUGUGAUGUCCCACAUCGGAUAGGGGAGAAAGUUCCUAGUGCUAUAUAUGUAGAUGUUUCUCUUAACCAAGUAGAUGCAUUUUAAAAUUGUGAGGGCCUCUUUGGGCCCAAAGCGGACAAUAUCUACAUGGUUGAGUGUAAGUCAUUACAUGCUCCAUGUCAAUUUCAGCAUUUCUCAUAUGUUUCACACAUACACAGAAGAGCAUCGUUUUUUAAAGCAUGCAUUUAUGUUGGAUUAAUUUGGAUUUUGUGGGAACUGGGGCAAGGAUCACAUGGAAGAGAGGUUGACUUUUUUCAGUACUUCAAUGGUUGAAAUAUGUGAAGGCUUGAUUGAUACUAAAGCUUGAAAUUGCGACUCUGUCAUUUGUAAAAAAAUAUGACAGCUUCCAUGCUCUCGUUUGGUUGCAUUGUCCGGUCGAGAGGUGCAAAAAGCAUUCUCUCUCUUCUAAUAGUCUUUUCGUUUAAAUCAAGGGAUUUGCCUUCCCGGUCGAGGUCCAAUAGAGGGUAACGGUCACCUACUAAACAUUAAAUGCUCCAACAACUAGUGAACUGAUCGACCCCAGCUCGACUAGUUGAGGUUACUUUUUGGUUUUCUUGUCUCCCGAGGUUAGAAACCUAUAAAUAGAGAGCUUCACUUCAUUUAUGAGUAAGAGAACACCUAAAUUUAUUUGUUUACCUACUUGUUUUUGCCAUAAAAGCUCUCAUUUCUUUUCUUGGUGUAUUAAAUCUCCAUUUGCAUAUCCUUUAGUGCACCUUUGUGAUUCAUUCUAGCCUUGAGUUGUAUUUAAGCCUUUGUUGAGCUAGGUUGAGAGUUUCAUACUUGUUUAUUGAGUGUUAAAGCCUUCAAGUGAGUUAAAACUUGAAGAGAUUGUGUAAGAGCCCAUUGGAGUCGGAAUCCAAGUGUAAAGGUGAUUAAAAGCUUGGUUGAAGCUUCAAGUUAGUGGAACUCUCACUCGGUUAUGAGCUUGAGAAGAGUGGACAUAGACAAGGCAGUGUCGAACCACUAUAAAAUCUGAGUUUGAUUUCUCUAACCUUAUCUCUUUAUAUUUGCUUCUCUUGUGCUUAAAUUUUUUGUGUUUAAAAAGAAUUUUUAAAAACUCAAUUCACCCCCUUCUUGGGAGUUUUUCUCUUUUAAGAUCAGCUUUUAUUUUCUCAAUUGGUAUCAGAACUAUGCCUCUUGUUUAAGACUUAAUCGUCUAAGAGGAAAUGGCUAAUCCAUCAAGUUCAUCUCACAUUGAAAGUUUUGCAACCAAUAGACUUCUUUUUUUUUUUUUGCGGGAACUGAUUAUCCCUAUUGGAAAACUAAAAUGACUUGGUUUUUACAAUCAAUUGAUUUAGAUGUAUGAGAUGCCAUUGAAGAUGACCUAACUUUUCCUUCAAAACUAGUUGAUGGAGUCAUGGUUCCAAAACCUAAGCAAGAAUGGGAUGAGCGUGAUUGAAGAAAUUUUCAAUUAAAUGCUAAAGUCGUUUAUACUUUGCAAUGCUCUAUGGACAGAAAUGAAUAUAAUAGAAUAUGUCAAUGCAAAUCGGUUAAAGAAAUUUGGAGAUUGCUUGAAAUAACUCAUAAAGGAACAAAUCAAGUUAAAGAGUCAAAAAUCAAUUUACUUGUUCAUAGAUAUGAAUUGUUUUUUAUGAAAGAUAAUGAAACUAUUGUUAAGAUGAUCACUAGGUUCACCAACAUUGUUAAUGGUCUUAAAGCCUUGGGAAAGACCUACAAGGAAUCCGAAAACGUGAUGAAGAUCUUGAGGUCACUUCCAUCAAAGUGGCAUACCAAGGUCACCGCAAUUUAAGAAGCAAAAGACUUGAUCAAGCUACCUUUGGAGGAGUUCAUAGGGUCAUUGAUGACAUAUGAAAUCAAUUUGGCAAAGAAGUAACAAAAAGGUGAAGACAAAAAGAAGAAGAACAUAACUCUCAAAGCUACAACUAAGGAAGAAGAAGUUGAAGAAGAAAAACAAAUUGAAGAAGAUGAAGAUUUAGCCCUCAUCACAAGAAAGUUCAACAAAUUCAUGAGGGGUGAAAGGUUUAGAAGAAGAAGGUUCACUUCUAGAAGAGACUUUUCUAAAAAGGAAUCUUCAUCUAAUGGUGACAAAAAGAGAUGGGAAGAGAAAAGAGACUUGGUGUGUUUCAAGUGCAAGAAACCGGGACACAUUAAAUAUGAUUGUCCUCUCUACAAAAGUGAAGUCAAGAGGAAAAAGAAUAAGGCAAUGAUGGCCACUUAGAGUGAAAGUGAAGAUGAAUCAUCCGAAGAAGAAAAUGAGAAAGAAGUGGCAAACAUGUGUUUCAUGGCAAUAGAUGAACUUGAUGAGGUAAAAUCUAACCUUAGUGAUUAAGAUAUACAUGAUGCAUUUGAAGAAUUGUAUGAGGAUUUUUAAAAACUUAGUUUGAAAAAUAUUUCUCUUAAAAAGAAAGUUCAACAACUUGACAAAGAACUUAGAGAAGUAAAAGAAAAAUUUUCAAAUGUUAAAGUUUCUAAAACUCAUCUUGAAAAAGAAAAUGAGAUUCUAAGAAAGAAAAAUGAAUAGUUGAACUCCUCUCUUUCAAUCUUUUCUUCUAGACAAAAAUCUUUUGAAAUGAUUCUAACUAGCUAAAAAUGUGUUUUUGACAAACAAGGGUUAAGAUUUAAAUCUUCAAAAAAUCAAAAGUAUUUUAAAAACUAUUUUGUAAAGGAAUCCACAAGUGCAAGUCCUUCCACUACUUGCAACUUUUGUGGAAGAGAAUGGCACAUUAGUAGUACGCCCUUUAAGAAAUGGUUCUCAAAAGAAUUUAAAUGCAAAAACUAAAAAAGAUUUGGAUUGAGAAAUCCAAGGUCACUAACCCUCAAGGACCCAAAAAGAUAUAGGUACCUAAAUCAACUUGAGUUUUAUGUUGUAAGGUUCAAAGAAUGAUAAGUGGUUCUUAGAUAAUGGUUGCUCAAGACACAUGACCGGAGAUGAAUCCAAGUUUGCUUUUCUUAAAAAGAAAAAUGGAGGAUAUGUUACCUUUGGAGACAAUGCAAAAGAAAGGAUGAUUGGUCAAGGCAACAUUGGUAAUGGCACAUCCUCUCUCAUUGAAAGUGUUUUAUUAGUAGAUGGUUUCAAACAUAACCUUUUAAGCAUUAGUCAAUUUUGCGACAAAGGUUUUUAAGUGAUUUUUUAAGCAUCUCAUUGCAUCAUCAAGGAUAUUCAAAAUGAUAAAACCAUUUUCAUGGGCCAUAGAUGUGAUAAUGUUUAUGCUAUAAAUAUUUCAAAAUAUGAUGGCCAUGAUAGAUGUUUUUCAAGCAUGCAUGAUCAAAGUUGGUUGUGCCAUAGGAGAUUGAGACAUGCUAACAUAGACCUCAUUUCCCAACUCAACAAAGAUGAACUUGUUAGAGGCCUUCCCAAAAUAAUUUUUUAAAAAGAUAAAGUUUGUGAAGCUUGUCAAGUGGGAAAGUAAAUCAAAAACUCUUUUAAAAACAAAAACUUCAUUUCCACAUCUAGGCCACUUGAGUUGUUGCAUAUGGAUUUAUUUGGUCCCUCUAGGACACCAAGUCUUAGAGGAAAUUCUUAUGCAUAUGCUAUUGUGGACGACUUCUCUAGAUACACAUGAGUCUUGUUUUUUAGUCAAAAGAAUAAAGUUUUUUAUGAGUUUUCAAAGUUUUGCAAUAAGAUUCAAAAUGAAAAAGGUUUUUCAAUUACUUAUAUAAGAAGUGAUCAUGGGAGAGAAUUCGAAAAUAUUGAUUUUGAAGAGUAUUGCAAUGAGCAUGGAAUUGACCACAAUUUUUUGGCUCUUAGAACUCCUCAACAAAAUGGGGUAGUUGAAAGGAAAAAUAGAACUCUUCAAAAAAUGACAAGAACCAUACUAAAUGAAAACAACUUACCAAAAUAUUUUUAGGCCAAAACGGUUAACACUUCUUGUUAUGUUUUAAAUAGAGUAUUAUUGAGGCUCAUACUUAAGAAAACUCCCUAUGAGCUUUGGAAAAACAAAAAACCCAACAUUAGUUAUUCCAAAGUCUUUGGAUGCAAUAUUUUAUAAUAAACACCAAAGACAAUCUUGGAAAAUUUGAUGCAAAAUUGGAUGUUGGAAUUUUCCUUGGUUACUCAACUUCAAGUAAAGCUUUUCGAGUUUUAACAAAAGAACCAUGGUUGUAGAGGAGUCCAUCCAUGUUAUUUUUUAUGAAUCUCCAAGAAAGAGAGAGGAUUGAUGAUGAUUUAGGUUUGAAGACCUCUAUAGGAAGAUUGCAAAUCGAAGAUAGAAGACAACAAGAAGAAAAUGGAGAGAAUCCAAAGAAAGAAGGAUCACCAUUGGCACUACCCCCUCAUCAACAAGCGCAAGGUGAAUCAAGUCAAGAGCUUCCUAAAGAAUGGAAGUUUGUCAUCAAUCACCCACAAGAUCAAAUUAUAGGCAAUCCAUCUAGUGGGGUAAGAACUAGAUCCUCUCUUAGAAAUAUUUGCAAUAAUCUAGCUUUUAUCUCUCAAAUUGAGCCUAAAAAUAUAAAUGAUGUUUUAGAUGAUGAAAAUUGGAUAAUUGCAAUGCAAGAAGAGUUAAAUCCAUUUGAAAGAAGUGGAGUAUGGGAAUUAGUACCAAGACCUUCAAAUCAAAGUGUUAUUGGAACUAGAUGGAUCUUUAGAAAUAAAAUGGAUGAAAAUAGCAUAAUUGUUAGAAAUAAAGCAAGAUUGGUAGCCCAAGGUUUUAAUCAAGAAGAAAUGAUAGAUUAUGAAGAAACCUUUGCCCCCGUAGCUAGGUUGGAAGCCAUUAGGAUGCUACUUGCCUUUGCAUGUUUUAAAGACUUUGUUUUAUAUCAAAUGGAUGUGAAAAGUGCUUUUUUAAAUGGUUUUAUAAAUGAAGAAGUAUAUGUUGAACAACCACCCGGUUUUCAAAGUUUCAACUUUCCUAACCAUGUUUUUAAACUUAAAAAGACACUUUAUGGUUUGAAACAAGCACCUAGAUCAUGGUAUGAAAAAUUGAGUAAAUUUCUUUUGAAAAAAAUGUUUUAAAAUGGGAAAAAUUGACACAACUCUUUUUAUAAAAACCAAAGAAAAUGAUAUGCUCUUAGUUCAAAUAUAUAUUGAUGAUAUCAUUUUUGGUGCUACUAAUGUCUCUCUUUAUGAAGAAUUUUCUAAGUGCAUGCAUAGUGAGUUUGAAAUGAGCAUGAUAGGAGAACUCAACUUCUUCCUUGGACUUCAAAUCAAGCAACUAAAGGAAUGAACCUUCAUCAAUCAAGCAAAGUAUAUAAGAGAUCUUCUCAAAAGGUUCAACAUGGAAGAAGCCAAAACAAUGAAGACUCUAAUGAGCUCAUCCAUUAAGCUUGAUAAGGAUGAGAAAGGUAAAUCCAUUGACUCUAUUAUGUAUAGAGGCAUGAUAGGUUCUUUGCUCUAUUUGACCACUAGUAGACCUUACAUUAUGUAUAGUGUGUGUUUGUGUACUAGAUUUCAAUCUUGUCUUAAAAAAUCUCACUUAAGUGUCGUGAAAAGAAUCCUCAAAUAUUUGAAAGGGACAAUGGACAUAGGCUUAUGGUAUCCUAAGAGUGAUAACUUUGAAUUAAUUGGUUUUUUGGAUGCUGAUUUUGUCAGUUGUAGGGUUGAAAAAUAAAACACUAGUGGCACUUUUCAUUUCUUAAGACACUUACUUGUCUCAUGGCAUAAUAAGAAGCAAAAUUUGGUAGCUUUGUCAACAGCAGAAGCUAAAUACAUAGCAACUGGUUUAUGUUGUGCACAAAUCCUUUGGAUGAAAUAAACACUUAGUGAUUUUGAUUUAUCUUUUGAGCAUAUUCCUAUUAAAUGUGAUAAUAGUAGUGCCAUAAGUAUAUCAAAAAAUCUCGUGCAACACUCUAGGACUAAGCAUAUAGAGAUUAGACAUAAUUUUCUUAGAUAUCAUACACAAAAGGAUGAUAUAACACUUGAAUUUGUAAGCAUAAAAGACCAACUUGCCGAUAUCUUUACAAAACCUCUAAGAACAUUUUGUUGAUAUUAGAGGACAAUUAGGAGUGAUUUCUUUAUGAUCUAAUGUGAUGAAUUCUUGAUGAAUAUACUUUUUGAUUGCAUGAAUUUCAUGUCAUAUAUGCAUCAUAUAGAAAUAUACUUAGAUAAUGGUCAAAUUUCGACCAAAAAUCAAAAUUCCCAUGGCAUUAGGCAUAAAAAUUUUGGAAUUUCAACUGAAAAUGGUAGGAGGAGGAUCACAAAAUGAGAAAGUAUGCAAAAAUUGAAAAAUCAAAACGUUGACCAAGCGGUCAAUCGGACUAGACCGAUCGACUAGUUUGUCGAGAUUUAGGAUUUUUAAGAGACUCCAACGCUUCAAUUUUUGCACCGUUCUCCUCUAUUUCUUCACGGUUUCUCUGAUUUUGUCUUUUAGAGACUAAUUUGAGUGCGUUUUGGAUCAAUUGAAGCAUUUUGGAUUGGAUUUUAGGAAGAUUGAAAGUUAAGGUUUCGGAUUUGGGUCGCCUUCUCUUCCUCUCGCGUGUCACAAUCAGCUUUAGCAUUGUUCUCUUUCCAUUUUCACACACCUAGGGUUUCAGUUGUGAGCAUCUCUCUCUCUUUACCAACCACUACUCCCUUGCUUCUUCCAUAUGGCUCCUAGGCGAGAGUCCGCUACUUCUAGGGCACAAGGCAAGCACCCAACUGAGUCGUCUCAGUCAAAGGCACGUCGAAAAGUGAGAUUUGACAUUGCCUUGUUCAGUUCCAUGGAGGACUACCAACUAUACAAGCAACACUUUGCUUAGAGACGAGUAGUUCCCAAGAGAAAUAUUAAUUUUCCUCAACUUCAGCAUUUCGAAUUUAAGGGUCUAUUUACUAGGAUGGUUGGUUGUCUAUUGUCACAAUUUCGGAGCCGGUUUUCCUGACCUUAGUGCGAGUUUUUUACUCGAGGGCGACUUAUGGCAUGGGUGGCAUGAUCAUUUCUACUGUUGGAGGAGUUGAGAUCUGUCUGGACCCAGAGAGCAUCUGCCAUAUUUUCGAUAUUGCUCUGGUUGGACUCAAAGUAUACAAGUCCAAAAUGUGGCCCAUUGUGCCAGGAUUUGAGCUUAGAGAGGUCAUUCAGAGGAUUUGUGAACUUCCAGACGCCCAGGAGAUGGGCAAACCAUUGCCACACAGUUUGACGGUCAUCAACAGGGUGCUACACCAUAUAUUGUGCUCUAUCUUUCUACCACGAAGUGGACAUUGAGAUGAGGUCUCUUAUUAUGAGGCAUUCCUUAUUGACUCCAUUCUAACGGAGAGACGAAUUCAUCUACUAUGUCAUCAUUCACUAAGCCUCCUCACAGUGACAUACCACCUCAUCAGGCACCUCUUGCUCCUGACCAUGCUCCAUUGAUGGAUUUAUUUACUCAUAUUAGCUCUCUAGGCACUCGCAUGAAGGAGUUUGUUGUAGUUAGUGAUACAUGGUUCUACUCCAUAGAGGAUCGCAUGGAUCAGUAUCAGACUGGCUUCACGUCACAGUUUGAGUAUCUCCAAUAGAGGAUUGAGCAUAUUGAGGAUCACUUGAGCAUGAGAAGAUGAUGGCUUUUCUAUGCUCUGUGUUUCCACCUCCACCUCGUCAACCUUGAUUUCUUAGAGACCCAUUGUUUUCAUUUUGUAAUGUUGCCAAAAGGGGGAGAUAUUUAGGAUCUAGGACUCUAUAGGAGACUUACAUGCAUAUCAUUUUCAUAUCAUUGUUUGGAUCGUACAUAUUGGAUAGUGAUACUUUUUACUUAUAUAUGAUAUGCCUAUAUGUUUCAUGUCUUACAUUGUUUCUUAUUGCAAAUUAUCUCUAACAUGUCUUGAUUAUCUUUUUUUUAACUUCAUAAAUUUUGAUUGUUAACCCAUGAUUGGUUUGAGGGGAAGAUUCUUCUUCUCCUAGAUAACCAAGGUUUGUCAUCAUAAAAAAAUUGGAGAUUGUUAGCCCAAGGGUUCUCCUAAUCAUGUUUUGAUGAUAACAAACCAUGCUUAAGUUACUAAUUGGUUUGAAUUAUAAAGAAUUUCAAGUGUUAAUUUGAAAAUUCAUCAAAGAACCUAAUGGAUGCAAGAUCAAGAUUUUUGGAAGACCUUUAAUCAUAAGAAACAUAUGUAAGAUGAAUGCAUGGGUGCACUUAAGAUUUGCAUAUCAUUUCAUGCAUAUUUGGAAAACACGGUUUAUGCUUUAAAGUUACAUUUCCAUCAAAAUUUGAGAUCCAUCAAAUGAACCUUAGGAAAAAUGUUUUAAAAUUGGCAUAUAAUUUUACCUAAAGACCUUGCCUAAGUGUUAGAAGCAAAAGGACAAAAAAAAUAUAGGUUUUCUGGUCAAAAAUGGUGAACCAGUCAAGGCAUUGUCUAAAUCAGCUCAAUCGGCCAAGGUACCGGUCGAUCGGUUUCCCUUUCCCUGUCGAGAUCUAGUCAAGAGGUACAAAAAUCACAAUCUCUGUCUCUUUCUCUCUUUGUCUAUCUUCCAGUAGUCUUUCCUUCCCGGUCGAGGGAUUUGCCUUCCCGAUUGAGGUCCGAUUGAGAGUAAUAGUCACUUGCCAAAUAUUAAAUGCUCCAACAGUUAGUGAACUGGUCGACCCCCACCUUGCCCAGUUGAGGUUACUUUUUGGUUUUCUUGGCUCCCGAUGUUAGAAACCUAUAAAUAGAGAGUUCCACUUCAUUUAUGAGCAAGAGAACACUUGCAUUUAUUUGUUUACCUACUUGUUCUUGCCUUAAAAGCUCUCAUUUCUUUUCUUGGUGCAUUAAAUCUCCAUUUUGAUAUCCUUUAGUGCACCUUUGUGAUUCAUCUUAGCCUUGAGUUGUAUUUGAGCCCUUUUUUUAGCUAGGUUGAGAGUUUCAUACUUGUUAAUUGAGUGUUAAAGCCUUCAAGUGAGUUGAAACUUGUAGAGAUUAUGUGAGAGUCGAUUGGAGCCGAAAUCCAAGUGUAAAGGUGAUUAGAAGCUUGGUUGAAGCUUCAAGUUAGUGGAAUCCUCACUCAAUUAGGAGCUUGAGGAGAGUGGACGUAGCCAAGGAAGUGUCGAACCACUAUAAAAUUUGAGUUUGAUUUCUCUAACAUUGUCUCUUUAUAUUUGUUUAUCUUGUGCUUAAAUUUAUUGUGUUUAAAAAGAAUUUUUAAAUACCCAAUUCACCCCCCUCUUGGGUGUUUUUCUCUUUUAAAAUUAGCCUUUAUUUUCUCACAAACUAUUGUAGUAUAGUGGUUUUUAGGUGUCAUCCAUUAGGAUGAAUUGUUCUCGGUAAUUAAGGCGUGAAUGAGAGGAGAAUUAAUGAUUGUGAUUAAGUAAAAUUGAUUUGAAAAUUCAUGGUGAAAAAUCAAUUUAACAAUGGUUUCUAAUUGAGAAAAACAAUGAAAUGUGAAAUAAAAUAAAAUUAAUAGGAAAUGAAAUUCUCGAAGUUAGAAUUUUCUAAAAAACAAAUUCCAUGGUGAAUGGAUGUUGAGAUCUAAUUUUCAUCAAGUUAGAUUGAAAACCGAAAUUUUCAUAUAAACUGAUUUUUUAUUUAGUUUUAGGUCUAGAUUUAAUUUCCCUUAAAAUUAGGUUAUUUAAUCCAAGAAAUCAAUUCAAAUCAUAUAUUCAAUUCAUCUUAAAUUAUCUUCCAAUUAUUCACACAAUGCAACUAUUCAAUCUCAUCAAAUCUAGCUUUUAAGAAUUUAAUGAAUCUACCUAGUUUGCAUUGUAAUAGUCAUCCAUGACAAUUUGAAGAGAAAAAUAAUUCAAUUAAUCAAUCACUUGGAUCAAAUUACCUUUGCAAUUAAAGUUCAUUUCUCUAAUUCACCACAGAUUUUGUCUCUAGAUCCUCCUUUCUCAAAGAAAAAUGAGAUUUAGCCACACAUGAUUGGAGAUUUGGUCUCAUAAGGCAUGUUUAGCUAGUGAUAAAAUGAGAGAAAAUAAAGAAAAAUAGAGAAUUCGAUUAAGAAAGAAAAUCUAAAAAAUUCUACAAUUAGAAAUGUCCAAAAAGCUUUUUCAUGAGAAAAUCAAGUUUCUAUUUAUAGGCCAAGGUCAAGUGGACACUUGACAUCAUCUAAGAGGUCUUCCGGAAGCUUCUUCAUCAAGAAAUCUGGAGUUUAAUAAUAAAAUGGUCAUUUCACAAGAGCUCAAACAAUUUCGCAUGAUUAUGUGAAAUAAAAAAUGCAACAACAGCAAUUUACAUCUUCUUGGAGCAUUUCGCAUGACUGUGUGAAAUUUUCACAUGAUCAUGUGGAAUCGACUUGACAACUCUCAUUUAGCCUACAACAUAAUUCCACCUUUUGGUCCAUUUUUCAUAGUCAUGCGAAAUGGAAAUAUUUGAUUUUUAAGUUUUCUUUUGUCAUUUCUUUCAUUUCCUUCUCUUGAUUCCACUUCAACUACCUCCGAAUCCUGGUCCAAACCAAUUGCAUUACUUCUUUCAUUAUGCAUUUGGAUCAUCAUCAACAUUAUUUGUUCUCUUCAAUUUGAUUCAUCUCUUUUGUCACCAAUUUAUCAAAAUCAUACCUUGAAAUGACUCCAAAACUUCAUAAAACUUGUUAGUAACUCUUGCAAGGGCAACAACAUAUUAAUUAAGUGUUUUAGGCAUAGUUACUACUCAAAAGAUGCGAAACUCAUGAUAAUUAUUAUAUAAAAUAUGCUCUUUUUGAGUAGUAAUCAACUUUCUUGCAUAAGCAGACCUUUUAGGGUGGAGUACUAAAGACCAAUAUGCUUGUCCUUGUUGUAAUAAAGAAACUUGCUCUUAUUGAUUGCACCAUGGGAGAAAAUUUUGCUACAUGAGUUAUCAUCAAUUUCUUCCCACCAAUCAUAGAUUUAGACGUGACAAGAGGCCUCUUAAUGGCAAGGAGGAACUGACACUCACACUUAUACAAUUAUCGGGCAUUGAUGUGUUGCAACAAUUAGAAUAACUUACACCAAUUAUGUUGGGGAAGUCACAAAAGGCAAACAUGAAAACUAAAAGGAAAAAAGAAAAAUGUUACAUAUCACCACAACUGGAAAGAAAAAAGUAUUUACUUUCAUUUGCCAUAUUGGAAAGCACUUAUUUUACAUCAUAAUAAUUUAGACAUAAUGCAUAUUGAGAAAAAUGUGUGACAAUAUAAUUGAGACAUUGUUCAGUAUUGACGAAGAAACAAGGACAACCUAAAUAGUCAUCUCGAUUUACAAGCUCUAACUAUUAGAAAUGAGAUUCACCCAAUAGAAAGCAGGACCAAAUUUAUUUUGCUUGCAACAUGCUACUCACUCACCCCAAAUGAGAUUAAGGAAUUUUGCAAGUUUUUGAAAUCAAUAAAGGUCCCCAAUGGCUAUUCUUUCAAUAUCUCUCGUUAUGUGCAACUCAAUGAAAGGAAGAUAUAUGAGCUCAAAUUGUAUGAUUGUCAUGUCCUAAUGCAACAACUUCUCUCACUUGUAGUUCGUGGAGUUCUACAUAAGAAUGUUUGUGGAGUUAUCAUAGAAUUGCGUAAUUUUUUCAAGCAAUUGUGCUCAAAGGUGUUAGAAACAAAUCACUUACACCAACUUGAGAACAAUAUUAUUGUCAUACUAUGUAAAAUGGAGCAAAUAUUUCUUCCAUCAUUCUUUGAUAUUAUGGUGCAUUUACUUGUGCAUCUAGUAAGGCAAAGGUUGCAAGACUUGUGCAAUAUUGUUGGAUGUACCUAAUUGAACGAUAUUGUUAUAAUUUCAUAUGAAUCAUUUAAUUUUAUUUUAUAUUAUGUUCAGUUCAUUAACAUGUACAUUGGUCUACAUAUGGAUGAUGAUAGGUACCUAAGCACUUUAAAGUCAUAUGUGCGUAAUAGAACUUUUCUAGAAGGUUCUAUUGUAGAAAGGUACCUUGCAAAAGAAUGUACAACAUUUUAUUCUAGGUACUUGAAUGAUGUGGAAAUAAAGUAUAAUCACAAUGAUAGAAACUUUGUUGGUUUCAACACUAGAGGAGAUGAAAGGGGUUAUCUUUAAACAUAUUGGACAUGCAUUGGGAAAGCCCAUAUUUCAUUAACUUAGUUCAAAAGAGUGGUCACAAGCACAUUUAUAUGUGUUGACAAAUUGCGAAGAUGUCAUACCAUUCAUUGAGUAAAAAAUUUAUUUGAAUUUUAAUUAAAGCUCUAGUUUAUAUCCUUAAUCAAUGUUUUUUAAAUUCACAAGGAGCACAAGCAAACCAUCAAGGCUAGACCACAUAUACGUGUUUGAGACGUAGAUUUAAUUCAUAACAAGGAAUUUAUCAAGUGGUUUGAAAGACAUGUAAGUAUAUUCCUUAUUAUAAGGGAUUUAUUUCACAUUAUGUUUAUAUUGAAUCCAAACCUAUUAUUGAAUUGUAGGUUGAACAAUUACAUAAUGAAGGUCAUAUAUCUGAACACCUUCUCACAUUAUCAUGUGUUCCAAAUUCAUUAGUUACAUGCUUCAAAUGAUAUAUUGUCAAUGGAUUUAGAUCCCACAUUAAAGAACGUGAUAAAAAAGUUUUUAAAAAAAGACUCAGAAUAAUGGAAUUGUUGUAGUUGCAAAAACGUCAAGCUUUACAAGUGCAUGUGAUAUGAGUCCAAUUAUUAGUGAUGCUCUCUACUAUGGUGUUCUAACUAAAGUUGUUGAGUUACAUUAUCUUGGUGAAAAUAAGGUUGUUUUAUUCGAGUUUGAUUGGUGGGAUGUUACAAAUAUUGGAAAAUUGAUAAAAGAUGAUGAGUACAAUUACACAUUUGUUAACUUUGCAUGAAUUCUAACCACGAACGAACGAUUUGUACUUGCAUCUCCAGCAAAGUAAGUGUUCUAUGUGAAGAAUGCGAAUGAAUCAGAUUGGCAUACUAUCAUGGAGAUGCAACCUCAAGACCUCUAUAAGAUGAACGGGAUAGGAUCCAAUGGUGAUUUUGAACCAUUUCAACAAAGUGAACUACAUGAUCACUAAUAUAUCUCAGAUUUAGUUGAUGAAGAUAUAAUCAAGUGGAACAAAAGUGAUGUUUUAGGACUAAUCAUCCUAAAAAAUAUUGUAGUUUCUUAAAAAAAAAAUGAAAAUGAAGAAGAUAAUUGAACCUUUGUCAUACUUUAAAAAGCAACUAUGCAUUGUUCAUUUUGUAUGUUUUGGUUUUCUUCAUUUAAUUUCCUGAUUUUUGUGAUUCAAUGUCAUAUUAUUGAUCUUGAAAUAUUUUUCUAAUUUUUCAUUCUACGAUGGUUUCAACAAGGAUGACAUCAAGUCAAAAAAGGAAAUGUGGUCCCACACACAAUAUUGCAUUACAGGGAUUAAGGUCAGGGAAGAAGGUAAAAGUUGCAUUUAAUGAGUACAAUCAAUUGGUUAAACAGAAAAAUGGAAAACACUUAUCGAGCUACAUAGGGACACUUGUAUCUAACCAACACAAUGUACCUCUCCAAGCUAGUGAUUGGAAAAAUGUUCCAAAUGAUGCAAAAGAGAAAGUAUGGCCUUUGUUUUGGUAUGUUGUAUUUCUCACUAUAUGAUGUCAUUUCACUGUUAUUCUAUUUUGUGACUAACGUUUGAAUCAUAUGUAAGAAAAAUUUGAAGUAGAUAAAGACUGAAAAGAUUACAUGUUGGGUAUAGCCUCAAAUAAAUAUAGAAGCUAUAAAAAUAUGAUGAAUGCAAAAUACUAUGACCCUUGGCAUAAGGAUGCAUGAGGAGAGGUUAAUACAUAAAUCACCAUUUGUCUCUGAUGUUGAUUGGAAGUGGCUUGUCUCUGAUGCAUAAACCAAAUCCCCCACUGAAUGUUUGAUAUUUGAUAGCAGGAAAAACACACCCGCAGCUAUACACCUCCAUCAUUCAGAUAAUUAUAGUGGGGGAGAUGAUUCAUGGUUGCCCUUAUACCCUUUAUUUGCACCAUCUAUUGAGAUUCUUUAUCAUGGCCAGGUUUUACUGCAGCAAUAAGAUAUGGUGGCAACAAUUUUAUCUAUAGGUGCGGUUCCAGACCGCCUCCAUAGGUGCGGUUCCUGACUGCCUCCAUAGGUGCCUCUUCUUGUAAUGUUUGUUCUGGGAAUUACACUUGAAAGCCUUAUCGUGAUAAGGGAUUACAAACACUAGUUCAGAGGACAGCCAUGUUAAACUUCCACUAUGUUUGUGUCACAUUAUCAGCAGCCUAGUGUUUAUUGGUCAUGCUAUCUGCAACUAAUAUAACCCGGUGAACUUCAAUCUAAAUUCUGAAAGUACUCAUGUGACAGAUGGUGCCUUUCAGCAGAUAUCAUCAAUUUAAAAGUAGUGUGUGUGCCUAUAGGUGGGAAGGCCUUGGCAAAUGUUCAGUAUUCCGGUAAUUCAAGAAGGAUAUAUCUAAAAUAGAUUUUCUUCUUGCCCAUUUCAAUAGUUAAAAUUUGAGAAGAUUGUGUCCACAUCACACAAAUAUUAUUGGUCCUUCUGUUGCAAUUUACCUCUGAACAUGUCUUCCAAUUCCCACGGUCCUGUUACUCCAGGAAAACUAUUUCGGUCAUAUUGAAAAAAAAAAUAUUAAAGAAGGUACACAUGCUUUUAAGUGGACUGGGGCAUUCAUAUCAGGUGGUCUGUAUCCACAUAUGCCACUUCGUGAAAGGUGGAACAGCCUAAUCACUAGGCUAUUUAGUGUGGCCCAGCCACGUUAAUCAAGCACAAGUCUUCAUACUUAAAGUCAAAUGGUGUCUUUAGUCUCAUUACACAUCGCUAUUUGAAGAUUAACUCAUCACUAGUGUAAUGCGAUUAAGACAGUCCUAACUCAAUAUUUGUUCUAGUUUUGGAUGCAAAUGCUUGCUGGUUUCAUCAUUGGAUGGGAUAAAGGUGCAAUCAGGACUAUGAAUACGUGCAGUAAUACUUCAUUCUCUUUUUUCUCAAUGAGACUUCUUGGCACAAUUUUGCUGCUCAGCAACCUACCUUUCCAUGGAAAAUCAGUUGUGACUGAUAGUAAUGGAUAUAUUCUAGAAAGCUAAACAUAGAUAGCAUUCAAUAUUAUCGAUAUAACAUUAACAGCGUAUGUCUCAAUGCUCAUCAGCUACAAGCAAUGGACAAACACUUUGAGUAACUCACAGCAGUCAAAAUUCCUAAACAGGACAGACGUGACAGAUCUAUAUAUAGAACACUGCAUAUGAGUCACAGGAAAAGAUAAUACGGGUACAUAGAAGCUCUUAUUUUACAUAUUACUCAUACUGAUCAAAGUCGCUCAGUUGGGAUGGAUGGGAGAAGGAGGUUUGAGGGGUGGCUUGUGCGGGGAAGUUGGCAGCUUCUUUCCGGGAGCUGGUUGCUUCUUUGCUGGAGUUGAAGGAGGCUUAAUCUUCCGAGGUGGCUUGUAUGAGUCUUCAGCAUUCUCAGCAGGAGGGUGACCAGGGUUGUGACCAUAAUGUGGUGGCUUCUCUCCCUUAGGUGGUUUGCCAACUGGGGUUGGUGGCUUGUUUUCUGGGAGUGGCUUCUCUCCCUUGGGUGGUUUGCCAACUGGGGUUGGUGGCUUGUGUUCUGGGAGUGGCUUCUCCCCCUUGGGAGGUUUUUCGAAUGGGGUGGGUUUGUGUCCUGGUGGUGGCUUCUCUCCCUUGGGAGGUUUACCAAUUGGGGUCGGUGGCUUGUGUUCUGGGAGGGGCUUCUCUCCCUGGGGAGGUUUAGUGGGUGGCUUGUGUUCUGGAGGUGGCUUCUCCACCGGAGGCUUAUGCUCUGGUGGUGGCUUCUCGAAGGGGGGAUGCUCAGGGUAAUCACCAAGUGAGGGGGUGGUGAGAACCACCAUGCCAAGCAACAACACUAGCAAGUAUGUAGUAGACAUCUUUGGGUUUGGACUCAGACAGUGCAAAACUACGAGAAAUCGCUAGCCCUUUAUAGCGGCUCGGACCUAAUACUGACAUAAUAUAAAAUAAAUAUUAUAUUUUAUCAAGAGAGAACAGAGUGUAAUUUUAUCAUUAAUACCGAUCGAGGCCAAAGAAAGAAGACCCAUAAUCCAUUUCCCACAAGCAUACACAAUGCAGCUGUAAUUUUAUCAUUUACUUUUAUCCCUUGGACCACUGCAUUUUUGUUGAGAGACACAAUAACACAUUUUUAUCUGUCAUUCAACAUUUACAGUAAAGAGAGGGCACAAAACGCAAUUAGAUAAAUUAUGUUUUGCCUGCUAAAAAGAGGCAAAUAACUUUAUUUGCAACAUAAUUAUUUUGGUUUCUAGUGACCCCGGGGCCUUUCGGUUGGUUUGGGAUCGGAAAAUGAACAUCAUAGGGGGGGUUGUGCCCUUAUGGGCAUAUAUAUCUGAUAGCUUCAACUGGCCUUGUUCCUAGAAAGAAAUUGCCAAAGAUAUAAACUUAUUCCAGGCUGAAAGUAGAUGAGAGUCAUAAUGAACAUCAACCUUUGUUCAGUUUGAUUCAAUGCCCCCAUAGUGUUCAUUUCACAGAUCUGAAUGAUUAUAUCCGUUGAAUACAUAAAUUAAUGAAGACAAAUAUGAAACCCAAGAUACAUCUCUGCAUAACAACCCCAACCCUGGUUGCUAUGUUUCCCUUCUUCUAUUCACAUGAGGAUACUGGUUAUAAUUGUCAAACUUGCAACAAGCCCUUUGACACCUAACGUCAAUGGACGAAUUAAAAGUCUCCUUCAAACGUCUAUUUCACAGCAUGAAGCUUAUAAAGGAUGCUGACAACCUUCAGAGUUAGCGACAAAAGAUAAUUAUCAAGGAGAGAUAGUUCCAUGAGAAUUCCAAGGAGUCUGAAUCAAAGACAAAUUGCUCACUCAAGGGUUCUUAUUUUCUUUUAGGUACAAAUCUCUUGAGUGUUGUUAAAGAAACACGUCACUGUCAUUUUGAUUUGCAUUUAACAUUUCACUUUUGUUCUGGAAGGUUUGUUCCGGAAACAUAUCAAAUGAGCAUCAUUUUCUUCUUCGGUGACACAUGGUCGCGAGUACGUGGGUCCAUUUUCAUGCCACUUAGUUGAAAAGUUGGAAAGAAAAAACAUGCCAACAAGAAGAUAGUGAGAGAAGGGGCACUUCAAGCCUUUAACAUGAACAAACAGUAAAUAAAAGAUGUUUCUCCACUCAUAAAAGUGUGUUAGAUAGCAAUAUAACGAAUCACAUCCAAAAUCUUUACUAGGCUCAAACAUAAAGAAGACUCAUUUUUAAGAAAAGAUAAAAAUGGCAUUGUCUGAUAGUAUCCAAUACACGAGAUGGCACUUAAUUUGUACAAGAUCUGUCAAUGCUGACGCACAUUUUCUGAUUAAAAAAAAACUGAUCAGUCAAAAGCAAUGAAGAGAAGUGAUGACAAUGAAUGAUGCUUCCAAUAUUUUCACCCCUUAUAGUGUUCUUCAUGAUUCAGAUAUAUAAUUGGAAAUAGAACAACCCUAUGCCAUACAUUCGUCUAAGUAUGGUGUCUAAUUUUUUGUGUCAGCGGUUGCGAAUGGAGCGUGCAAAAGUCCAAAUUGGCGUCUCUCCAUUUCCACAUAGGAAGGUGACCUUUAUUGACAAAUACCCAAUAUUUGUAGACAUUCCUUAAAUAUCAUAACUUCUUGUUGAUUUGAAAAUCAUUUUUCAACUACCAUGUUUUAAUAAAUAUUUUUUAAAAUGUAUUUUUAUCAAAGUCCACCAUGAUGGAUAAUAUUCACCAUGCAAUAAUUAAUAAAGUACAAACUAAGCGAAAUGAAAAGCAUUUUCUUUGCUUUGAGUUGAUUUUGGUUGCAUUGAGUUGAUUUUGGUUUCAUGGUUUUUUCAACUCUUAUUUUGAUUGGAAGAUGUCAAGAAAAGAAAACAUAAAGAAAAAUUAAAAGGGAAAAAAGAAGAAAAAUAAAAAAAAAUAGAUUUAAAAGUUAAUAAAUUAUUUUUUAUAUUUAUUUUAAUUCAUUUCACUUAUUUUUCUUUUACUAUAUAAAAUUUAAAUAAUUUAAAUUUUAUAAUUAAUUUAAUUACAUUUCAUUUUCUUCUAUAUUUAAAUAUUGGAAAAAUAUUUUACUUAAUAUUUUUUUCUUUAAUUUCUUUGGCAUUUUGGGAACCAAACUUAGCCUUUAAAAUAAAAAACAAAAAAAAAAUGAAAAUAAGGAGGGAAAAGUGAGAAAAGAUAAAAACAAUAUGUAAAGGAUUUGAAAAGUAUUAGUUUGUAAUUACUAUUUGGAUUUCAAUAGUAUUUUAUUUGUCUUUCUAUAUUUCAUGUAAGAGAGAAUUUAAGAUAUUCCCCAAGGCAAAGCAUUAGUUACCUGCAAUCAGUGGUGAUAAGGCUCCAAGCCAAUUUUGGGCCCCAUAUCUUAAGACAGUACAAUUUCCAUUUCAACAUUUCUGAUUUCUCAGAUGUUUCACAUACCACAGAAGAACAUUGUUUGUGAAAAUAUGCAUUUAUGUUGGAUUUUGUAUGCUGUGGGGACUGGGGCAAGGAUCAUAUGGAAGAGUGGUUGACUUUUUCUGUACUUUAACGGUUGAAAUAGGAUAAGCACGGGCAUUUGUGAGGCUUAAUUGAUUUUGAAGCCUGAAAUUGCGUUUCUGUCAUUUUGUCAAAAAAAUGGCAGAUUCCAUACUCAUAUGUUUGGCCUGUGGCCAUGUACAGAUGCCAUUUAGUGACCAGUUUGUAACUGUCAAUCGUUGCGUUUUGACUCUGCCUCAACAACAUCUGCCAUUGACGGGUUUUCAUACUUGCAAAUCAAAUAGUCUUUCGUCCCAUCAGGAAUUUCGGUUUAAAUAUUAUUAAGCAUACGUUUGGCUGACAAUCAUUAUCCAGUUCAUGAUUUGGUUUCUUACCCUUAAUCAAUGGUUUCUAAGUGAAUAUAUGUAGAAGGAAAUCCGAAGUGUAGACAGUAGUAUCGAUAACUCUCAAUAUUCUCUAUAUAAUAGAAUAAACAGCGUCAUAGUGAUCGUCGCCUACAAGCAAGGUACAAAUACCAAAACGAGUGACUCACAUAGACAUCUCCCAACAAGAUGUAGUAGUGACUGACACAUGGACACAAUUAACUCGUAGAAAAGGAUAAGACCAUUGCACAGCAGCUCUUAUUUUACAUACUACUUAUGCUAACCAAAGUCAAUUAGUUGGGAUGGGUGGGAGAUGGAGGUUUGUGCGGUGGCUUGUGGGGCGGAGUUGAUGGCUUCUUUCCAGGAGCUUCUGGCUUUUUCAUCGGAGCUGAAGGAGGCUCAAUCUUAUGAGGCGGCUUGUAUGAGUCUUCUUUACUCUCGACAGGAGGGUGGCCAGGGUUGUGAUCAUAAUGUGGUGGCUUCUCUCCCUUAGGUGGCUUGCCAACUGGGGUUGGUGGCUUGUGUUCAGGAAGUGGUUUCUCUCCCAUGGGAGGUUUAGCAAUUGGGGUUGGUGGCUUGUGUUCUGGGAGUGGCUUCUCUCCCUUGGGAGGUUUAGUAGGUGACUUGUGUUCUGGAGGUGGCUUCUCCACCGGAGGCUUGUGCUCCGGUGGUGGCUUCUUGGUUGGAGGGGGCUUGGGGUAAUCAGCAAGAGAUGGGGUGGUGAGAACCACCAGUCCAAGGAACAACACUAGCAAGUAUGUGGGAGACAUUUUUGAGUUUGGGCUGAUCAGAUGAUGCAAAACUAAAGCAUUACGUGACCUUUUAUAGCAUGUAGCUCCCAAUACCCACUAAGUAUUGUGGGGUCCAUUUGUGCCCUACGGGGUUGAAAACUUAGACAAUUGGGCAAGGACCCACCUGACUAUGGAGGACUAGUGAGGUGUGAUCAUAGCUUUAGGAUUUUUCUUCCUCUGCAGCCGUCGUGCCGUUGGCAUGAUUUUCUUAAUCUUAAAUAAAGGCAUAGUUAUAGAGUUGUUUAAUCUCUAAAUGGGAUUUUAUAUAUAUCUUCAGAUAGCCAUUAAUAUAUUUGAUGAAGAAAGAAAGACAAGUGCAUACAACAUGUAUACGACUAGCUUUCAUGGAGUUCAUUUAUGAUCAGUUUUCCUGUACAUGUAAACCAGGAUCAUAUAUAUGUUUCUGUUCCACAACUAUUUUGGAAUCUUGUUUAUCAGUUUUUAUCAUUAUAAUGUCACAUAGGCUGCCAACUUGGGCGCUAAAAGAACCAGUUGGGCUAGUUCGUUUCAGAAUUUCAAUGUGGAUUCAGGAAUUGUUUUGUAAGAUAUGCGAAAUAGUAGAGGGAUGAAUAGUGUUUCAUUAAUAAAAGUGUCCUGUAAAUUAGAAGGUGUCAUAGAAACUAUAAUCAAUAAAUAACUUUUUUUCCCCACGGGUGGUGUUUCUUGUGGGGAUCAGUGACUGGUUUAGGUUCACCCAAAAUGAGUUCAGACUAAAAUUGGUUUGAGUCAAUGCCGUGUCUCUUUUUUCCAGAAAUCAACUAUUUUAUGCAUUGAAUAAAUCAUACAAAGAAAAUAUGAACGCCCGCAAAACCUAAACCCUGGUUGCUAACUUUCUAUGUUUCAGUUCUAUUCACGCAAGAAUAUUAGUUUAAGUUUGGGAAAAAUGGCAACUUACCUAGUGAUUACUUGGUUUUGGUUUGCGACUAUUUACGCAACCAACCAUGAGUUUGACUUUAACGUCAUGGGUUGAAGCCUCCUACAGGAAGGGAGAAAGCUCCACAGCUAGCUCCAAAAGAGAAUUAUCACAUUGAUAGCUCCAGAGAUUCCCAAGGGGACUGAAUCAAAGACAAGUUCCUCACUUUUUCUUCUUUUGAGGCCAAAUAUGAACCAAGGAUCACACAACCUCAUUCAACUUCAUAAGUUUGAUUUCAUGCAGUUGAACACUGGGUGAAGGCCAUGACAAGAAUUGAUUCAAAAAUUCUAUCACUCUUUUAAGUAAUGGAAGAUUAUUAUCUCUGAUUGGCAUCACAACAGCACAUGCUCCUAGAUCUUUCUAGACACUCCAUGCAAUGAAAGCACAAUGGAUCUUGUAACGAUAGAAACUAAGCCAUGCUACAGUACUAGAUGAUGAGGUAAAACUAGUAGACACGGGUGGCAGCCUAUAUGGGAGGGACACAAGUCUAAUUGAUUUGCAUUUCAGCAUUAUAGAUAGGUAUGUUUUGGAAGAUUUGUUCUGGAAAUACCGCACCAAGUAGGAUUCUUUUUCUCUUUAGUGGGUCCACUUGCAUGCCAAUUAACGAGUUGAAAAGUAUGAGCACCUACCUCGUGCUCGUGGAACCGAAGGUCAGUGAAGUGGGGCUCCUUUUGGCCUCGUGUAAACUUGAUUCAGAAGUGAAGUUAAUAGUCUUCCAUUCAGAUGGAUACAUGGGAAUUUUUCUCUUUUAUUUAUUUAUUUAUUUUUUUUUUGUGUGUGUAUGUCAAAGGAUAAUGAAUGAAGCGCGUUAGCUUGUUUUCUGACUGGAACCGCAGAUGUCCAAAUUGGAGUUCCUUCAUUUCUUACUUAGGAUUGUUACAUGUAUAAACAAGGUAUAAGAAAUAUGCCAACGUGUCUUGAGGAGUUAUUGAUUAGAAAUAACAAGUCACCCGACUGUAGAGUUCCAAGAUUUGAAUCUUCAGACCCUAUAGCAGCCUCUGGGGUACGUGGCAUCCUAUAGCAUAUUAAUGAAGGCUUUUUCGAUUUAGACUUCACAAUACCAAUUAAUAUGUAUGCACAAAAUGGAGAUGACCCCAAAAAAAACAGAAUCGCCAUAGUUUAUGAGGUUAAGGUGAUUCUCCACUUAAUAUCUACAUUAGCUAAUUAUGUAAAUCAAAUGAACUUCUAUUUUUCCUUUUUUUUUUUGGUUUAUGUCAAAUAGUAGCCCAUAAUUAACCCAACCAUUAGCCUGUUUGAAUUGAUUUCACAUGCACAAUGUUGUAGUAGUUCAUAUUUUGAAUUUUAUUUUUACAAAGGUAGUUAAGGAAAAUGAAGUAUAAUAAUUAUAAAAGCAGACUAUAUACACUACAAUAAUUGUUAGAAUGGUAUCUCAAAUUCUAAUUUAAAAUAUUAUUUUUUGUAAAAGAAAUAUUAUAUAGAAUAUUUCCUAAUUUUAUAAAUGAUUAUAAUUAGAUCUUUAUAAAAUAAGGAAAGUUGGUAAGAAUAUCUUUAUAAAUAUUUUAGGUCAUGAGAGAAAGAAAUGGGAUAAAAAUGUGAUGAAGAGGUGAAAUAAGAGAGUUGAUUAGGAUAUAGAUGUGAAGAAGAAAGGGAUUCAAUAUAUAUAUAUCUUUCAAUUACCACAUUAAAACCCUGUGAACCUUUUAUAUGGUUUACUUUAUUUUUAUAUUCCUCCUUUAAUAUAUUUACAUUAAUGCUUCCAUUGGCACAACAAUAACGAAUUACAAAUACAAGCAACAAGUCCCAUGUUUUAUUACCAAAAGCAGGUAAAAUCCACCUAAUAUAUUACAAUAUAUUCAUCCAAUAUUUUAGACCAAUUCUUCACCAUAAAUAUCAUAAUGUGGCUUUUGUUCUUUCUUAAAUUUAAAUUGAAUUGUCUUAUAUCAAUUUGUUUGUGAUUUUUUCAUUAACUUCACUUUCAUUUGGUUAUCUUUGGUUUUUGAAAAGUAUUAAGGAAUUAAUUAACAAAAUAAUGUUAAGAAAAAUAAUUUUCUCUCUUUUGAUUUUGAUUUUGUAGUAGAAAAAUAUAAUUAAAAUUAUUUAAAAAGUAUGUAAUUUUAAAUUAUUUAAUAUUUAGAUAAAAAAAAUAAGUCUAAUGAGUUUAAAAUAACAUAUAAAAAUAAUUUAUUUAUUUUAAAUUUAUUUUUUAUUUUCCAUUAUGUUCUCUUUCUCUUUUACUUUUUCAUAUUUUUUCUUACGAAGAAUCAAACACAACCUCAUAUUAUAUGUCAAGUGUUUGUCUAUAUUUGAGCAAUGUUAGAUACGGCCAUGGAUUCAUCAAACUAAACUGAUUUUAAUAGAUACUUCACAAAUUGAUUUAUACACUAAAUCAUUGGAUAGCAAUGAUGCAUUGGAAUUAAACGUAGGAUGAAGCUCGAAGAACACUGUUUGUGUAACAACAUAUUUAUGAAAUUAUGCAAAGGAUGAGCUUCGGGGUAGUAGUACAAGGUCAUUAAUGGAGAGCCGUGUUAAACCUUGAUUGUGAUUGGAUUCCGUUAUCAGCAACAGCAACCUUGUUUGUAACCUUGAAAGUCAUUCUGUCCACAUCGAAACUCCAAUUUGACGUUUGUAAUUACCAUUCCUGGAGUGUUCCUUGAUUGAAAUUUAAAUAAUAAUUGCGGCCCACAAGGAAUAUUUUCGAUUCUGUGGGAAUUUGACAAGGUUUGUUAGAGAAGACUGGUGACAUGUUGACUUCAAUGGUUCAAAUAGGAGACGUAUGUGGAUUUGGGGGGUUUAAUUGAAACUGAGUCCCUAUGGCUUUUUAAUAUUUGCAUUGAGCAGUCUCCAUGUGACUUCCUAAUUCCCACCAACCCUCCUGUCCAUGCUGUGAAACUAAAUUGUAAUUUAUCAGCCUUUGUCAAUGGUUUCUAAAUUAAAGAUAUAGACCAUGCAUGUACUUUAAUAAAAGCAAAUCUAAAGUGUAGAUAGCAGCAAUGGUGACACCCAAUAUUCUCCAUAAAAUAGAAUUAGAAUAAGCAGUGUUACAUUGUUCAUGAUCACCUACAAGCAUACAAGAACUUCCAUGAAUAACUCAUAGCAAUUGCCAACAGGGCGUCGUAGAGACUCAUACAUAGAACACUAUCCACCCAGAGGAAAGGACAAGACCAGUGCGCUGCAGCUCUUAUUUUUCACAUGUAUACCACCACUCGUAAUAACCAAAUUCACUCAGUUGGGAUAGGUGGGAGAUGGUGGUUUGUGGGGUGGCUUGUGGGGAGGAGUUGGAGGAGGCUUUAUUUUCUGAGGCGGCUUGUAUGAGUGUGCAGGAGGAUGCCCGGGAGUGUGACCAUAAUGUGGUGGCUUCUCUCCCGUAGGUGGUUUGCCAAAUGGGCUUGGUGGCUUCUCUCCCUUAGGAGGUUUACCAAUUGGGGUUGGUGGCUUGUGUUCUGGGAGUGGUUUCUCUCCCUUGGUAGGUUUGCCAAUUGGGGUUGGCGGCUUAUGUUCUGGGAGUGGCUUCUCUCCCUUGGGAGGUUUGCUAAUUGGGGUUGGCGGCUUAUGUUCUGGGGGCGGCUUCUCUCCCUUGGGAGGUUUGCCAAUUGGAGUUGGCGGCUUAUGUUCUGGGAGUGGCUUUUCUCCCUUGGGAGGCUUGCCAAUUGGGGUUGGCGGCUUAUGUUCUGGGGGUGGCUUCUCUCCUUUAGGAGGUUUGCCAAUUGGAGUCGGCGGCUUAUGUUCUGGAAGUGGCUUUUUUCCCUUGGGAGGUUUGCCAAUUGGGGUUGGCGGCUUAUGUUCUGGGGGUGGCUUCUCUCCCUUGGGAGGUUUGCCAAUUGGAGUCGGCGGCUUAUGUUCUGGGAGUGGCUUCUCUCCCUUGGGAGGUUUUGUUGGUGGCUUGUGUUCUGGAGAUGGCUUCUCCCCUGGAGGCUUGUGCUCCGGAGGUGGCUUCUGAAAUGGCGGGGGCUUGGGGUAAUGAGCAAGAGAUGGAGUACUGGUGAGAACCACCAUUCCAAGCAACAAUACUAGCAAGCAUGUGGGAGACAUCUUUGAGUAGUUGUAGCUAAGAUGGCGCAACACUGUAGGCAUUGGGUGGCCUUUUAUAAAGGGCUGGACCCAACAGCCAUAUGACACGUGUCAUGAUGACAAAUGAAGUUGAGGGGAUCCAGAUGGGUCCUACUGAGUCGAAAACUUGCACUAAUUGAUCUGGUGAGAUGACUAUUUCUGUCCUUUUGCCCUUCUCGGCCACCCUGUGCUGUUUUCCUUUUGCACGAUUUUCGUUGCCAAACAAGCAAAUAAUAUUUCGCCAAGAAAGAGGAGAGUGAAUGUGGAAUGCAUCAAGUCCCAUCAAGGAUGGCAGAGAAGAAAUAGAAGAUUGCCCAACUGUGAUAAACAUAGCAUACACGUAGCACCAGGAACUUCAUUUACUUCCAUCUAAUGGAACAUAACAAUCUUCUAAAGUUUUUGCAUGAUUUUGUUAUAUGUCUCUUAGCCUAAAGUUGGAAAUGCGCAACAAAUUUUGUCACUUCUCUAUUUCCCACUGAUGAUGUUAAUUAGCCUUCAUAGAUAUCAUCCUUUCUACAAAGUGCUUCAUUUGUGUGUUAUUGUAAAGUGUAAGAAAAGUAAUUGAACAUGUUCUUUUUCCUUUCAUAGAUGACUUUUGAUGUGCAUUUUAAAAGCAGCGCUGUGAGUCGGUGACCUUGAUUCACACGGAAACUAAGGCUCCUAUAGGACCCACUUUUAGCUGGUUAGGGGUGAAGAAAAUAUCAACUUUUCAGAGUGAUUUAAGUCAAGGCCAAGCCUCACUGUGUCAUUACUCGUGUGAAUUUUAUAUGCACAUACAUACAUAAAUAAAGUAUGAGACCCAAAUAACACCUUCCCUUUACAAACUUAACCCCAGCCGCUCUCUUUCAAUUCUUUUCACACAAGGGUAUUGACUCUAUAAAGGUCAAGAAAAUCAUAAUUUCCUAGGGUUUACAAGGUAAUUGGCUUAAUGCUAAUGUGAAAACAUAAAAGAUAAUAGUAUAUUGUAAGCUAACGAAUAUUCUAUAGUUAUAAUUAUUUGUGAUGUGCAUAAAUAAAUCUUCAUAUAUAUAAUGGAACAAUGAAUAAAGAACCAAUGAAAAAAUACUAUAUAUCAUUGCUUGGCAUUUAAACCGUAUAUGCUGCUCUUUCUAGCUACUCCAUCCACUGAAAGACAACAAGGUAAUCCAUGUUAUAAUGAUAGAAGAUACUGUCUCUAGGCUUUUUGUGAUGAAAAAUAUAAGAUAUGGGUAGGGUUGACCCUUGUAUGUUUGUCCUAUAAACACUUCAAAGUAACAUAUUUUUCUUCUUUAGCAACUCAUAAUGAUGGGGUUCAUUUGCAUGUCACUGAGUUGAAAAGUUGGACAAUUGCCCAUGUCGCCUUCCUCCUAGAUUCCGUAGUUCACGGGAAGGUAACUCAAGUUUGACAUAUUUUGAAUUCUUUUCACUCGGACGUCUUCAUAACCUGACAAAACAAAAAUGAAAAACAGAGGAUUGGUAUAUUAUUCAUGGUAAGCCUCAAAUUAUAGUAGUAUGAGAAAGGAGAAAAAGAUUUUGGGAACUCCAAUCUGGAUAAUUCUCGUUUCUUCUCUUGAAUAAAAAUUUCACUUACCUAACUUCGUUUGGAGAAAUGGCAUAUUUUAAUUUUGUACGUCAUUGCUAAUAAAUGGAGCAAUUUAGCAUGUUUUGUGACUGAAACUGCAAAUGUCCAAUUGGCAUUUCUUCAUUUCCCACUUAGGAUCUGAUCUUGUAGACCAUAUAACGAUAUGUAUCUGUGCAAGCAUUGAAAACUAAUGUGAACUAUGAGGAGUUACAAGCCACUGGACUGUAGAGCGAGUGCCAAGAUUUAAAUCUUCAGGCUCUAUCUGGGUAAGGGGAGGAUAGCGACCUAACCUUUUACCAAAGGCUUAGAAUUUAGACUUUUGGAAAAAAAUUUCUCAUGUUUUGGCUGGAUUUCUUGUGCUUGGCGCAAAAAGGAGAUGGCCUCAAGAAAUAGCAGACUCACUUUUGUUUUCAGCCCUUAAUAAUUCUCCACUGCUUUCCAUAACUACAUGGGUUAUACAUGCAGUCUGCUGCAAUAUUCCAGUUAUAUUUAUUAUUUCAAAGAGGGUGAAUGACUUCACAUGCAAUAUGUUGCAGUAACAACCCAAAUUUUGGCACACCAUCUUAAGAAUAGAAAAGUAUAAUAAAAGAAAUCAAUCAGAGAAUCACUUUGCAUGCAGUUCAUAGAGUUCGCCCAAAAUGGAGCCACAUGUACGGACAACCCCACAAUAGACAAUCUUCUCUAUACAGUAAUAAAAUACAGAAAUGGUUAAUGAAGCUCUGUAUUUCCUUAUCAUAUAUGACCGGUUGAAAACUCAGCAAGUCUUCCUCAAUCACAGACAGUUGGAGUUGCUUCAUCAAAAUCAUGCCUUCAUUACUGGCUUCAUUUUGGUUUCAAUGUCUGUUCUACCCUUAAAUUGGGUCUCUGCUUACUACCGGGAUAUCCUUUAGCGUCCUGCAAUUCUACUAGAUUAAAGAGAAUGACUUAAUUCUGCAUUCUGCCGUCCCUAGUCCAAGUGGUACUAGAAUUGAUGUUUCCUUUAGUGUCCUUUCUUCAUACUUUCAGGUUCUUCCCUUGUUUCAAUAAUGCUGUUUUCCUUCAUGUUUAACCUCUGUUGAACCACUUAAAACAACACAAUUUGCACACCAAUGUUUCUUUACAGAAAAGACUGUUUGCAAAAAUGCACAUGUUAUAAGGUUAAUGGAAGAAUUAAUUUGGGGAUAAGGGACUAGGAUUGGGCCAAUGAAGUUUGGUGUUAAAUUUUGAUUAUGAUUGCUUUUCAUUAUCAGGUACCUUAUAUUUGCUGAUGCUAUCUGGAACUAAAUUCAAAUCAGACAUUAUCCGAUUACUAACAGGACAUAUCAUGUCCCUCUGCAGAGUUUCUAAACUAACAUGUAUCGAAAUGUGGCCCCAAAAGGAAGGCUAGGAAGAUGGAGGAUUUUGUAGGAAUCGACCAGAAUCAGAUGGAAGAGAGAUAGUCCUGUUGACUUUAAUGGUUGUGAUAGGAACAUGCAUCAUUAUAUGAGAAGUUGCAUGAAUUUAUGUAUCCUGUUAUCGUUCCUUGACGAUUUCCCAAUGCAAUUUCACUGUCCACAAGACUAACCUCUCCAUGCAGUCAAAUGAAUUGUAAUUUCUCUAUUGGUACCAGUAGUACAUUUCAUACCAAACAUAUAGUAAAUAUAAAAUAUAAAUAGAUCAAGGAAAUCUGAAUUGUAGAUAGCACUGCAAGUAACACUCAAUAUUCUCUAUAUAUAAUAAAAUAAACAGUGUCACAAUACUCAUCACCCAGUGGCAAGGGAGAAAAACCUACAAUGAGUACUCAAAUCACCAUUCUCAAACAGAAACAUAGCAGUGACUGAUACAUAGAACCUAUAUGCUCACAGGGAAAGAAUAAGAUGACCAGUGCACAGCGGGCAGCAGCUCUUAUUUUACGUACAACUCAAAUCCCAAACUAACCAAAGUCGCUCAGUUGGGAUGGGUGGGAGAUGGUGGUUUGUGGGAUGGCUUCUGGGUAGGAGCUGGUGGCUUCUGUCCCUUUGGUGGUUUGCCUAAUGAGCUUGGUGGCUUGUGCUCCGGGAGUUGUUUCUCUCCCUCGAGUAGGUUUCGAGUCUUGUCAGAUGGCUUGUGUUCUGGUGGUGGCUUCUCUCCCUGGGGUGGUUUGCCGAAUGGGCUUGGUGGCUUGUGUUCGGGGAGUGGCUUCUCUCCCUGGAGAAGGUUACGAGUUUUGUCAUAUGGCUUUUGUUCUGGUGGUGGCUUCUCUCCCUGGGGUGGUUUGCCGAAUGGGCUUGGUGGCUUGUGUUCGGGGAGUGGCUUCUCUCCCUGGAGAAGGUUACGAGUUUUGUCAGAUGGCUUGUGUUCUGGUGGUGGCUUCUCUCCCUGGGGUGGUUUGCCGAAUGGGCUUGGUGGCUUGUGUUCGGGGAGUGGCUUCUCUCCCUGGAGAAGGUUACGAGUUUUGUCAGAUGGCUUUUGUUCUGGUGGCGGCUUCUCUCCCUGGGGUGGUUUGCCAAAUGGGCUUGGUGGCUUGUGUUCGGGAACUGGCUUCUCUCCCUUGGGAGGUUCAGUUGGUGGCUGCUGUUCCGUAGGUGGUUUCUUCACCGGCGGCUUGUGCUCCGGAAGCGGCUUCUCUACCUGGAGAAGCUUACGAGUUUUGUCCGAUGGCUUGUGUUGUGGUGGUGGCUUCUCUCCCUGGGGUGGUUUGCCAAAUGGAGUUGGUGGCUUGUGUUCGGGGAGUGGCUUCUCUCCAUUGGGAGGUUUAGUUGGUGAUUGGUGUUCCGUAGGUGGUUUCUGAAGUGGGGGAUGCUUGGGGUAGUCAGCAAGAGACGAGGUAGUGAGAACCACCAGUCCCAGCAGCAACACUAGCAAGCAUGUGGAAGACAUCUUUGAGUUCAGGCUGAGAUCUGUGCAAGGAUAACAGAAUUAGGUGGCCUUUUAUAGAGGCCUGGACCCAACACCCAUAUGACACGUGUCAUGCACUCAUGGUGACACAUAAUUCUAUGGGACCAUUUGGGUCCUACAGAAGUUGCAAAGUUGGACUACUGAGGUGUGAUCACAACUUUUGUCCUUAUUGCUUUCUCUGCGGCCAUUGCACGAUUUCCUUUAGCAUCAUUUUCUUGGCUAAAUAAGCGUAUUAUAUUUGUGGCAGACCGUCCACGUGUCAUAAACAGAUAUAUUAUAAUAAUGUAGUAUGCUUUUCUCCAAUGGAACAUGACACUCUUCUAAGUCUUGUUUUAAAUAUUGUGCAGGAUUACUUUAUACGUUGCAGUUCCAAGUCAAAAUUGGUGGGCAAACGUUGGCCUUUUUUCAUUUCACCUAAGAUUAAUGCUCACCUGGGAUAGGCACUACAUGACUUAUCUGCUCUUUUACUGUAAAGUUGCUUUGUGUAUGAGAUACACCUCCCCUGCACACCCUCAACAUUCGUUGCUCUGUUUUCCUUGUGUCCAGACGAGGAUAUUAAUUGGAGGCUGACAAAACGACUGCUAGCCCAGGAUUUACAAGGUCCUGGUUUGAGGCUUCGGUGAAAGUAUUUUUGAAAAGACACACAUAGAGAUAGUGCGUUUGGUGCAAUGCAGCACUGUGAGCCAUUCUGACGCGUUCUUAAUUUCAAAACUAAUGAAUGCUUCAAAAUUUUAAGAAGUGACAUUUCCAAAUAUUUGAGUUCGUUUAAUUGAACAUUGGAUAACUAGUGAUCAUAGAUUAUUAUCUGUGCUUGGCACUAUAAGAGGGUAUAUGCUUCUUUUUCUGGCCCCUCCUUCAAGGGAGGAGGGACAAUGUGAUCUGUAACGUUAGAAGCUAUUCCAUGUCAUCUUUGGGCUCAGUUCAAAACUAAAAGAUAAUGGGGGGGGGGGGGGGGGGCAUAUCAUUUUAUAUUUCUUCUAGAAGGUUUGUUCUGGAAAUAUUUCACAGGAGCAUAUCUUUUUCUUCUAUUACGUCAUCCGCAGCCUCCAAUAGGUCGGUUAACAAGCCACCGAGUUGAAAAGUUGGAAAAAUGGGAACACAGCCCGCCUCUUGUAUUCAGUAGUUAAAUAAAAGGUCACUAGAAGUGAGAUCCCUUUUGGCGUCUUGAUUUUCAAUCCAGCACCUCUGUGACCUGACAAACCAAAAAAACUAAAAAAUAAAAAACAGUACGUGGGUUGGUGUUAAGCAUCAAGACAUGUUAAUGAAAGAAGGUAGAGAAUAGGAUAUUGAAAUCCCAAUCCUGAUAACAUGAUUUUCUUUGCUAACAACCAUAUUAUAUUUUAUCAAGAAAGAGUAAUGCAUGUGGCGUCCAUCAAGACCCAUUAGAGUUCCGCUAAAGCUAUAGUUCUGUCAACGUUAUCAUUUACGUUUCCUCUAGAUAAUGGCAUUUUCCUCUAAAGCUCUUGCACCAUUAGGCUUCAAGUCAAAAUUUCACAUGUGAACUUUGGAAAUUUUCUCCAUUUGCCCCUAAGGAUACAGUUAGAAUUGACUUAAAAUCCUGAUUGAUAUGUACUAUUAACCAAAGAAUAUUGUAUAUAAUAAUUGAAAUAUUGUUGAUUCAUCGUGGAAAUACAUUUUGUAAGGAAAGUUGUUGAGAAUUUAGUAUGCUAUAUGGAGAAAAAAGUCAUGACUUAAGGUUGUGUAUGUAUAUUCUAUAUCAAAUAUUAGGUAGGAAUGUGGGAAAGAGCAGAGUGUAAUGAUAAGAAACAAAGAAAUAUAAGAUAUUCUUGAAAGUGGAAAAUAUAAAAUGGCUAACGAGUCAAAUUUAUGAUGCGUAAGGGGGAUCAUGUCACAUAAGAAAACCAUGGCAUACUAAAGACGUACGUGUGGUAUGGAGUAAUAAUUUUGUUAAAAUAAGUUUCUUGUUGGAGUACAUUAGGUGACUAUUCAUAACGUAUCAAAUUAAAGAGUCAAGUGCAUCAAUGAAGGCAUAUGUAGAAAAUUUGUUUGUGACAUGUACCAUAAAGAUAAGAUUGACUUGAUAGAAUUUAGUCUAAGUAGGAGUUGUUAAAGGUGUCUUAAAUUUCUAAUUGAUGUAUAUUUUUUUCUAAAAAAAUAUUAUAUAGAUAUUUUAAUAAAUGAUUAAUUCUUUGUAAAAAUACUUACAUAAUAAAAAACAUCAUUAAAAAUAUCUUUAUAAAUAUUUUAAGUUACAAGAAGGAAAAAAACCACUGUGAGAUAAUGAUGAACAUGCAACACUGUACCAAGUAAAUAAAAAUGUGAUAAAAAAAAAAGAGAAACACUCGAUAAAGGAAGGCUCGUAUAUAAAGAGUAAUAUUUUUAAUCAUAUGAUAGAAUGAUUUUCUCUCAUUCAUGAAUAUAGGCAAGAUUGGGGAACCAUUAUAAAAUUUUGUACACCUCGUGUAAAUUGAUGUUUGUCUUCAUAUUUUACACCAACAAAUGACAUUGAAGUUGUCAUUGAUAAAAGGGAAAAGGCAUGCCUCCACACCAUGUGCUUGAUUCGAAUGGUUCAAGUUUGAAGAAUUUUCUCCGGAAGAUCUAAAACAUUUUCGCCUUUAAAUUUCAUUUGAUUAUUAAUAUCCGAAAAAAUAGUUAAAUACUCUUUCUAUUUUUGAGUUGUUGAAUUUUUUGAAAGUUUUUAUAUUUGUUAUCAAGAAUUUCUAUUUUAUUAAGGGUGAAUAUUUAUAAAUAAGAUAUUAUAUAAUAUUUGGAUAAGAGAGAAUGGUGGAAUAUAAUAAAGUUUUAAUCCUUCCCAAUUUUGAACCUUUUUUUUUUUUUUUGAUAUAAUCGCCUUUCUCUUGCAAUCCUAUUAUCAGGUACCUUAUAUUUGCUGAUGCUAUCUGGAACUAAAUUCCAAUCAGGCAUUGUCCAAUUACUAAUAGGACAGAUCAUAUCUCUCUGUUUCUAAACUAACAUGUAUCGUAAUGUGACCUCAUAAGGAAGGCUAGGAAGAUGGAGGAUUUUGUGGGAAGCGACCAGAAUCAGAUGGAAGAGAGAUAGCCCUGUUGACCUAAUGGCUGUAAUAGGAGAAGCGUGUGGUUUUAUGGGACUUAACUGAUACUAAACCUGUAUGAUGCUUGGAGUGGUGUUUCUUUCAUUUUGUUAAGAAAAUAUGGCAGCAUACAUGCUUUCAACUGAGUGCAUCAGAGCAUCCAUAACAGAUGGUCUGCAACCCUAGGUGCAUGCCACUUUCUGACUGAUAAUGAAAUUGUCAGGUACCUGGCCUUGACUAAGCUCAACAGCAUCACAUAAAGAGAAGCUUUCAUACUUAGAUUACUGUUUAAAGUUUUUGCUUAUUUGAUUUCUUAAUGCCAUUAUGACAUUAUUGAUUCAAUUCUGCUUCCGAUUUUCGAAGUUCUGGGCAUCUACUGAUUGCAUCAUUAUAUGAGAAGUUGCAUGAGUUUAUGUAUCCUGUUAUUGUUCCUUUGCGAUUUCACUGCUCACGGGACUAACCUCUCCAUUCAGUCGAAAUGAAUUGUAAUUUCUUUACUGGUAGCAGUAGUACUUUUCAUAGCAAAGAUAAUAGAAAAUAUGAAAUAUAAAUAGAAGGAAAUCUGGAUUGUAGAUAGCACCAUAAGUAACACUCAAUAUUCACUACAUAAUAAAUAGACAGUGUUACAUAGGUAGAGAAACCUACAAUGAGUACUCAUCACCAUUCUCAAACAGAAACAUAGCAGCGACUUAUACAUAGAACCUAUAGGCUCGCAGGGAAAGAGUAACAUGAUAAGUUCACAGCGGGUAGCAGCUCUUAUUUUACGUAUUACUCAAAAUCUCAAACUAACCAAAGUCACUCAGUUGGGAUGGGUAGGAGAUGGUGGUUUGUGGGGUGGCUUCUGGGUAGGAGCUGGUGGCUUCUUUGUUGGAGUUGAAGGAGGCAUAUUCUUCUGAGGUGGCUUGUAUGACUCUUCGGCACUCUCUGCAGGAGGGUGCCCAGGGUUGUGACCAGAAGGAGGUGGCUUCUGUCCCUUUGGUGGUUUGCCUAAUGGGCUUGGUGGCUUGUGCUCCGGGAGUUGUUUCUCUCCCUCGAGUAGGUUUCGAGUUUUGUCAGAUGGCUUGUGUUCUGGUGGUGGCUUCUCUCCCUGGGGUGGUUUGCCGAAUGGGCUUGGUGGCUUGUGUUCGGGGAGUGGCUUCUCUCCCUGGAGAAGGUUACGAGUUUUGUCAGAUGGCUUUUGUUCUGGUGGCGGCUUCUCUCCCUGGGGUGGUUUGCCAAAUGGGCUUGGUGGCUUGUGUUCGGGAACUGGCUUCUCUCCCUUGGGAGGUUCAUUUGGUGGCUGGUGUUCCGUAGGUGGUUCCUUCACCGGCGGCUUGUGCUCCGGAAGCGGCUUCUCUACCUGGAGAAGCUUACGAGUUUUGUCAGAUGGCUUGUGUUGUGGUGGUGGCUUCUCUCCCGGGGGUGGUUUGCCAAAUGGACUUGGUGGCUUGUGUUCGGGGAGUGGCUUCUCUCCAUGGGGAGGUUUAGUUGGUGGUUGGUGUUGCGUAGGUGGUUUCUGAAGUGGGGGAUGCUUGGGGUAGUCAGCAAUAGACGAGGUAGUGAGAACCACCAGUCCCAACAGCAACACUAGCAAGGAUGUUGAAGACAUCUUUGAGUUCAGGCUGAGAUCUGUGCAAGGAUAAAAGAUUUAGGUGGCCUUUUAUAGAGGGCUGGACCCAACACCCAUAUGACACGUGUCAUGCACUCAUGGUGACACAUAAUUCUAUGGGACCAUUUGGGUCCUACAGAAGUUGCAAAGUUGGACUAUUGAGGUGUGAUCACAACUUUUGUCCUACUUGCUUUCUCUGCGGCCAUUGCACGAUUUCCUUUAGCAUCAUUUUCUUGUCUAAAUAAGCGUAUUAUAUUUGUGGCAGACCGUCCACGUGUCAUAAACAGAUAUAUUAUAAUAAUGUAGUAUGCUUUUCUUCAACGGAACUUGACACUCUUCUAAGUCUUGUUUUAAAUACUGUGCAGGAUUACGUCAUAAGUUGCUUGUUCCAAGUCAAAAUUGGUGGGCAAACGUUGGCCUUUUUUCAUUUUCCCUAAUAUUAAUGCUCACCUGGGAUAGGCACUACAUGAUUUAUCUGCUCUUUUACUGUGAAGUUGCUUUGUGCAUGAGUUACACCUCCCCUGCACACCCUCAACAUUUGUUGCUCUGUUUUUCUUGUGUCCAGACGAGGAUAUUAAUUGGAGGCUGACAAAACGACUGCUAGCCAAGGAUUUACAAGGUCCUGGUUUGAGGCUUUCACGAAAGUAUUUUUGAAAAGAUACACAUAGAGAUUGCGCGUUCGGUGCAAUGCAACAAUGUGAGCCAUUCUGAAGUCUUAAAUUUCAGAUUAAUGAAUGCUACAAAAUUCUAAGAAGGGCCGUUUCCAAAUAUUUGAGUUCAUUCAUCCGAACAUCGGGUAUAUGCUUCUUUCUCUAGCCCCUCCUUGAAGGGAGGAGGGACAAUGUGAUCUGUAUCGUUAGAAGCUAUUCCAUGUCGUCAUCUUUGGGCUCAGUUCAAUACUAAAAGAUAUGGGCGGGGCCCUUAUCAUUUUAUAUUUCUUCUAGAAGGUUUAUUCUGGAAAUCUUUCACAGAAACAUAUCUUUUUCUUCUCUACGUGAUCCGUGGUUUGAAAGUUGGAAAAAUGGGUCCGUUAACAAGCCACCGAGUUGAAAAGUUGGAAAAAUGGCAACACCGCCAACCUCUUGUAUUCGAUAGUUAAAUAAAAGGUCACUGGAAGUGAGAUCCCUUUUGGCCUCUUGAUUUUCAUUCCAGCAUCUCUAUGGCCUGAUAAAUUAAAAAACUAAAAAAAAAGACAGUACGUGGGUUGGUGUUAAGCAUCAAGAGUCAAGACAUGAUAAUGGAGAGAAAGGAUAUUCAAAUUCCAGUUCUGACAACAUGAUUUUCUUUGCUGAACUACCAUAUUAUAUUUGAUCAAGAAAGAGUAGUGCAUGUGGCCAGGAUCAAGACAUACAUUAAUUUCCACAUGAUGAAGACAGUUUCUGAGAGUUUCUUCUAAAGCUCUUGCGCGAGUAGGCUUCAAGUCAAAAUCUCCCAUGUAAACACUGGUUUUUCUUUCAUUGCCACUAAGGAUGCAGUUAAUAUUGACUUAAGAUCCUACGUGAUAUAUUUUUUUAAAAGAGCUAUAUUGUAGAUAAUAUUUGAAAUAAUGUUGAUUCGUUGUGGAAAUAUAUUUGUAAGGAAAGUUGUUGACAAUUUAAUAUAGUAUAAGAAGAAAAAAGUUAUCAACUAGCUAGAGAUGAGUAUGUAAAGUGAGGCUCACGAUUCAACGCGUAAAUAUAAGAUAUUUUAAGGCUCAAUAGUUAUGAUAUCUAUUUUAUUUUUUGUAUCUCAUAUAUUCAAAGAUAUAGUAAAAUGAUUUUACAUAUAUAUAUAUAUAUAUAUAUGAACAUAACUAUUUGUGCCAAUUGAUUUUUAUCUUUAUUUUGUAUAUUAGUAAUUAUAUUAAAGUUUUUACUAAUAUAAUAACUAAUAUAAAAGCUUUUUCUAAAAGAGUCAACAGAGCAAAACACUUAUUAUAAAAAAUAAUUUUGAUUGAAGGUGGAGUCAAUUAUUCUUUAUUUAACAUGUAAUGCAUACGGCGUGUACUUCAUAACUAAAGUAUAUAAGUGUAACAUCUCUUAUAUAUUCUCAUUCAAUCUCGAAAGUGGAAAUUUUAAAAAGAUUAAACGGUUCAAAUUUGUCGUGCAUAAAGGGGAUCAUGUCACAUAAGCAAACCAUGGCAUACCAAAGACAUAGGUAUGGACUAAGAAUUUUUUUCAAAUAAGUUUCUUAUUAGGGUACAUUAAUAGGUGACUUUUUAUGACAUAUCAAAGGAGUCAAGUGCACCAAUAAAAACAUAUAUAGAAAAUUCAUGCAUGACAUGUAUCACUAAGAGAAGAUUGACUUGAUAGAGUUUAAUCCAAAUAGGAGAUUGUUAAAAGGUGUCUCAAAUUCUUGAUUGAUAUAUAUUUUUUUUAUUAAAAAGGUUAUUAUAUAGAUAUUUCAAUAGACUAUUAAUUCUUUGUAAAAAUAGUUAUAUAAUGAGGAUGGUGAUUAAAAAUAUCUCUAUCAAUAUUUUGGAUUAUAAAAAGAAAAAAAAUGAGAUAAUGAUAAACAUAUAAAACUUGUACAAGUAGAUAAAGAUGUGAUGAAAGACACUUGAUGAAUGAAGGCUUUGUAUUUCAAGAUAUAAAUAUAUGGAGCAAAACUCUUAAUUAUAUGAUCAAAUGAUUCUCUCAUAUUCAUGAAUAUAAGCAGGAUUGGGGAACCAUGAUAGAAUCUUAUAUGCCUCUCCAUGUAGAGUGAUCGAUGUUUAUCUUCAUAUUUUACACCAGUGAAUGACAUUGAAACUCUUAUUGAUAAAAGGGAAAAGGCAUGGCCUCCACCCCAAGAAAAACAAGUAACCUCGGUUUAAAUCACUAGUCUACACCCCGAAGAGAGAACUAGCCAAACCUACUAAAAGAGAAACUUAACAAUUUAGAAAGAAACCGUCCAUGAUAAAGGGCCCCUAAAGGUCCAAUUCAGUGAGGUCGUGAACAAAAACACUUUCAUGUCAAAACAGAGAUAGGUACCACCAAAAUGUAAAGGGAAAGAUGUAAACCACGUCGAACUUUGGUAAUCAAUGGUAAAGAUAGCAUGAUAGCUAAAAGCACUAAAGCUGUGCUUGGUAUGCAAAAAUGAAAAGUGGAAAUCAGCGUCUUAUUCUUUUUCACCUUUAUUCACAUAUUAGGAUAACUAAUAUCUAAUGUUUUUUAUGUCUCAAAUUCUAUUCCAUGUUAUGGUAAACUUUCAUCUUGUUUAGAUCACUUUUGUCUGGUUUGGGCUCAAGACGAUAAGCCUAUAGAGACUUCAUAUUGGGUUGAAUCGAUGCCCUUGAUCUGAUCUGUUCGUUAGAAAAAUCUGAAUUAUUAUAAGCAUUUAGAUAAAAAAUAAAUAAAUGUGAAACACAAACUACUCCCUGCACAACCUUGACCCUAGUUACUCAGUUUCACUGCUCACAGGACUAACCUCUCCAUUCAGUCGAAAUGAAUUGUAACAAGAAGAUUUUUGACAGGAGGACGGUAGUUUAAAAUAAUAAUUUCUAAAGUACUUUUGUGAAAAAAAAUAAUUCCAAACGUGGAUUUUAUCAAGUAAAAAGAAAAAAAAAAGUUAUUUUCUUUUAAAAUCUGUUCUUCUAAAGAUGAUAUAUAUACCAAAAAAAAAAAUUGUUUUCUGAAGGUAAAAUUUUUAAAAUUCAUUUUUAAAAAAAUUUACACACUAAAAUUAUCUUUUCAAGAGAAGAUUUUUUUAAUUUUAAAUAAUUAUUAAUUUAUAAUUAAUUUGUUAUUAAUUAUUUAUUAAUUUUUUUAUUUGAAAAAUGCAUUUAUAAAAAACAAAUUUGUUAUUAAUUUAUUAAAUAAUUUUUACAAAAUAAAUAAUUUUUUUUUAUUUUAAUUUUAAAAUUAAUUUUAUUAUAUAAAUUUUAAAAUUAAAAAUAUUAAUAUUUAAUUUAAAAUUUAACUAUAAAAGGAAUAAAAUAUAGAAAAAUAAAUUAAUUUAUUAUUCAAUAAAUUAAUUUUCAAUAAAAUUUUCAGCAUUAAGAGAUAAAUUUUUAAGUAUUAAUCAAUUUAAAAAGAAAUAAUGAUCAUUUGUAUAUUAAGAUAUUUUAUUUAGUAAUUAUGAAUGAUAAACAACUAAAGUAAUUUGAAAAAAUAAUAAAAUAUUUAAAAAAUAAUAAUUUAAUACACGUAAAAUUAGAAAUGAUUAACUAUUUUUUAUUAAGAAAAAAUUGAGGAAAUAUUUUGUUAUUUAAAAUUUUUUAUUUGUUUUCAAUUUUUAAUGUUAUAGGUUUCAAGAAAAUUGAUCAAAUAAAAAUUAAGAAGUCAUUUUUUCAAAAACUAUAUAUCUAAAUAAAAGCCUUGAAAUUCAAAUACACAAUAUCAUAAAUAUAAACACCAAGUCAAUCCUUAAUUAUCAAAUGUUUUUAAUAUUAAAGAAUCAAAAUCACCUACUAUCAUGAUAAUAAGAAAACCAAUAAUAUUGUUCAUAUAAAUACUAAAAAGCUAACAAAUAUCCCAAACAAUUAAUAAAGUAUCAAACAUGAUAAAAAGUCAAUUAUUAUCAUGAAUGCAAAAAAUCAAUAAUUUUGUUUAUAUGAACCAUCAACAAAGAAAAAAAAAAUCAAUAUCUAAAUAUUAAACAUAAUUUAUAUUUUUAUAAAUAUUAUUGUUGAUAAAUAUCUUAACAAUUAUAAUUUUAGUAAAUAAAAUUAAUUAAUUUUAGUUUAAGAAUUAUUUUUUUAUACUUUCGUAUUCUUAUCAAAAAUCCCCAUUUUGCAUGUCUCCUUUGGCAUGACUUUCUUACCUAAACAAGCAUAUAUAUAUAUAUAUAUAUAUAAAAUAUUUGGUUAAGAAAGAGUACUAAAGUUUAUAUGGCACACAUCAAGAUAGAAACAGAAGUGGAAGAUAAUCCAAAUGUAUGAACAGAUAUAUUAUAUCCAUGUAGUGGUAGUGACUUCAUUAUUUACUUUUAUCUAAUGGAGCAUGACACACUUCUUCUGAAUAUUUUGCACGAUUAUGUUAUGUGUCAGCUUGUUCUAAGUCAAAACUAGUGAUAAAAAUCGGUUUUUUUUGCAUUUCCUUCAUGAAGAUGGCACCUGGAUGGGGCACUACAUGAGUGGCAUAGCACGAAGUGAUUUAUCUGCUCCCUUUACUAUAAAGUGCUUUGUGUAUAAGUUACACCUCCCCUGCACUGCCUCAACAUUUGUUGUUCUGUCUUCCGUCUGUCCAAACGAGGACAAACGUAUGUUGUAGGUUGACAAAACCACAGCUAGCCUAGGAUUUGCAAGGAUCUAGUUUGAUUCGUAUGCAAAAGGAUUGGUGAAAAGAUUCACAAAGAUAAUGCUUUUUGCAAUGCAAUCUUGUUCUAAUUCAACAGUGUGGACCAUUUUCAUGUAAUGCUUCAACUAGAUGUCAGUUUCAUGAAUUUUUGUUCAUCUAAUUGAUCACUGGAUAGGCCAUAACCCGAAGAAAUUCAAAAUUCCCUUCAGUACUGUAGCUAAGGAAAGAUCCCUAUCUACCACUGGGAUUUUAAGAGGGUAAAAAUGUAGGUGGGUGCCUAUAUCAUUUGCACUUCACUAUAGGCCUCUUUGGGAAGAUUUCUUCUGAAGACAUUUCAAAGAAACAUAUUUUUCUCUUCUCUCCGUAAACGGCAGCUGCAAGUCAGUCCAUUCACAGGCCACCGAGUUGAAAAGGCUGGAAAAUUGGCCAAAGCACCCGCCUCCUGGAUUCCAUGGGUAAGGAAAAGGUCACUGGAGGUGUGAUCCCUGUUGGCCUCUUGAUUUCCAUUCCGCCAUCUAUAUGACCUGAUAACCCAAAAACACAGAAGGAAAACGUCACCUGGGUUCAUAGUAAGCAUCAAGUCAUGAUAGAGACCAGACAACAUGACCAACAAAGAGUAGCGAAUGGGGCCAACAUCAAGCCCCAUUACGGUUAGAAGAUGGAAGAAGUAGAAGACAAUCCAAUUCUGAUAGAUUCGGGCAAAUGUAGUGCUGUUCAAACUUAAUCAUUUACUAUUUCUUCAUGAAUCACGGCAUUUUUCUUCUGAAAAUUUUCCAAGAUUAGGCCUCUGAAGAAAAAUUUCAUAUGUAAAUUGGUAUAUUAAGGAAAAGGCGUUACAAAGGUGAAAAAAAACCAAUCAAAUCUUAUAUAUGACAUCUCAAAAAUAUGAACUUGCUAUAAAUAUUUAAAAUCAAAAUCUUGCACAUCACCUCGUAGUACGAACUUGCUAUAAAACUUGAAAAUCAAGAAGAAAGGGGCAGUAUUGGACGAGACUACUUAGCACAUAUUAUUAUGAUGUUUUUUCAUUUUCUUAAUGUUGUUUUUAUGUCUUAAAUUCUAUUAUUCUAUGUUACGGUAAACAUUCAUCUUGUUUGUGUGGAAUAGGAUCACUUUUCUCUGGGUUGAGUCGAUGCCCUUAGUUAAUUUGUUCAUUUGAAUAAACUAAAUUAUUAUAAGUAUUUAGAUAAGAAAAACGUGAUACAUAAAUUACGCCUCUCGGCACAACUUCAACACUGGUUACUCUGUUUCAGUUUCCUCACACAAGAUUAUUGGUUCUAGGGUUUAUUUGGUUUUGGUUUGAUUCUAAUUGCUAAACUUUCUCAAGGAAGAUGUUAUAUAGGGAGUGAGAAACCUUCACUCUUGGCUACCUCCAAGAGAAGAGCAAGUGGUCUGAAUCAAAGAUAUACUGCUCACUUUUUCUUCUUCUAAGGACAGCUAUGACCUUGCUUUAAGGUUCGAAUAGCCUAAUGCAACCUCCCAUUUCUCAAGUCAGCUGAUGAUGUAAGUCACCUUGGCUUUCCACAUUCAUACGGUGAGGACGUUUGUGGGUGUAAUUCUCUUAACAGUUUUCAUUUUAUAUGGAAAAAUUCAUAAUUAAGGGUAAUUACUGAUUCCAUUUGACAGUGACCAAGUUUAAAAUAUUAAUUCAUAUAUUAAAUGCACAUUAAAAAAUCAUGGAAUAAAUAUAUUUACUAAUAUAUAGUUCUUUUGCCAUGUUCUGUCACAGAAGCAUCGAACUUUCCCUAGAAAUUUUUGCAUGGUAUUCUACUUAUGAUUUUGAAAACUCUAGGCACCUGAGGCCACUAAUUGCAUGGUUGGAUGAGGAGCUGCAUGAGAUUAUGUAUCGUGUUGUUCCUUAACUACAAAUAUCAGUUUUAAGUAGCAUCUCCAUGUGACAUUUUCCUGAUGCAAUUUCGCUGUCCACCAACAAAUUUCACCAUGCAGCAAGAUGAAUUGUAAUUUCUUUAUUGUUAUCAACAGCUUUAAUUAAUCUUGAUAUAUAUAUAUAACUUAGUAGAAGUAUAUUAAUCUAGAUUGUAGUUGCACUAAGAUAAUAGGCAAUAUUAUAACAGUGCCACAAUGCUCAUCGCCAAAUAGAAAGGUAGAAAAACUACAAUGAGUAACUCACAACAUUCUCAAACAGGACAUAGCGGCGACUGAUACAUAGAACACUAUUGGCACUCAGGAAAUGAUAAGAUCAGUGCCCAGCAGGCAGCACGUCUUAUUUUACAUACUACUUAAAACUAACCAAAGUCAUUCAGUUGGGAUGGGUGGGAGAUGGUGGUUUGUGCGGUGGCUUUUGGGUAGUUGGUGGCUUCUUUCCUGGAACUGAUGGUUUUUUUGUUGGAGUUGAAGGAGGCUUAAUCGUCUGAGGUGGCUUGUAUGAGUCUUCAGCACUCUCUGCGGGAGGGUGCCCAGGGUUGUGACCAUAAUGGGGUGGCUUCUCUCCCUUAGUUGGUUUGCCAAGUGGGCUGGCUGGCUUGUGCUCCGGGAGCGGCUUCUCUCCCUUAGGUGGUUUGCCAAAUGGGCUUGCUGGCUUGUGCUCUGGGAGCGGCUUCUCUCCCUCAAGAAGUUUACGGGUUUUGUCAGAUGGCUUGUGUUCUGGUGGUGGCUUCUCUCCUUGGGGUGGUUUGCCAAAUGGACUUGGUGGCUUGUGUUCGGGGAGUGGCUCCUCUCCCUUGGGAGGUUUAGUUGGUGGCUGGUGUUCCAUAGGUGGUUUCUCAACCGGGGGCUUGUUCUCCGUUGGUGGUUUAUGAACUGGGGGAUGCUUGGGGUAGUCAGCAAGAGACGGGGUGGUGAGAACCACCAGUCCCAGCAGCAACACUAGCAAGUAUGUGGAAGAGUACAUCUUUGAGUUCAGGCUGAGAUUUGUGCGAGACUUGAAGAAUUAGGUGGCCUUUUAUAGCUGGCUGCACCCAACACUCACAUGACACGUAUCAUGGUGACACAUGUGCUAUGGGUCCAUUUGGGUCCUACAGAAGCUGAAAACUUUUGACUAUUGAGGUGUGGUCACAACUUUUGUCCCUAUUGCUUUCUCCGCAACCGUUUUACAUGUUUCCUUUGGCAUAAUUUUCUAAGCUAAACAAGCAUAUAUCAUAUUUGGUUAAGAAAGAGUAAAGUGUAUAUGGCACACAUCAAGGAAGAGAAACAGAAAAAGUGGGAGACAAUCAAUUGUGAUAAACAGAUAUAUUAUAUUCAUGUAGUACUAGUGACUUUAUCAUUUACUUUUAUCCAAUAGAUCAUCACUCUUUCUUCUAAAUAUUUUGGAGGAUAAUGGUACAUGUUGCUUGUUUCCAAGUCAAAAUUGGUGGCAAAAAUCGGCAUGAUACGAAAGGAUUGGUGAAAAGAUUCACAUAGAUGGUGCUUUGUGCAAUGCAGUCUUGCUCUAAUUCAACAGAGUGGACCAUGGUGAUGUAUUUUAAAUUUUAAAUUUUAAAUUAAUGCAUGCUUCAAAGUUUUAACUAGAUGUCACUUCCAUGGAUUUUUGUUCAUUUAAUUGAGCACAGGAUAGGCUAUCAAACUUGAAGUAAUAUAAAAAUCCCUUCAUUACUGUAACUAAUGAAAGAUCAUUAUCUGCGCUUGGUAUUUUGCCAAGGUAUUUGCUGCUCUUUCUAGCCCUGUCUUACAGUUAAGGACAAUGUGAUCUAGUUAACCUUAGAAGCUAUUCCAUGUCAGAUACAAGAGAUCAAGCACAUUAUCUUUGGGCUCAGUUCAAAACUAUAAUAUAUGGGUGGGGUGGAGGCCCAUAUCAUUUGCAUAUCACCACUAUUGGUUUAGUUUGGAAGGUUUCUUCUGGAAGAUUGCUGCUUUCUGGAAUCAUUUCAAAGAAAUAUAUCUUUUUGUUCUCUUGGUGACGAGCAGCGGCAAUCAAGUCUGUUGACAAACAACCGAGUUGAAAAGUUUGAAAAUUGGUCACAGCCCACGUCCAUGGUUAAGGAAAAGGUCACUGGAAGUGAUCCCUUCUGGGCCUCUUGAUUUCCAUUCUGACAUCUAUAUGACCUGAUAAAUAGAAAGAAAAAAAAACAGAAGAAAAGCGGCACCCGGGUUCAUAGUAAGCAUCAAGACAGGAUACUGAAAGAAGGGAGAAAGGAGAUUGCAAGUCCAAUCCUGAUAAAAUGAUCAACAAAGAGUAUCAAAAUGGGGCCAACAUAAAGACCCAUUGAGGUUAGCAGAUGGCAUGGCAUUUUUCUCCUUAAGUUUUCCAUGAUUAGACUUGAAGUCAAAAUUUCACAUGUAAAUUUGUAUUUCUACAUUUCCCACUGACGACACCCAACUUCAACUUGAGUUAGAAUAACAUUGUGUGAACUUAUCUGGCCCUCAAAAUUUACUGUGAAGUGCUUUCUGCGUGUGAAGAUUCAGAAAAGCACCAAGGGAACAUGUAUGGUCUGCCUUUUUCUGAUGUUAUGUUUGUCUCUAAUUCUGUUCCAUGUCAUGGUAAAUGUUCACAUUGCUUGUAUGGAACACACCAGGAUCACUUUUUCGGGUUUAUUUUGAGGCUUCAUAUUGGGUUCAUAUUGGGUUCAAUGCUUUUAAUGUGUUCAUUAGACAAAUCUGAAUUAUCAUAUGCAUUUAGAUAAGAACAAUAAUGUGAAACCCUAGUUACACCUCCCCUGCAUAACCCCAACCCUGCUUACUCUAUUUCAGUUUACUCACACAAGUUUUACCGGUUCUUAUAAGUCAAGAAAAGGCAACUGAUGUUGGAUUGACUCUCUUCCAUGUAUAAAAAGCAACUUUUAUAUAUACAUAAAAUAACUUCUUCCCCUCACCAAUGUGGGAUAUCAUGGAUUUAUUCUGGAAACACAUCAAAGGAACAUCUUUUCUCUUGGGUGACCCUAAGUGGUGAGUCAGACCAUUUGCAUGCCAUUGAGUUGCACAGUUGGAUAAAUGCACCUACCUCCUGGGCUCCAGAGUUAAAAGGGUGGAUCCCUGGAUCGCAACCCUCUUGGCAUCUUGGUUUCCAUUCCAACAUCCACAUGACUUGACAAAACAAAAAACAGAAUAAAAUCAUCACUAUUUUCAUGCUAAGCACCAAUACAUGAUGGAAAUCAUUGCUUAAAGAUUUGGGGUCAUUUAGGUUUUGACUGCCUCCUAACACCUCACCUAAUCACAAGUUUUUAUGCUUACAAAUCAAAUAUCGUUCUUCAUUAUAUUAAAAUCAUUUUAAGAUUUCAGAUCCAUCUGCUAAUUAUGAUUAUGAUAACAUUAAUUCACCUGUGCUUCUCAUUUUCGACACACAAGGCAUCUAGGUUUGCAGGAUUUCCUUAUUAGAUGAGAUAAAUGAGUACGCAUGGUUAUGUAUGCAGCAUUCAUUAACCAUGGUAUGUGACAUUUAGAAUUAAGAUAGCAAGCAAACUUUCCCUGCAGCUUGAGUAAAUUGUGAUUUCUUAGCCUCUAUGAGUGGUUCCCAAAUCAAAUUAACAUAGUGAAAUAUACGUAGUCCAGUGAAAGGAAAUGUAAAUUAUAAACUAACAGCACUACACUACUGGUAACACUCGAUACUCUCUAUAUAAUGCAAUGAAAUAUACGUUAUACGUUGCUUGUUCCAAGUCAAAAUUUGUGGCCAAACGUUGGCCUUUUUUCAUUUUCCCUAAGAUUAAUGCUCACCUGGGAUAGGCACUACAUGAUUUAUCUGCUCUUUUACUGUAAAGUUGCUUUGUGUAUGAGUUACACCUCCCCUGCACACCCUCAACAUUUGUUGCUCUGUUUUCCUUGUGUCCAGACGAGGAUAUUAAGUGGGGGCUGACAAAACGACUGCUAGCCAAGGAUUUACAAGGUCCUGGUUUGACGCUUCCGCGAAAGUAUUUUUGAAAAUAUACACAUAGAGAUUGCGCGUUCGGUGCAAUGCAACAAUGUGAGCCAUUCUGAAGUUUUUAAUUUCAGAUUAAUGAAUGCUACAAAAUUCUAAGAAGGGCCGUUUCCAAAUAUUUGAGUUCAUUUAUCCGAACAUCGGAUAAGUAAUGAUCAUAGAUUAUUAUUAUUAUCUGACGUUCUUAUAAUGGUUGGCAUUAUAAGAGGGUAUAUGCUUCUUUCUCUAGCCCCUCCUUCAAGGGAGGGACAAUGUGAUCUGUAUCGUUAGAAGCUAUUCCAUGUCGUCAUCUUUUGGCUUAAGUCAAUACUAAAAUAUAUGGGCGGGGCCCCUGUCAUUUUAUAUUUCUUCUAGAAGGUUUGUUCUGGAAAUCUUUCACCGAAACAUAUCUUUUUCUUCUCUACGUGAUCCGUGGUUGGAAAGUUAGAAAAAUGGGUCCGUUCACAAGCCACCGAGUUGAAAAGUUGGAAAAAUGGCAACACCGCCAACCUCUUGUAUUCGAUAGUUAAAUAAAAGGUCACUGGAAGUGAGAUCCCUUUUGGCCUCUUGAUUUUCAUCCCAGCAUCUCUAUGUCCUGAUAAACUAAAAAACUAAAAAAAAAACAGUACGUGGGUUGGUGUUAAGCAUCAAGAGUCAAGACAUGAUAAUGGAGAGAAAGGAUAUUCAAAUUCCAGUUCUGACAACAUGAUUUUCUUUCCUGAACAACCAUGUUAUAUUUGAUCAAGAAAGAGUAGUGCAUGUGGCCAGGAUCAAGACAUACAUUAAUUUCCACAUGAUGAAGACAGUUUCUGAGAGUUUCUUCUAAAGCUCUUGCGCUAGUAGGCUUCAAGUCAAAAUUUCCCAUGUAAACACUGGAUUUUCUUUAAUUGCCACUAAGGAUACAGUUAAAAUUGACUUAAAAUCCUACGUGAUAUAUAUCUUUAACAAAAGUAUAUUGUAUAUAAUAUUUGAAAUAAUGUUGAUUCGUUGUGGAAAUAUGUUUGUAAGGAAAGUUGUUGACAAUUUAAUAUAGUAUAAGAAGAAAAAAGUUAUCAACUAGAGAUGAGUAUGUAAAGUGAGGCUCACGAUUCAACGCGUAAAUAUAAGAUAUUUUAAGGCUCAAUAGUUAUGAUAUCUAUUUUAUUUUUUGUAUCCCAUAUAUUCAAAGAUACAGUAAAAUGAUUUUAUAUAUAUGAACAUAGCCGAUAGUAUCAUGUUAAAACCUUAUAUGACUCUUUGUGCCAAUUGAUUUUUAUCUUUAUUUUGUGUAUUAGUAAUUAGUAUUAAAGUUUUUACUAACAUAAUAAUUGAUAUAAAAGCUUUUUCCAAAAGAGUCAAACAGAGCAAAACACUUAUUAUAAAAAGAAUUUUGAUUGAAGGUGGAGUCAAUUAUUCUUUAUUCAACAUGUGAUGCAUACAGCGGGUACUUCAUAACUAAAGUAUAUAAGUGCAACAUCUCUUAUACAUUCUCAUUCAAUCUCGAAAGUGGAAAAUUUUAAAAGAUUAAAUGGUUCAAAUUUUCCGUGCAUAAAGGGGAUCAUGUCACAUAACCAAACCAUGGCAUACCAAAGCCAUGAUAUGGACUAAGAAUUUUGUUAAAAUAAGUUUCUUAUUAGGGCACAUUAUGUGACUAUUUAUGACAUAUCAAAGGAGUCAAGUGCAUCAAUAAAGACAUAGAAAAUUCAUGCAUCACAUGUACCACUAAGAGAAAAUUGACUUGAUAGAGUUUAGUCCAAAUAGGAGAUUGUUAAAAGGUGCAUCAAAUUCUUGAUUGAUAUAUAUUUUUUUUAUUAGAAAGGUUAUUAUAUAGAUAUUUCAAUAGACUAUUAAUCCUUUGUAAAAAUAGUUAUAUAAUGAGGAUGGUGAUUAAAAAUAUCUCUAUCAAUAUUUUGGAUUAUAAAAAGAAAAAAAAUAUGAGAAAAUGAUAAACAUAUAAAACUUGUACAAGUAGAUAGAGAUGUGAUGAAAGACACUUGAUGAAUGGAGGCCUUGUAUUUCAAGAUGUAAAUAUAUGGAGCAAAACUCUUAAUUAUAUGAUCAAAUGAUUCUCUCAUAUUCAUGAACAUAAGCAGGAUUGGGGAACCAUGAUAGAAUCUUAUAUGCCUCUCCAUGUAGAUUGAUCGAUGUUUAUCUUCAUAUUUUACACCAAUGAAUGACAUUGAAACUCUGAUUGAUAAAAGGGAAAAAGCAUGGCCUCCACCACAAGAAAAACAAGUAACCUCGGUCUAAAUCACUAGUCUACACCCCGAAGAGAGAACUAGCCAAACCUACUAAAAGAGAAACUUACCAAUUUAGAAAGAAAUCUUCCAUGAUAAAGGGCCCCUAAAAGUCCAAUUCAGUCAGGUUGUGAACAAAAACACCUUCAUGUCAAAACAGGAAUAGGUACCACCAAAAUGUAAAGGGAAAGAUGUAAACCAAGUCGAACUUUGGUAAACAAUGGUAAAGAUAGCAUGAUAGCUAAAAGCACUAAAGCUGUGCUUGGUAUGCAAAAAUGAAAAGUGGAAAUCAGCGUCUUAUUCUUUUUCUCCUUUAUUCACAUAUUAGGAUAACUAAUAUCUAAUGUUUUUUUUAUGUCUCAAAUUCUAUUCCAUGUUAUGGUAAACUUUCAUCUUGUUUAAGUGGAAGAGUAGGAUCACUUUUGUCUGGUUUGGGCUCAAGACGAUAAGCCUAUAGAGACUUCAUAUUGGGUUGAAUUGAUGCCCUUGAUCCGAUCAGUUCGUUAGAAAAAUCUGAAUUAUUAUAAGCAUUUAGAUAAAAUAAAUAAAUAAAUGUGAAACAGAGACUAUUCUCUGCACAACCUUGACCCUAGUUACUCAGUUUCACUGCUCACGGGACUAACCUCUCCAUUCAGUCGAAAUGAAUUGUAAUUUCUUUACUGGUAGCAGUAGUACUUUUCAUAGCAAAGAUAAUAGUAAAUAUGAAAUAUAAAUAUAUAGAAGGAAAUCUGGAUUGUAGAUAGCACCAUAAGUAACACUCAAUAUUUACUACAUAAUAAAAGAGAUAGUGUUACAAAGGUAGAGAAACCUACAAUGAGUACUCAUCACCAUUCUCAAACAGAAACAUAGCAGUGACUUAUACAUAGAACCUAUAGGCUCGCAGGGAAAGAGUAACAUGAUAAGUGCACAGCGGGUAGCAGCUCUUAUUUUACGUAUUACUCAAAAUCUCAAACUAACCAAAGUCACUCAGUUGGGAUGGGUAGGAGAUGGUGGUUUGUGGGGUGGCUUCUGGGUAGGAGCUGGUGGCUUCUUUGUUGGAGUUGAAGGAGGCGUAAUCUUCUGAGGUGGCUUGUAUGAGUCUUUGGCACUCUCUGCAGGAGGGUGCCCAGGGUUGUGACCGGAAGGAGGUGGCUUCUGUCCCUUUGGUGGUUUGCCUAAUGGGCUUGGUGGCUUGUGCUCCGGGAGUUGUUUCUCUCCCUCGAGUAGGUUUCGAGUUUUGUCAGAUGGCUUGUGUUCUGGUGGUGGCUUCUCUCCCUGGGGUGGUUUGCCGAAUGGGCUUGGUGGCUUGUGUUCGGGGAGUGGCUUCUCUCCCUUGGCAGGUUCAGUUGGUGGCUGGUGCUCCGUAGGUGGUUUCUUCACCGCCGGCUUCUCUCCCUGGAGAAGGUUACGAGUUUUGUCAGAUGGCUUCUGUUCUGGUGGCGGCUUCUCUCCCUGGGGUGGUUUGCCAAAUGGGCUUGGUGGCUUGUGUUCGGGAACUGGCUUCUCUCCCUUGGCAGGUUCAGUUAGUGGCUGGUGUUCCGUAGGUGGUUUCUUCACCGGCGGCUUGUGCUCCGGAAGCGGCUUCUCUACCUGGAGAAGCUUACGAGUUUUGUCAGAUGGCUUGUGUUGUGGUGGUGGCUUCUCUCCCUGGGGUG
rnacentral:lncRNA from 1 species